GCCAAUAAACAAGAGGUACGGAAUCCAACUAGUAAGUAGAAGAAUAGAACUGGUAUAUCAGGCGAACUGGCAGAUAGGCGGAUAGACAAGUCCGGGUAGUGGUCCAGUCAUCAAGUAGAGUUCCUGUGAGAGUGAUUGUUUCAUCCCCUUUAAGCAAUAGUCCUGUUCCACCAGUGGAGUAGCCAGCAGCUUGUUUCCUUCUUCUUAGUAGUGGUAGAGAGUUCGGUGCUCUAGUUGAAUACCGGGUUUAGUCUGAAGUUGACAAGUAGUGAUCUGGUCCAGUUGCAUCAGUAGCUCCGGUAGACUUAAUGGAUUCCACUAAUUCCAUAGUUAUUAAAGAAGAAAGUAUCGGCUUUGAGUAGAGAGAGGCAGACAAUAAGAAAGGAGUUGACUUACUUGUUUAAAGAAGUUACUAGGGCUAGGGUAUUGUAAUCAUAAACCAGAAAUCACAAAUCAUAAAUAAAGCAGAAAACUACUCGAAGCUGCCGCGCAACUUACGUAGUUGCUUGCCGAGUGGAUAAUUCUAUCUCUCUUUAUUAAGGAACCCAGAAUGUCAUAGAUGUGGGUCCAUAGUAUUGGUCAUAGUCAAGUGGGGGUGCCCAGUAAAGUAGGGGUGCCCAGUAAAGUAGGGGUCCCGUUUUGCCCAUCAUGUGUUUAGUUAAGGGGUCGGGUUUUGGAAUUAUAAGAAUAGGGGCAUCCACUACUGGAUUUAGCAUCUUUUGAUCGGUUGAUAGCAAAUAUUACAUUAGCUACCCCCUUAGGGGCCAAAAAACACCUUUCUAACUAGAAGAUUUCUUGUCUCAGAAAGCACUUGUACAGGGUUUGAUGCUAGGAAGUCAAUCAAGGGAGAAGUCUUGGGAUCAUUAGUUAUAGAAUAUAGUUAGUUCGGGUCGGGUGUUGAAAGAUCAGACUUAGUUGACAGAGGAGAGUUAGGGUCGGGUCAGAAAGGGAAGCAGUGAAGUCAACUAAUGCGUAUUUCAGUAAGAUAGAAUAAUGUAGUGAGCUGUCUUCAUCGGUGUUAGUAUGAGUGAGAGUUGGGGCAAAAAAGCGACUACUAAUUGCAUCAACCCGCGUGACUGUGUUUAUUAAUCUCCCUUAUAAUAGACUUUUUCUAGGCUCAAAUAUGUUACUGGUCGAUCUUUUCCUGGUUUACUAGGUGUGAGAGACAUGAGAUGGAUUCCCUGGUUGCUAGAUGAGCUGCUCAAUUAAAGUAAGGGUAGUGGUCCAGGUAGUGGUCCUGUCUCAAAAGAGGUGUAGUGAGCCAAGCAACUAAGUAAGACGUUGGGCGGCAGUCAUGAACAUGUUAGAAUUCAUUUCUUACUGGCUAUGUGCUUGGGAUCCGAGUAUUUAUAAGUUGCAAGUGGCAAAUUACUAUAAGGUUGCCAGCAGCUGGGCUGUUGCCUAGGAGCCUCAUUCUGUUAGCUGAGAUGCUCUAGUCCACUGGCUUUGAUGCCAUAAGUACCGAGAGUAGGAGCCCUUAUAGUAAGUUGUGGGUUCGGGGGACAGAGUGGAAAGAGACUAGCAUAAAGUUCAGGUCGAGUGAAGGAAUUAAGUAAAGUGCCCCAGGUCCAGUGCCAGUGAUAAAGUCAAGAGUGAGAGUUUGUUCGGGCCCUUCUAUAAUCCGCCAGAGGAUGGAGAGUCAAGGGAGGAAAGAGAACCCCCUUUUAGUAAUUGGCUAGUCUAGGAAAGUUUCUAGGGAUAGUGAGAAGAGCCUGAUUUGUGGUAAGUGUUACUGAUUCCUAUAUUCAAUUACAAAGGGAGAAAUGGCUUUGCUAUCAAAAAGACCGGGUAGUAAAGUUCUGGUUCUCAAGUAAGGGUAAGGCUAGGCCCUUUUAGUCAGUUUCAAGAAAGUAAUAAAGAGUCUAGGUCUGUGGGGAGGAAUUACAGAAUUGAACUAACAAGUAAGGAGUCACAUAAUGAAACUAAGAGGUGAGUUAGUAAAAGUCCAAGAACCAAACCAGUGAGUUACAGGCUUUAAAAGUAGUGCACCUAGCAGGGUGUUUUUAGUCUCUUACUUACGAGUUGGACUCCCAUUAUUGGUUAGUGAAAUAUAGAAUCCGGGCCAAGUAGACGCCAGGUAACUACAGAGGAAUGGAAUAGAAUUGACCACGAAAAAAGUAGCUGAAUCACCACUAAAAAGGGCCAAGGCCAAGCAACGGCGCAAGCCGCUGCGCGGCAGCAACCAAUAAGUAGUUAUAAAGAAAUUAUAACCGCCAAGCAACUACUAAUGUUGCGCGGAGGAGCUUCAACUGUGUUCGCGUUACGCGGCAGGAGCUGUUCUUUCCCGACGAAAAGGUAAUGGAAUCGCGACACCCCUUUUUUCAUAUUUCCCUCCUAAAAGGUAACGGAAUCCCGGGCAAGCAACUACUAACGUUGCGCGGCAGGAGUUCUCUGGUAUCCGAACCCCGACAAAAUGGUAGUCAUAAAGAAAAGGUGCUUCAACAAGCCCUCCUUUUUUUUGCAAGCUUAGGAUAGAGAUUAGCUAUUGAAUCCAUUUCCAUUCUUGUGCCCUUAUUGGUUGUUGAGGGGUUAAGUUUUGCCUAGUUAAGGGAUAGGCUGGCUGGUUUACUUACUUUGUAGAGUAGUUGACUGCCUUGCUUGCUUGCUUGUUUGGGUAGUUGUGGAAUGCUAUUACAAGGGUCUGAUCAGGUGCUCAAACUACAGAAAGGAGGUCAGGUCGGGGAAGACAAUAAGAAUGGACAGGACUCGACUUAACACCGUAAGAAUAGCUUGUCUCUGCGAAAGACUACUCAUAUUUCUAAUGUACCUGCUCAGUACUUACUUAGUAUAGGAAAGUCUACUGGAUGCUAUAUUCUCUUUAUAUAGGUGAACGGAUGCAACACGAACUGAGGCAUUCUAUUUAUUCUAAAGCACCCAGGCUUAAACAAAGGAGUCACAGACGGAUGCUAGGGCUACUGAGAAUGGAGCUAACAUUGAUAAGAAUUGCACUUCCACUCGCCAAGCCUGAUACUAGUGGUACUGAGAAUGGAGCCAUUGAAUCCAAGCCUUCAACCUGAGCUUCCAAGCCUUAAAGCCAGGGUAGCGAGACUCGACCAGGGGAGUGAUAGCCUGAAACCAACUCAUCACAGAACCAAACCCGUGAAUCGAAGAAUCAAACUAAGGAGUCCAAGGCCGAACCCAGUACCAAACAGAAUCAACCUGGGUACUAUCAACUACAGGACUAAGCCUGAUACUGGUGAGGAACAGCUUGAAAGCACUAACAAUAGGACUGAUACCAACAAAGCCAAGACUUAAGCCAGUGCUCCUCAGACUGAGGCCAGGGAGUUAGGGAAUGAAGCGGCGGAGUGAAAGCCUAAAAGCCCGGGUAGUGAGAAUGAGAGUAGGUAGUGACAGCCUGAAAGCAGGUAUACUCGGAAUGAAAGCAAGGGAAGUGAGACUGAUCUCUGAGACUGAAAGCAAGGGUAGCUAGCAUGGGUACGGAGCCAGAGUCGAGGUUAACACUUAUUAGAGGUUAAGGGUUCGGGGUGAACACUUCUUAGAGGUAGGGUCGGGGCAGAGUUGGAGGGUAAGUUUCCGUUGAAGUGAAGAGUUUUGUCUUGUCCGCUUGGCUCCUACUUGUGAGUGCAAUUCCUUAUCUGUUGCCAGAGUUAGAGGAGAAAGGAUAUAGAUUAGGUAUCGGCUUUGAAUCAGUAGAAAGAGAAUCCGCAGCCUAAGAAGUUCUUGUUUAGGGUUGACUUCACAUAAUAGUAGAAAGGUACUCGAAAGAUUCCAUUCAUUAUUGUUUUUCCUCGGGAGCUAGACUCAGUGCUUACGGGUCAGUGAGGCGCUAACUUAGUUUCAAGGGACUUAUUUGAUUUCCCUUAGUCCAAGAGUUGUCGACGAUAAAAUAAAGAAGCAGUUCGUCUCGAAAAAGAAGGAGCUGAGCUGGAGAAGGGACAAGAUGUUUACCUGGAUAUUGGAUUUCUUCAACUUAAUAAAUGGGGUGGUUCUAGAGAGUUCUGUUACUCGGAUAGUGUAGUUAAGUAGAGUAACGGUGCCUAUGUCCUGUGCCCUUAAGUAAUUGGGAUGCUAAAGUGUCCCCUAGUUCCUGACAGUAUUGAUAAGGGCCUGUGUUCGUUAAGAAAUACCUGUUCGUCGUUGACAGUAUUAAUAGGGCCGCCAAGUCGACAAGUAGAAGUUAUUACAAUUCCUGUUUACAAGUCUCCUUGAGUGCUCCUGCUCCUGGUAGCUGAAAAGCAUGGAAUUUCUUCUUACCUUAACCGAUAACCCAGUAUUUGCUCUGUACUGUACUCUAGAGAACUACUUGAAACUACUAGACAAAGACACUCUCGACAAAGAAUUCAACUAGUUAUCAUAUGUUAUAAACAGAAGAAAGGGGUUGGGUUAGGUAGAGCAGGAGAAGAUGUUAGAUCAAAUAGAUCCCCAUCAGCAACUGCAAGGGGGCGCCAAGUCACUACUCCUACUUAAUAUAAGGGCAACUAAUACAGAUGCAACAGCACUACUACUUGGACUACUACUAGUUGGGGACAAGAACUUAGCUUUCAUUGAUUGUUUCCCACAAGUACCUAAACCAGUUGUCUCUACUGACUUAGCGCCAAUAACUUCCCUUGAAGACCCGCUUACAGCCCUUUGCUUAAAAACAGCUUACCUGCUGGAACUUCACUUGAUACUUGACCUAGAACAGCUUUCCACUUAUGCUCUUUUCACUCUGGCUCAUCUACUUCUCCUCUGGCGAAACAGGCAUUAAAGAAUGAUACUGGCACUGAGGUGCUAAGAGCCUCUCUUACUUCCCGCUUCCAAAUCCCUAUUCUUCUCUUGCAACUGAGACUUGGGAUUAUACUAUCACUCGAACAGGACUGCUGGUGCCUAGUAGGGGUGAACUCAAAGCUAAGAAUUGAGCUAAGUAGUCAAAGAAUGAAUCUAGUAGUAAGCAUCUAGUAUAUGUAUAAGAAUAGGCUAUGUUGCCAGAGGUCGAUGAGCAACCACUUUCUUUGUUUACAGAGGAGAGUAUUUACUAUAAGCUGUGGGCGAGAGGGUAGUUGGAUUAUAAUAAGGGCUUUGUGGGGCAGGGGUAGUUUCAUAUUCCUUUACUAACUGGAUUCUGUUUCUGGCUUUCCUACUUGCCUACUUCUCUAGUAUUGGUAUAAAUUCCCCGAUGAGAUCAGAUCUAAUACCUUAUCUUAUGUACGGGAGCCAGCUGCUUGUUUCAAGAAGUAGUAGUUGAUUGGCUUGGCUCCGUUACAUACUAGUUAGGCUGGUGGACUGACUUGGUAGGGUAGUUUGUCUAGUUUAAAGGUAUUAAUUCUCAGAAGGUAGUGCAUAAGGUAUUAAUAGAAGGUAGUUUCUAAGGCGAACACUGGACUUGUACUAGACUUACUCUUGAACUCAGAACUCCUAACUCAGGUAUUUAAUAGAACAACUAAACCUCUACUCCGUUUACUUGGAAAACUGUUCCGGUUUGUUUCUCUUUUGACUUAAGUAAGCUGUUAGAGCAGAGCCUUUAGCAAGUAGUAGUACUGUUUCAAAAGGGCAUAUAAGUGGAAGUAGAGUUGUUGGUGAAUACCGGUAGUACUUGUUACUUCUAGUAGUAGUAAGUAGUACAUUUGCAUCUGUCUUUGUUAGAGCUACUAAAGAGAAGUGUCUUUUGUUUGGUGCUUCUGAAAAGAGAGUGUCAGAGUUCAUUCUGUAUUUGAAGCCUGAGUUAGCUAGAGAUGAGCAAGAAGUAGAGGAGCCAUCCAGAGUUAUGAAAAGGUAGAUGAGCCAUAACUUGAUGAGUUUACAGAGCCAGAUUAUAGCCAUAACUUGAUGAGUUUACAGAGCCAGAUCAGAGCAGAGGUUGGCAAGAAAAGAAAGAGAGUCCUCGGGUUUUCAUUACAAUUCCUGUUAGUGCAGAGGGUAUACUACUGAGUGACAUUCUCACUUGACCUACUGAGUGGAAUUCCUACUAUCGAGCACCCGGCUUAUUAAGUUGUUCCUACUCAAGUUAUUGUUCUAAAGUCAGCAGCUGCUGUAAGUUUCUGUUCUGGUUUGUCGAGCGUGAGUUGAAGCUCUUAUAGGAAGUUUAGGCCUUGGCCCUUAGUGACUUGGCCCAGUUACUUGUGUCUUCUUGUCUACUUGCUUAGUUGCUUGGCUCAUAUACUUACUUGUUCAGUAGCUUGCCCGUUAGUAGUUUACUUGGCGAGUGUCUUGGCAGUUUUGAUUAUAGUAGUUGUGCUUGAGUGUCUUGGAUGUUGCUAGAGGUAGAUUAGACUGUAGGUCAGUUAUUCUUAUUGGAAUACCGGGUAGUAAAGUUUCAUCAGUAGUUGUUAGUUUACAGAGGCAUCGGAGCCAGAGAGGAGGAGUAGUGAGUUUACUUAACACCUUAGGAAUUGAUAAACAAAGACGAAAAACAGAAUGACAUUGCUCCUUGCUCGGCCCAUAAUAAAUAAGAUAUUCUACUUAAUAUAGGAAAACACUUAAGAAAGGAGAGUUACUAGUGGAAAGGUUCAGUUGGGACUGGUUGCAUUCUUUUAGUCGAUAGAAGAGGUCCAUUAAUGGAAGGGCUGGACUACUCGUAUACUAGUUUGGGAUGAAACAGCACUACUCUACUACUAUACUACUUGUUUGGGCAGUUAACCAGGGCUACUACUAUAGCAUCGGGGAAUUCAAACCAAAACUACUACUUGCCCACUUCCACUCAAAGCAAAGAGCCAACUACUCGUAUACUAGUUUGGGAUUCAACAAAGUAUUCCCACUCGCCAAGCUACUACGGAAGGGCAGCGGAACGAUGGCUCAAGAAUCGACCCGUAUACUAGCAACCCAUAUACUUAAAGAGUCAACCCAGCUUCAAAGCCUUUAUCUUCUUCUUUCCCUGAACAGCUAGCCAGUACUAUAUUCUUUACCAGAGCUAGACUUUACUCUAACUCAGAACUAUACUUCACUCGCAUAAGAAGUUUCAUACCGAGGAGAAGCCUAAGUGAAGUCCCAUACUAUUUCUACAUUUGCUAUCAGGCAAACAACUACUAUACAAGUAACUACGUAAGGACAAGACACUACUAAUGACCAAGCCUCGUUAGGCGCGGUAGCGAGCUAAAAGAGCGUUAGCGAGUCCGGGGCCUGACUAGUUCAAUUAUCAGUGGCACUGACUUAAGGCUUACUACUAACUAGUGGAAUUCUUGGACUUACUAGAGAGAAAGAGAACCCGGCUUGGCACUGCUUCCAUUCCUUGACUUACUGGUUGAAUUCUCUGUCUUAUAUGAGUGAAAUUCUGAGCUUUGAGUUGAGGCCCUUAUAAGUCAUUCGCUAGGUAAGUGAGUUCAACUAGUCUAGAUGCGGAGUGGGAAGAGCUCCCCCAAACUUUACUCGGUAAUAACUUGUUAUGCCCCCUUAUUAGUGGCUACCGCCGAACACAGCACUUGGUCUAACGUAGUUGCUUGCCGGGCUAUAAAGAGUGAAAGAAACGAUCUAAACACAUGUCUUUCGGCUAUUAUUACUAUGGCUUAAAUAUCAUAUCAUCUCCAAUCCAAACCUAGCCUCACUCUAACUAAAGCGCUUUUGUCACCGGAAAAGAGCAAAACGAGAGAGUACAAGACAGAGACGCAAGCUAGGACAGAGCGAUCCACCCUUUAUCCACUAGGACGGGACCAUAGGCGAGACCAGGUACUACUAUUAUCGGGUAUAGUUACAUGGAGAAAAGGAAGCAGUUACCAGAGGAGGCUAUGUCAUAGUUUCCAGUGAUUGCUUCUAAGAAUAAAUAAGAUCAUAAGGAAUUUGAACGACUCUACUGCUUCUCCUACUUUCAUUCAAUUCAUAAGUAAGAUACAUCGUACUAGGAACUCGGGCUCAAACAAAUAAGUAUAGGACUCGCACUACGAAACAGUAAAUAAGUAAUUGAACACAUAAGGACCUAAUUCAAAAGAAGAUAAUAGAACAACCAUAGCAGCUUCAAUGUCCUAUAAUGGGUUUGGUUUUGAUGUUCCCUGCAUGGUGUAUCUGCCCUAAUAAUCCUUUCGAGCAUGAGGUAUCUGCCCUAAUCCUGCCCUACUGCUGGGCACCCGACUAUAGCUCGACAAGCAACUUAGUAAGUUACUAUAUACUAAUAUGGAAUCAAAACACCCAGUAAUAACAUAAAUGAAAAGAAUAGGGAGCUGUAGACUACUAGAACUGAGCCCAGGCGUAAUAGAAUGAAAGCAACAACCCAAAGAAUAGAAAUGGGCGCCCAUAAGCCUAUCUUUUCUGUCCCCCGUUCUCCAACAAAUGACCUCAACCCUGUCUUUUUCACCUCAACAACUAGUGUGGUUUGUGAGCCUGCCUUUUCAACUGAAGCUAUUGAUCUCAAUUCCAUAUCUAUUUAUUGAAACUAAUACUCCUUUUAUUGAAACAAAUACUCCUUUUAGUUAGCCUGUCGCUUACUCGCUUCAAAUCUCUGAUAUUAAUUAAUGUCAACAAGGAUCGAACACUGCCUUAUCUUAUUCGAUUGUACUAGGGAACACAAGAACUAAACAAGCAACUUGUACUUUCGCUCCUUCUUUCUCAUUCUCUGUGUAUAGAAAGAAAUGCUUCUGAAUGGAAGUUACCCACUGGACAUCUAUCAAAUCAGGCACGAUAAGAAUGCAGAAUCAGCUCCGUGUGCUCUUAAGAAGGUCUGGCUGCUGCAAAAUCUUUCGAAGCGCAAGAGAGGGGCGGGUACUUUUCAAUGACAUUGAUGCACCCUUAUACAACCAAUAGAGAAUUCCAUCAUUAUAUCUCUCUCUGGCUGGCAGUCGCACAAAAGAGUAGGGCUCCGGUCAGGUCCACAGGUGUUUCAUCUUGCAAAUCACUUGACUUACAUACUAAACUCAGAGAAUCCGAAUGAACAGGGACACCAGCAGAAGCAAAAACCACCAGCCUUUCCUCUCGUCUUGCUAGAGAAGCAAAAACCACCAGCCUUUCCUCUCGUCUUGCUAUAAGUUCGUUGCUUACCCUUGCUUUAAUAGAGUAAUUACAGACUGAUUGAACAGCGGAACCCCCACUCUUAUUAUAACAACCACUUAUGAAUCUUUGGCAUAACAUCACUCUUCUCCCAGGCACUAUCCCUUGGCAUAACAUCACUCUUCUCCCAGGAACUAUCCCUUAGGGUGCUUUCCUGGUGUCACUCUCCUCGGUCGAUAUUUUCCAGUCUUUGAUGGUUCCUUCUUCGAACACUUUUGGCAUUAGGCUCAGCUGAAUGGUUCCUUCAUCGGAGAUCCUGAAUAGUUCCUUCCCAGACAGAUCCGGUGGUCUAGUAUUUACAUCUUAGCAAGUGUCUUCUCUUUCCUUCUCACUGAAAAACAAUCCAAUGGCGAUACUGCCUUGUCGAAAUGGGAGGGUGGUGAGAUAGAAUGCCUUACUAUCGGUUCUGGUGCGAGUGGGUCAUCGGGUAAAACAUCUCUGGUAUGGGCAAAAGGGAAAGUAGCUUGGGACUAGGCUAGGGUUUUCAUGACCGGAAUAGAUAAGGAAGCAUAUACAUAGUUCCCUCUCUAAACUUGAAGUCACUAUAGUUCCAUUUCCCUGUAUGUCGAUUCUAUUCAUUUCUUUUCCAUUUCCCUGUAUGUCGAUUCUAUUCAUUUCUUUAAUUACAGCGCAUGUUUCGUUCGGCUGAUUGCUUCGAUGGGAUAUGUUGGGUGUCCCUAUAGUGCCCGGAGCGGGGCGUGGUCAAGCGGGGGUAGAAGAGGUCGAGCAUCCACUCCUAACUUCGUGGGCACAUCGCAUAGUUCCUACUUUCCAUUCCUUUAUGACUUCCCUGGGUUACCCGCCAGAGAUAUGGGGAAUUCCACCAGCGGGUCAACGAUGGGCGAGAUACAAGCUUAUUCAGGAGUGGUUAGGCUUUCGUCCCUUUGUCUCUAAGGAAAUGCCUAAUUUCUUCCAAUUCCAAAUACAAAUCAUCAAUAUCUUCUCUUGCUCUCUUUCUUCCUAAUUCCAAUUCCAAAUACAAAUCAUCAAUAUCUUCUCUUGCUCUCUUUCUUCCUAACUUAAUAAAUAAGAAGACACUUUUCUCUCUUGUUUUCUUUAUAUAUCCACUCUGUCACUGUUCAUUUAUCCAUGCAAGGUCUGGUCUCUCUCUACUUAGGCACAGGUAUAAAUCAAGUGGGAUCUGUAUGAUUCUUCCCCAUAUAUCACAUUUCCUUCAAUCUGACCUUCUUCCUUUCCGUUUUGCCGGCCCACUGCGAUGCGAGGUUACUUCAUUCUAUAAUGGGAGAGCACAACAUUCCAUAAGUACAACCUAUCUAUUCAAACAGGAUUGGAUGUUAUCACCCGCAUAAGACCAGAGAAUCAUGUCUCGCACUGAGAGCGAACGAAAGCACUCUGGAAUGCAUUCUCUUGCUUCACUCUAAGGGCAGCAAGGUGGGUCCGCUUAGAACUCUUCCUAUUGGGCUCCUGCCGCCACGAGUCAAAGAAAGGACUUGUAGUGACUUUUCUAGUAGUUUCUAAGUAGUUGCUUCGCUUUACCUAUCACUUUGGAGUUUGUUCUGUCGUAUAUUCUACCGCUUCUGGAAUGGACUAGUCUGGGUUCGGAAGAAUCAAUCUAUAUAGAAAGAAUAAAUCGAUAUAGAUUCAAUAGUCCAAGCUUUAGGCAAUAAUGUUUGACUUUUGGAAGAAACCCUGACCAGACUAUACUAAAAGAACGUAGGCAUAUGAACCGAAAUAGAAUACCAGUUUGACGUCUUUGAGACGCUCCUUUCCUUUGCACUCAAUCUAGAUUCUUCCCCAAAAACACACGGUAAGGCUAUAGGAUAGGAUGGAAUUAUUCGAAAGUACUGGGACCACUAUCGAUCGACUCCACGAGCACUACUCCUUUCUCUUGGCUCUCCCCUCUAUCUCUCUCUAAAGUUUGUCUUGGCUCUCCCCUCUAUCUCUCUCUAAUGACUGGAAUCAAUCCCCUCUAUCUCUCUAUCUCUAUAAGUGGGUUCAAAGGCUUCUUCCUCUCCGUCUGUCUUUCCUGAGCUGUCUUCAUAACAUCAUUCCGACUCGAACUUAGAGUUCCUACUUAUGUACUGCAACCAAAGGAUAGGCUUGCUUCUUCGAUCUUCCCUCACACAACAUUCUUUUGCAGAAAGUCAUCCCGUUGACCUCCUUCAAAAAGAGCAGAACCCUCCUCAACGAUUGAUUCAAAAGUAUACUAAGCUAUAAGGUCAAGAGUCUACGAAUUAUCUCGAAACAGGCUUUCACACUCCUUUCUCUAGGCUUUCACACUCUCUCUCUAUAUCACACUCUCUCUCUAUAGAAAAAUCCGGAUUGACUUGCUUAUGGAAGAUCACGAGAUAAAGCCUUGCAAAGUCAACCUUGGCCUCUACUUUCAAAGGAGCUAGGCACCAGAAACUCGAAAGAAAGAGGAUUACGGAUUCUAUCUAUCUAAUCCGAACGAGAAAUCCGUAUUUACUCGACCCUCCACCCAGAAAGUCACUCUCUUAUCAGCCUAAAGACUUGGAAAGGUAUUUGACUUUGGUGCCUGAAAGAGUGGAUUCUACGACGAGACCAAAACCACUAGGCUAGCGUGCCCGGGCUACCUUCUCCGUUUGGCUUGCUUUCUCGGUAUCUCUAGUUAAAGUAGAUCCCGCCAAGACGAAAGAUGAAUCAAGUAUGAAUUCGUAAUUCGUUACAAUCAGUCCCGAUCGCAUUAGCACUUAGGAACAACCAAAAGCCAUGAACACAACUCAUACGUUAGCGCUUAAUUAGUGAGCGGAACGGGAGUUUGCCCCCUCCGUACCGUCAUAUCUUCUAGCUGAUAUGAUCCAGCUUCACUUCUAGCUGAUAUGAUCCAGCUUCAAAUAAAGCUUCUAAUAAGGCUUCUUAUCCUUCUUUACCGUGUGUUCUAUCAGAUCCCUCUUUACCUGACCGCUAUAGAUGAUAUUGGAUAGCCAAAAACAGGACCAAAAGUACUAAGUGGAGAGAGAGGGAGAGGUGAUUCUUCAUGAUAGAAAUGCGUAACCAACCAUAGCAGCAUAGUUUUGCGUAACCAACCAUAGCAGCAUAGUUUUCAUCACGAAUAGAGGCACCCCGAAGUAAGCUCCCCGCUCUGCCACUGGAAACACUAGACACUUUUCCCGUCCCUAAUGCGCACUGAGUCUUGUGCCUCGCAACAAAGAAUAGAUUAUAGGCCUCGCAAACUGUAAUGGAAUAUCUCUCUUCUUAUUGAGCACUAGGUAUAGAAUAAAGUGACCCAACUGCUUCCUAACCAGCUUAUGCUUAAGAUCCAGUUGCCAAUGCUCUUACAGCAUCUUUCUCUGGUCGAUUCCACUUUCCUUGCUACUUACUUUCUUUCGAACUACACUUAAAGAACUAAUUGAUGGUUCAUCUGAUCUGGUCGACUUAACAAGAACAUCAAUCUAUGAUCUUAUAGAUUAACCUGGCACAUUCCAUUCUAUUCCUUCUUGACUUUCCUGGCGGAGGCCCCUUUCAACAAGUAACGGUGCAACAACAAGUUAGUCACCCGUCUUUGAAACUCACUCGGACCCUACCCCCUUAUUAGUAGUAGGCGAAUAGUCACCCUAUUUGUAUGCGAUGCGCAUCCACACGACGGACACGUUCCAAGAUCUCCCGCAACGAGAACCUAACACACACAUGGUUUAUUGAUAGUAAGCUGAUUAAAUAAAUGGAUCAUAGGUUGGUCUAAUAUUGAGUUCCGCCCUGACUCUAAUAUCUUUCUACGUGUUCAGUUCACGCGCUACUAAGCCACACACAGGAUCUUAGACAGGUUUCGUCCCCUUUCCUUUCGGGAACACCUUAUUACAAGUAGGGUAGUGGGGGCAAAGCAAAGCCUGAUGCUUAUAUACCGACAAAAUCAGAUAUCUAUGGUCGAUUCGUAGAAGAGUGGAUUCGCCCUUUAUGUUAUGGCUCGCAACACGCUCCGUAGCGCUUAGUAACUCGCUCGUAUAGGGUAAAGUAUUUUCUGAAAGUUGAGUGAACCUUAGGGCUUUCAGAAUUUCAUCUAGCGUUCCUAGUAAUAGAAUGGAGUAAACAAACUAUAUAACCUCAAUGCUUGUUUCAACCCCUUACCACUGCUUAAAGCUAUGACCUUAACCCACGUAGCGGUAGCUUACAUCUUACUGCGGACUUUUUGCUUUAAUCACUCGUAUCGGCAUCCGAACCCUAUACAAAUGACUAACUAAAGGUGGAGGCAGAGGCUGAGGGUUCCUAGAAAGAUGAGUAACCUGACUCGGGAACAAGACUCAAUGCUAACCUAAUUCUAGUACGGGAGCAGCUCAAUCCCUAUUUUUGGAUGCUUAUCAGUCAUAAAUUCAUGAAUAAGUUGACUCGGCGCAACAAGAAGGAUUACAGGUUGGUUUACUUGCGAGUUAGGGAACGGAGUUUAGAGUUAACAGGGUAGGUGAGCAGCUUUAUAACAUUCCUUUGCUAUAGGCGGGUGAGAGAGAUGAGGCAAUUAGAGAAUCAACUGUAUAAGGGAAUAGAUAGAGUCCUUCCUUUGAUGGUUCAAUACCUUUCUCUGGGCCAAGCACCCGAUUACAGAAAACAAACUUACGGAAUCUUUUCUCACUGCCAACCAUUUGGUGGUAAAGUCAAAACCCAUUUCCCUUAUACUGUAUUAUUGUCUAAACCAGAAAGAAUAGAUUGGAAGUUACUGUAGUAUAGAGCAGGUGCACUCCACAAGCAAACAAGUGGAACUUCUAACUCGCUGACGUUGAGCCCUGCGUUAGAGAAUCCAAGUGGCUUGUUCCCCCAGAGUAAGUAGUGAAGAAGCUUAGGAAGAAGAAUAGAAGCAAGGCAAUAAAAGAAGUCAAGUACAACACGUAUAGGGUGUGAGGCUGAGGCUGCCAAUAAAGAAAGAUGAUUAUGUGGGAAGAGACAAAGAAGCAAAAAGGAAUAAGUUAAGCAAAGCUGUUUCUUUAAAUAAAGAAGUCAUAGGUGGGUUAAGAGCCAGUUGUAAGAUGGUGAGGUGUUGUUUCAUCUAUAUUAGGGUGUAGCCCCAAUGCUUUCUUCUUACUCUUUCUUCUGACUAGAUUCCUUAUUAGGAAGGCGCUAGAUUCCAUUAAGUAUUGGCUAAGGGAACAAGAGGUUGUCCUGAGUUCAGAGUUCGAACGAGCAAAGCAAAUGCGUUAGUGAGCCACUUUCUCGGGGUUUCAAAUCUUUAUUUUCCACCCUUAACGUCAAGCAAGCUGUAAAACCCAUCUUUCUCGGCAACAGACCUCUAUCUCUCUCUGCUCAACUCAUCUUAUGGCUAAUCUAAGCUAAAAACGCUUAUUCUCUCAGUAAGUUUCGGGCACCGCGACCACGUAAAGGGGCUUGUAGAGAAUACUUGAAAACCGUCGUUUAAUCUAUGUUCAACUCCUCUUUAUGGUAAUCUAUCAUUUCUGCCCUGACCCACUGCUUUUCAUUCAUUUUGGAUUAAUAACAACGACGACAGCCCUAGUUGCUUCGCCCCUUGCCUUGACUGUACCCGCUCCUAAUACUUAAUCUCUCUAUUAUUUGAAAACGAUUAAUCUCUCUAGUAUUUGAAAACUCUUAUAGUAGUUGCUAAGUAGUUGCUCGGCCCGUUGCUUGUUCCCCUGCUUGUUGCAUUUCAUUUAGCUAUCCUAGUAAAGAAUAACCUAAGCUCACUACUCACUACUCACUGCUCACUACUCACUGCUCACUGCUGACAUCUUACAUGAAGUAACAAAACAGCUUGUUGAAAGAGAGCUUUUUAUUGCUGGCUCUAAGGAAUAGGCACAUAUACACUAAUAUAAGAAAGUCAACAACCUGCGGACAUCUGACUGCAGGCUCUGCUCUACCUAACACUAAACUAGAAAGAAAGAGAAUUGAAGAUACCGGUUCACUAUAUAUAAAAUGUAACAAACAGUCUUGCUUCGAACAAGUAAGGUUCCGUUGCGCUUGGUGAGUAGAGUUCACCGUUGUUAAGAGUUCUCUAUUCGUAUUGAGGCACAGUUAGUUCAGAUAUUAUUGACCGGCACCCAAUACUAUGAAAUAAGAAAUAGAUUGAAGCCAAUACUAUGAAAUAAGAAAUAGAUUGAAGUUCAAAAGAAUAUAGGUAGGAUGGUUCACAACUAUGCAAAAGAAUAUGGGAAGACGUUGCACUUAAAGGACAGAGAGGAACCAACCCCGAGUUGCUUGUGAAAAAGCUGUUGUUUGCUGCUUACUUGUUUUAGUUACCGCGAAUUGAAGGAAUUCUUAUUAAGAUAAGUCACUUAUUCUAUAGUAACCGAACCUUACUGCUUACUCUGAGGCGGAGGUACCCCGAGCCGAGUUGCUUUAAGAAUUGAGGCAAGGCAGUCGAGGAACCUACUCCCUUUUCUAAUAGUUUGGUUUAGGCCAUUCCAAAAACGAAUCCGACUCUCCCCCCUGCCCCCUUGGGCUGGCUCUUUUCUUCCUUAUUUUGAUCUAGUUUGUGUGUAGUGCGCGUGGUAAGGUGCUUUUUCUGUCUGUGGAGCCGCACUCACUUCCGGGGAUUUCCUCUUCGCAGUCGCUCGAGCUGCCCUCCGGGGAUUUCUUCUUCGCAGUCGCUCGAGCUGCCCGAAGUCACCCUUUCUUGCCACCGGUUCGGCACCCACUAGUAGGCGUUUCCCUAAGGUAUUCCCCAGCACGGCUUAUGCGGAUCUCUCUCUCUACUACCAGGGAACAGGUUCUAAUCCCCAAAGACUCCCCUCCGUCCAAACAAUAGGGCGCUAAGGCAUAAUCUCUCUUUCCUUUCGAUAAGUAAGCAAUGGAUUCAUCUGCGCUCUCGAGCUAUAACAAGGAUUUCCUGGAUAUAACCGAUCUUAUUAUUCCGUUCAUGAAGUGGAGUGGGACCUGUUAUCUCUUCUUAUGGAGUGGAACCCGUUAUCUCCUCUUAUCUAAAAGAUAUUAAAGCUUACAAUCCAGAUAUGAGACUAGGAAUACCUGCACAUCUCCGAUCGUAGAUCAAAUCAGGAAUAUUUCUUUUGCCGGGUCGUUUACUAGACAUAAAAUAGAAGGCUCUGACAAGACCUAAGGUUGCUUGCCUGUGACACUAACCUAGGGGCCGAGCCCAGCCUCAUGUGCUGAUAUAGUUUUCUACUUUAUAGAAUGGCCUCCUUUAUUGAGAAUCCUGACCAACCAUCCCUGUCAUAUGAAGCUCUCUUCUCGGUCUUUUUAGAAGGUGAGGAAGAAUCCUAAACUCCUAUGAAAGAAAUUCGAAUAUGUAAUAUAUUGUAGAGGAGAGUGCAGCAGUAAUAUAUUGUAGAGGAGAGUGCAGCGUCCGGAAGGCUUUCAAUCAUGCUUAUAAGAAGCUAGAGCUUUCCGUUAUGAAGCUAUUGUUUGUGAAUCUCCAUCCCGAAGAUCUUUACUUGAUUUCCACUAUUAAGAAAGCGAAAUGACCCUCAUUCAGUUGAAAAGUCCUGUGAAAGACUAAAGAAAUUCAUAUAAAGUAGGCUACUAUACGUACACGAAUCUAAAGGCAUCGAUUUUCACCAAAGUUAAGGAAAACUAUCAUCGCACCGAAAAAGUAGCCUUCGCUUACGUAAGCCUUUGCUGGCUUUAUGCUUGCUUACCCUAGAAAGACAUCUUUCCCUAACCACCUUAACUAGCCCGCUGGAUUUCUCACUUGAUCAGUCACUUUAUGUCUCACAGGGGAUAACAGUUGGGACUAGGUCCAAAAAGGAUAUCUAAAGAAUUUCCACCCUUAGACAAUGGGCUCGCUUAGACUUAGAAAAGGCCCCUUACAACAAACUUGCCCAGAGAAAGCCUACUAUAAGCUUACAUAAUCACCUACUCUCUAGUCGGAUGUUGCAUAUGUUGUAUAGUUGAUUUAUAGAAUAUGGGAUUUGAUGAACGGGACUGUAUGGGCGUACCCUGGGCCUGCUACAACUCUCACCGGUAUUCAAACCAGGCGACUACUAGACAAGGGGAUUGAGCUCUGUUUAAUAGAUGUUGGUAACUUGACCCACCGAGUACUCUAAAGUUAGCAAGGCAUCGCAGCUGACGCUGCCCUCGCAUCAAAGCAACAGAAUCAUUAGCUACUACUAGGUAUUAUGAUAGAAGUCUGAAAGUCAUAAUCUAGCUUUGAAGGGCAUAAACCUAAUAAGAGGCUGGAGCCAUGUAUCCAAAUUGAUGCUUUCGUCUGGCCGCUACCGCUCUUAUUGCAAAGCUUCUUCUCUGGAAACGGAAACUACACUUGCUGAUUCUUCACCGACAGAUGAAACUAGAACGGAGCUAUCCUUUCCUUCCCGUGCUUGCUGCUGGACUUUAGCCUUGAAAGCAUUUGAGUUUACUCUUUACUUAUUUCUAUUAAUGUCACAAGCUAUAUUCUUUUCUGGCUGGGCUAAGCGCAUUCUUCUUCUUGUCUUGUCCGACCUAUACUUUCCGUUAUGAAUGGAAAUUGAGAAUAUAUCUCUUGCACCAGGAGCCCGGGACUACUUCAUUGAAUCUAGCUGCGCCCUUCGCACUACUUCAUUGAAUCUCUCUUUCACAUGGUAUAUAAGAAAGUCCAGUCAAGUCGAACAGGCAAUUCGAGUCGAUAUGAUGAAAGUAGAACUUCGCAUUCCGAGCCAUCAGCAUUACUAACUAUUGAUGAAGAAUGUCUUUCUUAGUAUUUUCAGUCUGAGUCUCCCAACCAACCGUCUUAGCAGGCAGGGCAUCAGUGAAUUCAUCCUCCUUGGACUUUCCCUCCUACAAGAUAGUGGCAGGCUACUAUGGCUUAUGGCGCCUUAUCUACACAGCUUCACCCUGGUUAGAAUAUAUGAACAGCAGAUCCAGAAUGAAAUAGAUCAACUUGACUUCUUUCUCUUUACUCCUGGGAGAGUCCAGUCCGUCCGCCUCCAAGUUUGUAGCCAGAUGGCAAAGAGGAAAUGCUUUAGUAAGGGGAGUUCGUGAAACGCGGGGCUUCAUUUCGAACUUAGAAAUCCAAUCCAAGAUCCGGAAUUGUAUAGGAUCGAUAUCAAUUAGUCUCGUGCCAAGUAUGAACAACUCCUUAGGGAAGAAGAACGGAGGUGCUGAAAGCCUCCCACUUCGUACUUACUAUCAGGAUCCUAACGUAGAAGCGGAUCUGGAUGUUUACUUGUCUGACUCUGACUGUGAGGCCAUUGAUAUCAACGUGGCAGAACUUAUUGCUGGAAAGCCUUAGACAUGCAAGGCUUUGACCAAACCGGACUCGAAGUCAUCGUACAGAGGAGUAUGAAUUUCAAGCAUGCAGCUCCCCUAAAAGAAAAGGACUCCUUUGACAUCACAUAAGCAGAUGAUAUCUUUGAUCAACUCUAUCAGGACAAACAAUGGCCAAGGACACCCGGAGAUCUAAGAUCCAAAAUCCGGAAAGUGGCACAACACCAGGAGACAGAAUACGUUAGUGUUGUUUGUUUUUCUCGUAAUGUGAUCCAGGAUGCAAUCGAGAAAGUCCGGCUCAGGUUCCCAGGCAAGCAGAAGGAUGUGUGAUAUAUAGGUGGAUCAGUAUCCAUUUCCUGAGACCAUGCCGGUUAACAUGUUGACUCCGAAGUUAAUGAGGGUAUUGGACACGUCAUCUGAAGAGCCGAAAAACACUAGUGCUUGUAACUGAAAGACUAGUGCUUGUAACUGAUUGAGCAAGUCCAAGGAAAGGAGCCAAUACAGGGAUAUAAAAAGAGUCUAGUACUUUGUGCUCGCUGCCACGCUGAAUGACAAGGGAGUGAACAGAGCAACCCGACCGCUCCCUCAGGGGAAAAGGGUUGAGAAGCCACGGCACGGUACCCCGCUACAAGUAUAGGAUGUCAAGAUUCCCCCCCAGGAGAAAAACGAAUCCAAAGGGUGGGAGCAUACCUGUGACAGCAAGUGAUCAGAAAGGAGUGACCUUCAACCUCCCGGCAAACGUGGUUCAAAUGAUGAUGAGUCAAGCUCCGUUCAGAGGUAACCCCAAUUUCAUGCUACCAAAUACUCCAGUGGCUCAAUGGUAUGAGCACAGACCCAGAAAUGCUCCUAACCGUUCCGAAAGAAGUUCCUAUGGAUCAAAUGAAACGGAGUAAGAAGUUGUGCUAAAGUUGUUACUAGUCCUGUGUUCGCUGUCGCGGCAGGGAGUUAAGGCGCGUUAGUGUUAUUCCGACUGCUGGGGCACAGUCUGAGCCUACUUAGUGUCAUUCCGAACCUACCCGGCAUCAGGCUCGGAAGCAUGGGUUUGAGCCUCAGUAGCACAAGUAUCAGGCUUGGAUUCACUGGUUGGUGUCCGAGUAGCCCUGGUACACAGGACACAGAAAUAGUAUACUCAUCGUCAACACCCGACCUAGACCUUACUUUGACGGUUAUGGCUCUUAACUACUCCACUACUCGGUUAAGCCUUAUUGUCUCCCAAUAGGGAAGGGAUUCCACUUUCAGUCAAACACCUGACCUAUCUACCACUACUAAUCAGAAUAAGGGAUCUAAUAACUGGGCCAAGCGUAUACUAUUGGACUGGAACCCGACUGACUACUUAAAGAAUCAACCCUGCAACAAAGCCUCGAACAGAAGAACCUAUAUCUCCACCACUACAAAUACAGAAGUAAACCAGCCGACCCGCGCCUAGCCUCAAAAGUCAGUAAACAAGCCCGACCCCUAGUAACUUCUUGAAACAACUACUCUAACAAGCAAGUCAGUAAACUACCCUCGCAUCAAACCGACCCAAACUUGUAUGUAAACUACCUUCGCCUCAAAGCAAGUACUCUCUGGCUCCGAUACCGUAGUCAUCCGAUACCGUAGUCAACUAAUAACGGAAUGAGGCUCAUCUAACUAGGGCUACUAUAAACAUCCUCUGACUCAUCUACCUAUGGUAACUCCACCUCUACUCCUCUUGCGGAUUAUAAUAAGGGUGCAAUUCUGUAACUCCCGCUGACGAGUUCAAUUCAGUAAUUCCUACUUCUGAGGUUGUCUCUUACUUCCGACUUCCUCGAAUAGUCUCUUUUCACUCAGGCUCCUUUGCCCACUUCUCCUCUUGCCCAAACUAACUCGUAUACCCUUAACGAAACUUCAAGUCAAGCCUUAUUGUCUCCCCAUAGGGAUGAAACUCGGGAUUCACCAACAACAAGAAAAGCACUCGAGCUGGAACAGGCAAUUAUCCACUACAACACUAAACAAUAAAAGUACUGGCAACCGACACAAGAACAUAAAUCCACUUUACUUACUGACUUUUGAAGAGUGGGGAAAUCGACUGGAAACACAGAAUUCCUACAGUAAGUCCAACUCUUGUACCUCCGCACCCACACACCUGACCCGAGCUACCUAGCAUCAAUCCAGAUACCCUUGCUUUCAGGCCGAGCCUACCUGGUUGAAGUCUUAAACUACAUAGCUGAAGUCCGAGAGAACAGUAGUCCAUUCUCUAACUACCCAGCUGCAGCCUCUAAUUCCAUGGCAUCAGUCCGGGGCCCACUAGCUCACCUCUCCUUGGACUCCUACUGGCUAGCUCCACUCACUGACUCUCCACUUAAGCCUGUAACUACUGAUUGUUAGGCUUACUACCCUUACUUUCAGGCUUGACCGCUUAUUAGUAGUGGUUGCAUUCUUACACUCUUCAUUCCAUUACUAGCACUCUUCAUUCCAUUACUAGACCAGUGGAGGACAGCAUAUCAGUAUGUUACUCCCUUGGUUCAUUCUAACUUGCCAACUAGCUCAACCUCGUUGCAUUCUUAGCCUUUAUCUUACAGUUGGAUUCACCAAUCCCUCACUCGUCCCAUUCUUUGACUCACUGGUGGAAUUCUGUAAUUGACUACUUUUAUUCUUCUAUAUAUUGGUUGUAGUCUUAGAUACACCGGUUGAAGACAGAUACCCUAGCUACCCAGCAGCAGUGGUGGAAUUCUAUCCCUCCGAACAAGCCCCACGACUAGCUGACCAACCAAUACAAGUAAUACCUAGCAUCCGAACAAAGGACUUUCACACGAAACUAGGGAUGACACUCACACUCGACAAACAAGAACAUACCCGACAGCAGCUUACUUGCAAUAUUCCUAUUCAGAAGCACUGGAUUCAGCUUCCUCGCCUCUCCUCUGUCUCUUAUCCGAUACCGUAGUUAACAAAUACAGUUAGGGCUCUGGACUACAAUACUGGUUGGGGCAAUUGACUUGAAUAGCUUCCCGAGCCUAUAAGUCAAAGAGACAAAGAGGCCCUGAGGAAUGUAACUGCCAACUAUCAAACUCAUGAUCGGGGGAGCUCCUGUCGCUAGUGCCCCUUAUAUAUCUGCGAGUAAAUUGGCUUACUUGUAGUUGCUGAUCUACCAGUUGCUUCUGCUGACUUGAGAACUGAGCUUGACCCUUCCCUUACCAGUAAACCUCCUUACGCUACUCCUACUAGUUUGGGAUUAAACUCUUCCUCUCACUGGCACCGAGUCCAACCCUAUUCUGAUGGACAGCUACUGACAGGACUACUACUUAGUUAGUAAGGAUUAUCAGAGUGGGAAUGGGAAGUUGGGGGACUGGUUUCAUUCUGACUUUCGAACAGGACCUUAUAGUAAUUUGGUGCGAGCAGAAGUAAAGUAUCUUGUCUGUUAAUGACUUAUUCCUAGUUGUGAGGUCAAUUCUGAGUGGCAUUGGUUCAAGUCUGUAACUCCCUUGUUGAAGUCUUUGACGAUUGUGGGAGUAUUCUUAGUCUGCUGAUGGGCUAGUUCAUUCUUAGACUGCUUAGGGACAUUCUGUGAUUGACGGGGUUAAGUCCGAGUCUACCCGGUUUGAUUCUUAUAUUAACAAAGGAGCUGCUUUCUCAUCUCCCUCGACUUCUGGCUCUUCUCUUGUAACUACUGAUUAUCUGGUCGACCUCUGUUAUUUAUUACUUUAUGAGCUUCCUCUCCUCGCCUCAAAGCCAGUAAGAUAGUCUGCCCCGACCUCUAAUAAGUGUUAACACCGAACCGACCUCCAAUAGACCCGAGCUCUGUAAUCUAAUUCUUAUUGAAAGAGCUAUACCUCUGUUGAUGAUCGGUAGGCUUACCACUAACUAAUUGGUUGCAUUCUUAAAUUAGUCAGCUCUGUUCUAUCCCUUAACUACCCCAACAAGAGGCGCCCCACACCCCACAAAGUCAGUAAACUAGAACUUACAAUAAGGGCCCCUAGUAACUUCUUUCCACAAGCCAAUCACCUACAGAUGAAACCCGGGUUUGAUAGCAAAGAGCUGGAUCAAGGAGCUAAAGUCUUAUAUUCUCGUUUUUAUUAGCCUUGUUAAUGGUGAUUUGGAUUCUGUUUUCUUAUAUUAAUGUUCAAAAGAAAGUCUCUUCGUUGUUGCAGCUAAGCUACGAGGAGUGAGGGCCAAGCAACUACUACAGCGGCAGGCUGCUCCUGUUCUGUUAUGAGCAAGUAAAGUUUUCGUCGACUUUUCUUAUUUAUUUGUGAUUUGAGAAAUUGAUUCAUCCCAUUCCAUUCUUAUUGUCUUCCCCAACUAGACCUAUAAGAAGUGCCCGACCCGAACUAACUCUAUCUGACUAGCUCACCUCUCGCUACAAAGACAGAUGCUACUGGGGAUGCAACUUACACUCGAACAGGAUCUUUUCCCUCUGGCUCAUCUCCCUAUGGCUCUUCUAACUCUCCUCUGGCUCACUUUCAUUCUUAUCCGAUACCUCUAUCUGUUCUCUUCUCUUCUGCUACUAUACCUGUCCUAUGUCUACGCCGUUCAAUUCUGCACUUCUUUUCUUUACUUCUAGCUUCCUCGCCUCAGCUUCCACUUAUGCUCUGUGAACUCAGGCUUAACUAACCAAUAAUCAGAAUCGAUAAGGUGCUUCUCUGGGCGUGGACAGCUGUUGAAUAAGGCUGGAUGUUGCCGGUGAGUCAGAUUGACUACUUAGUUCAAUUCGAACUUCCCUACUUUGGUCAUAUGAUAAGGAUCCAUCUUCGGCUGCUGUUGACUACCCGGUAAGAAUAGGGUUUCCAAGGAAUGAUUUCGAAUCGAUAUAAUGCAUUUCAAGCCUAUAUCUUUAGGAUCGGUAACUACCCUUCUUGUGCUAGUGCUCUUGAGUAGGAAAGGAAGAAUUCAACUAGCUACUAUCAACUACUGGCAAAAUUCACUGACUUACCGCAUCUGAUCUCGUAUACUACACUCGAACAGGAACUGUCAACUUUCACUCACACCCGACCCUAACUCUGUCAACAAUGAACUUCAUUCUUAUCCUAAGAACUAGUCUGUAUUUCGAUAGGUCGUUUCCUCAAUUCCCCUUGAUAGGGUUUUGCAUACCCUUUUGUAGUCGAUACAGAUCCUGAUUUAGAUGCAAUGGAUAACGUCCAAACAACUGCUAAUGUGGAGUAUGGAUUGGCAAGAGGCGCACGAGCACUGGAAUAGUAGGAGAGUUCCACUAAUAAGUCAGAAACAAGCUGACAAGUAAUGUAUAAUCAAGCAGACAAGCUACCAACCCAGUAAAUACUUCCUCUAAUGGCCAACCCAGUUCCGUUAUCCUUGAUUUUUCCUUAAUAAGAGAAUAUAUAAUUAAUUAGGGGACAAGUAACUACUAAUGUGUAGCGGCAGUGCAGUGCUACUGUGUAAGUGGAGCGUCAAGAUGUCGACUUUUCUGGAUUAUUUGUUCUUUGUGAAAUUGAUUCAUCGGGACUACCACUACUGGGAUGAAACCAGAGCCAGCAUAGUCACUGUCACUAAAACCCGGCAAAAAACAUAGCAUGGACAUUUCCCCUCCUGGAGCACCCGAAACGGACUUCCUUUUUUAAGAAACCCGUCUUUUUUCGUUGCAACCAAGUUUUCCCUCCUAAGGGGUUCCAUUUCCAUGAUCUUUUGGACGAAACCCGUGUUUUUUCAUAGCCAAGGUGAGAGCUCCUGCCGCGGAACAUUAGCAGUUCCUUGGCCCCUCCUGAGCCGAUCCAUUGAUCUUACAUUUUGACGUUUUCCCGUCUUUUUUGAUAGCAAAUAUAGACUUUCAGUACUUAUAGCUUAGCUUAAAAGCCGAUACCUGAUCUAUAUCCUUUCUCCCAUACCUCUGGCUACAACUCCCUAGUCAUUCACUCCUCUUGCUACAACUACUGGGCAGCUACUACUUUGACUACUACUAGUUGGGGGACUAGACUACUACUCCCCUGGCUUUCGUCUUUCUUUCUUCCAUUACUUUGUCCUUCUGGCAAUUCAAUUAGUAGUUCAUUUUCCACCCGAAUCUUGAGUUGAGGGUUCCCUUGUGGAAUCUUACUGCCGUGACCAAUAUUCAGCAAUUAGGCCUAUAGUAUCUAGUAUUUAUAUCCUUAGCAACUAGGCCUUAGCAACGAGUAUUUCUUAAUAUCCUGAGCAACAAGGCCUUAGCAACAGUAGAAAUUAGUAACAUACAUUAUAUACUUAUUUUAGUAACAACUACUAUAUGUACUUAUUUUAGUAACAACUACCUCUCCAUACCGAAUUCUAUAUUAGGCCUGAGUUAAGAAAGAGGUGAGUUAAGAAAUAGGAUUGAGUUAUCGGAAUAUUUGUAAUAACCUGUUCUUUAGUACCCUUUUCUUCCCCUACUCAGGAUACAACUUAUUCUUUAGUUCCUACUCCGGGGGUAGUUAAUUCCUCUCUUUGCCUUUGCUUUGUCGUAGUAGCUUGUCGACGUCCUCGUUUCUGCUUAAAAGCACAAAUAGUUUCUUCUGCCCUAACACUUGCCUUUCCUUCCUAUGCUUGACGACUAAUCACAUAUUGAAGACACUUAUCGGCUCUUAUACGGCAUUUUAUACUAUCAUCUUUGAGCAAACAAACGUAUAUUCUAGUGCACAGAAGUAAGUUAGUCAUUCCGUCGAAGAAGUAAGCUUACGCGAGUUGACAGAAAAGAAAAAGACUCCACUUUAGUACACCGUGCUCUUCAAAAGAAAAGCCCAUAAUCCGUAAGAGCAAUCAAUUGAGUUAGAGAGGCGACCUCUCCUCGACUUGAAGUAAAGAAGAGAAUUGCUCCAGUAGAGAUCCAUUAGGAAACAAGCCUACUACCCUUACCUUAAUGUUACUUCAAUGCCACACUUAAUAAUUUCCCGACCCUACUUCUAUUGUUUGAGCACCCGAACCCGUGUUUUUUGGUAGCAAUCAGUGAGCUCCUGCCGCGGAACGCGAACACAGGACUUGUUUAUAACUUGUAAUAUCUAUUAUUGCUGCUGCCGCGCAGCGGCUUGCGCCGUUGCUUGGCCCUUGGCCCCUCCUGGACCGAUCAAAAGGAAUUCUAUUUUUCCGGGAACUCCUGCCGCUACACUAACGUAGUUACUUGGCUCUGGAUUAUUUGUGAUUUCUCUUUUCUUGUUUUUUCUUCCUUGCCGGAUAGCUUUCAUUGCUUCCCUUGAGACCUCUACUCUGGCUCAUCUAAACAAGCUGCUUUCUCAUCUAACUUGAUUCUUAAAACACAUAGAAAGUAGGAUUCUUAAAACACAGAGCAAGUGGGCAAGCAUACAGAUUCAGAUAGUUGGGGACUUUACCGGUAUUUCACUAAUCUAGUUAUAGGCUUUAACCCCUUAUUUAGAGGGAGAGAACGAAGCAAAUUACUAGAAGGCCCUACUCUUUGGGCCCUACUUAUAAUACCAACCCGGAUUCUGUUUCUGACCUUGCCCACCUUGACUCUGGCUACUGGCUAAUCUCUAUCCUCUAGCUACGCCCUCGCUUUAAGGCCGUUACUCCCUAGGUCAAUUCUGUGACUUAUGAGUGGAAUUCUGAUGCUGACUAGUUUCUGAUUUCCCUAGGCAUUGGGAAUUAAUACCUUAACUACUAGCUCACCUCUUAGUUGCAUGUGAAGACUGGUUGGCAUUGGUCUCAUUCUUAGUUAUCUAUAUAAGGGCUUAGCCUUGCUCACCCUACCUUCAUUCUCGGACUUAUGGGGUUCACUCUGAUACUGGCUAAUUGGAUUCUGAAUAGUACUGGUUGGAUUCUGUAACUACUUAGGUUCAGUCUGCCUAGGCACCACAUCAGGCUCAGCGGUAUUGGUUGAAGCCUUAGCAACAGUGGUUCAAAACCCUAGCUACAUAGGCACCAGUCCCAUACGAGUAACUACCUAGCAUCGGACUUAGAAGCAUCAGUAUCAGGCUUGGAAGGCGGUGUUGCAUUCUUAGACUCCUGAGUGCAAUUCUGAUCUUAGUACUAGAGCAUUGGUCAAGCCUUAAUAAGUAGGGGCUUCCUUCUUAAAGAUAAGAAUUUUCAUUCAAGGCAGAAACUAACUAUAAGAGCAGCAGCUUACUUUAGAACCAGAACUAGGGCUGUGACUACUUAUACGGAUACUGAUCUUUACUUAAACUCAAACUUGGGCUUUUCACUCUUACUGGCCAUACUUUCAUUAUGUAUCUAACCUUUGAUCCUUACUUGCCUAUAUUAAUCUGACUAUACAAUAUCUUUUUCUUAAACUCAUUGGUACGAUAGACUAGAGCGCAUCUAACCUAAUAUUGGAAUAAACCCACUGCCUUGCAUUCUUGAGUUCGGUCCCGCCCUAACAGAUGAUAGGCCUGCCUCUCUGGAAUCUAAAACAGACAUUGCUUUAUCUCAGUCCUUCUUUGAUUCUUCCACCGCUUCCGGGCAUCCUGUAUUGACAGCUUAGGUAUGCCUCUCCCUUAUCGAAUUCUCUGUAUCGUGUCUUGCAUCCUAUAUUCCCUUAUUUCAAAAUAGAACCAGUGCUUGUGCUAUCAAGACUUGAGCUAGUGCCUAACGACUGAAACAAGAAAAUGGGCCAAGCCAACAAGUUUGUAUUUCGGUGUUAGUUGAGUUCGAGUCAAAGAAAUAGUCUCUGUGUUGAGCCGUUCGAGUGCUUGUUUGACUUGUGAAAUAAGAAAGAGGCAUAAGAUAAUUGAGUGCAAAGUGGAAUUGAGUGCAUGUCAACUUAAUUGUCCAAGCCAGACUUAUAUAUAAGCGUAAACAGAUUGUUCCGCUGUUGCUGGUGGUAUUGUUGCAGGGUUCAGAGAAGAUGGUACUGGCUUUGAAGCGGUAAGUCCUUCAUACUCGUUUCUUUCUUUCUGCUCUUGUUGAAUCGUUUCCAUAAUUUUAUUAAGAAUGCUUUGGUGCUGGUUCUGGACUGAAAGUUGACUUUAAUGAAAAAGGGAAUGGACUGUUCGACACUUGAAAAUAGAUCUAUACUCUUCACUCUCAUCUCAAGAUUCAAUUACUAGAGUGGAGAUUCCUGCUUGUUCAGGUAAAUAAUAUGGAUCAGAAGAAGUCCUAGUUAGUUAGUUCCUCUUUACUCACUUAAUCGUAUAAGCUAACCUUCUUAUUCUUAUGUAUGCCCUACACGUGAGCACCUACCUCGCAACAAUAAGACCUACAUACUGGGUAGUAUCAUUAAAGUAGAGAACAACCAACAGAAGAUGAAACACGGAACAAGCACGUGAGCUUAGUUUUUAAGCCAAAGUAACGUGAGUUGGGGUAAACAAGAAGGGCACUUUCUAAAAGAAGGAUAAAUAUAAUAAACUGGGAAAGUGGAGCUCUCUUCGGCGCAAGAAUAGAAAGGUUCCAUAAAAGCUCGGGGCAAGGUGCUAAGAGCCUGUAUUUGUUGCUGAAGCCCUCCACUCUAAAUCUUAUGUUCAAGCCUUAUUUGCCCUAAAUUCUCUUUGUAUAUUAGACGAGUAUCUUUCUGUGCGAGUUCAAGUCCCCUUGUUCCCGCAGCUUAAAGAAUUUCUCAUUUAGUGCUCCCCCAAUUAUAUAAAGAAGAAAGUCAGAGUAAGAAGACACUCCCGAAAGCAAAAAACAGGGGCAAGUAAUACAUACUUCUGAAGCACUAACUGAGUUCAAAGAGACUGUUCGAAGUAUGCAAGAGAAUCAGCAUCAGCAGGAUUAGUUCCAAAGUCAGUAACUUAAUUGCCUGUUCGCGAGGUAAAGUAUCAAGUGGAGUUCAACAAUCAACGGAACCAGCAAGCGCUAACAAGAUUAGUCAACGGAACCAGCAAGCGCUAACAAGAUUAGAUGCUGCAUCAGGAGAAUCAUCAGCAGCAGUAUCCAUAUCCGGGGUAACUUGAGAAGAAGUUGUUCUUGUGUUGGCAACGAGAAAACCCGUUUGAUUAGCAGCAGUCUAUUUACUUCAUUCAAUCUAUACCAUUACCCUGUGCUCGAUAAUCAAUUAAGGGGCCAUACAGCAAGAAGUCAAGUGUUUGAGGGAAAGGCGAAGUCAAGAGCAGAGCCAGCAGUAAUAACUCGCAUUAGGGAUUCGGUUCCUUUUGCGAUUCCAUUCUUUCUUUCUCUUGUCUUUCGCACCUUUGAAGCAGUUUUAUUACUUUCACUAUAGAUGUAAGCAGUGAGGCAGAAUAGAGUGAUUCAAGCUUAAAGUCAGCUGCAAGUGGAGAAGCAAGGGGACAAGUGCUGACCUCUUUCCUUUACUUGCUCAUAACUCACUACCUACUAGCAGCCCAGCCGCUAUAACUCGGCUCCUGCCGCCGACGAAAGCAGAAAUUGUAAUAGGAAAGGUCAUUGUGGAUAUUCCAUUAUUUGUGCUAUUGCUAGUCUUUACUAGUGGGACCGCCGUCGCGAACACAGUGGUCUCUCUCUGACCAGGACCAGGAACCGAAUCUACUAUUUCUAUUGACAUUAUCACAGGAACCGAAUCUACUAUUUCUAUUGACAUUAGAAGGGGUAUUAAUGGGUUUGCUGUGGAUCAACCUCCAAAUGGAUUGGAUUCACAGUACUCUAUAGGUUUGCAUCGCAAUGAUCCUGACAUAAAAGAAAAGCUCAAUCUCUCGGCUUGGCUCACGUUUUAGCACUUAGGAAUAAGCCGAACUCAACAAGCGCAACGUUAAGUCACUCGCGUAAGCACAAGCAAACUCCGUUCAAGGACUUUCGAGCAAGCAAGUGAAGAGCCAGACUUCAUCUUAGUAGCUGAUGUCACCCGUAUUCUAAUCACUAAGGCCAGAGAAAAGAUGAUCUAUUUUAUUUCAAUGUGAUUUCCAUAAAUGUUUCAUGCAUGUUUGUUACCGGGCGCAAUAAGAUCAAGUUGGUAAGGAGCAAAUUCUCCUCUAUUUGGAUUAAUAUAUAUAUUUUCUGAUGAUAGAAGAUAGCGUCACACAUAUAGAAGAGUGUCAACAAACAUCCUACAGCUUUUUUCGUCCUGUCCUCGCCUCGGGGUCAAAUGCUUUCUUUUCUCUUUGUCAUUACUUCAAUAUUAACCUCUGUGUUUCAUUACUGUAUUCUUAUAACUAACACGAGCUCAGUUGCUAGUUCUGUUGCGUAAUUCUGUUAGCGCUUAAUUCUAUGUUGUGUUGCUUGUUUAUAUAGUUCCCCUAUCUGCUCUCGUGGCGCGUUAUCUUAUUUGAUUGAGUUUCAGUUGUGCCUCAAUUCGUUCGUUCUGAAAGAGUAAUCCGUUUCGUUACUUGAUUUUCUUCUAUUAGUGGCAUAGUGGUCAAUUCCAUUCCUGUCCUGGUUUACUUACAUUCUCAAAAACAGCAUUUCUUUGGGCAAAAGAGAGGACCUCCCAGUGAUAGAAUCCCCUGCUUGCUUUUUCACUCCCCUUAGAAUGAAUGUACAAGAUGGUUUCUCUACCUGGGGCAUCUGUGAUCAAAUUCCACAAUUAGUACGGCUUUCUGACUUUCCUCUGAAGUAAUCCUCAUAUCCGUGUACUCCACAAUUCCCCUUCACAGCUCUCCUUUCAGGAACCAAUGGUGCCAUGUGUAGCCGGGCAGAUAGCGACUGCAGGGAGGAGAGUUAGCCUAUUGAAGCAAAGCACUCUUUAUGGGCUUUCUCAGCAUGACUUUCGCACUCCAAAGAAAGACAAAAAGUGAAAGGUGGACGCAGGCGAUCAACUGGAGAUCUCCUAAGUAAGUAAUCAUAGCGGAUCCAAUCCCUCUCUAUAACUGGCUUGCUUGAGCCGCGCAGAUCCAAUCCCUCUCUCUCUAUAACUGGCUUGCUUGAGCCGCAUCGAUGAUUUCCUUCAGCCUAUCCCCACGCAAAGCAAUUGUCCUUCCUAAAAACUCACAGCUUUUCUCUUCUGAUUCCUAAGAGAGCCAGAGCCCAUUGAACGAACUUACCUAUUUCAUACCUAACUGCCCCAUUGUAUCAAACUUGUUAGCUUCUUACCCGGAAACUCCCACUAGUCACAAUCAAUAGUAAUCCCGCAACCUGGCUCUGUCCUCCUUCCCCAUACCUGAUAGAAAACAACAACCUUUAGUACUAUAUUUCUUUAGGAACCCACUGUACCUGUAACGUUGAACCAUGUCAGUAAACUGUGGAAAGUACGCCCUAAAGUCAAGGCCCCGGAGAUAGGAUUUCUCAACAGUCGAUCGACGUGACAAUCAUGCCUGCUUCACAAAGAAAGCCUUUCUUUUAAGUCUACCCAAUCAAAAACAAUAAGAAUUGCUGGUGACAUGAUGCUCGACGCUCUCUUUCCUAUUCUACUGCACCUAAGUGUCCCUUGCUGCUUUCUAUGAUUGAGUGAGAAGUCUAAUUGCCUACAAUCCUCCAAUCUUCAAUUAGAGUGUCUACAAUCCUCCAAUCUCCAAUCGAAGUCUAAUUGCCUACAAUCCUCCAAUCUCUAAUCAGAGAACAAAUGCAAAGUACCGAGGCAAGCAAAAAGAUGAAAGUUAGACCACAUGUUAUCAGUGAAGGAAUUCAAGGCAAACUCAUGGCUAAGGCGAUCCAAAGUCAGAGGUAGAUUCUUUGAUUGGGGGUUCGGGUCUGUCCUAAGUAUAGGGUUCGGGUCCAUAAGCAAGUAUAAGCUGGUGCCUAACAUGCUUCAAGCAAAGGGAUUCACCUGAGUGCCUUAGUGAGUUUACAACCUCGUCCAGUAUUUGAGUCAUUAGUCGCGCAGAAAUAGAGAUUUUAGGCUUACGUGAGUUCUUUGAAUAGAAUCUAGAUCACAUACAUAUGAUAGAAUAAAGAAAUCUAUCCAUCAAUAAAUAUGAAUAGAAUCCACACGGUGAACUCGCAUUAGAAACCGGAGCACUCCAACCUAACCUGCGAGAAGCGGUGACUACUUUUGACCACUUAGCGCUGAAAAGGCUAUAAAGUCAGAGCAAUCAGUUGACUUCAGAAGCACGGACUCCACUGGGCGAGAUCGUGAUCGUAUAGACACUUGGCUUUCCACUUAGCCUAGAGCAGAAAGAAUGGAAUUGAUGACACUACUAAUAGAUAAGAGUGAAGACUUGAUAUAGAUAAGAGUAAAGACUUGAUACUAUACUUGAGACUUGCCUGAAGCCAGAAAUGGCUGAAUGGAAUUGCACAGCCGAUGAUCCUGACUAUGAUCUUUGGCUACUUGACGGGCACUGCUUUCACGCCUGAACAAGCAUAAGAUCUUUUGGAUUUUCUAACUCGCAACAAACACUUUCAAGUCCUGUUUAUUAGAGGGUUAGAUCUCUAAGGUAACUCACUACCCCAUGUACUCUUUCCAAUAAGAAGUAGAAUACCGGUCGCCAACAAGCACUUCAGGAACUCUUCCGAUAAAGUCACUUCUUGUCUUCAACUUACUAUAGGGGCCUCUUCUGAAACUGGAAUUUCAUCUAUUGGCGAGUCAACAGAUGCGGAAUUCCUUCUUUCGAGCAAUGCAUAUUGUAGAGAAUUGCCUGUUACUAGGGUAGGCAGGUUGACUUACUUGUACAAGGGUGGGGGCGGAGUAAAGUAAAGGCUUUGAUUCUAUAAGUACGGAGAGUGAGAGUCUAGGUAUGCAAGGUAAGCUAUUCAAUAGUUGGCAGCAGAGGAGUUACAGAGGUAUAGCUUAGUAUUAGUAUAGGGGUUGUCUUAGUAUUCUUCUCGUAGGAUUCUACCUUCCCUUCCAAUGAAACUAGAAAGUCAUAUAAAUGAAACUAGAAACACCUGAUCCACAUCUUCUCUGGCAACUAUUAACUGAGAAACUUGACUUGACGCAUCCCUUUCCACUUGCUCUUCUCUGGCAACAAGGUCUUCAACAAGAACUAUAGCACUGAAACUACUUAAAACACAUAGCUAGUAGGCAAGCAUUCCCUCUUCUACCCCUGGCUCUUGCAACUAACCACUCCUCUUCUCUGUCCUGUGUGCGCCUUAUGUACUAGAUGCACCAAGUAACUACUAAUGUGUAGCGGUAGGAGUUAAAGACUACUUAGUUCAAUUCUGUAACUCUACCUUAUUAGCCCAGCUCUGAUUCUUAUACUUACUGGUGGAAUAAUGACCAAGCUUGCAAGUAGACAGGAAAGAAACUCCACUUUAAUAACUCCCUAACUUACAAUAGGGCUGUCUCUUUGAACUCUGGCUGUUAUGAUCCUGAUAGCAAUUCUGAACUUCAGUACUUAGCCCUGGUAUUGAACAAAACAAGUAUUGAACUAAAGAAUCUAGAAACUCUAUACCGUUAGCGCACAUCGGAUUCUUUUGCUUGUCGAACUCUACUUGAAGAACCACUUCCCUCUAAUGCUUCGUCUACUUCUUUGAAUCCACAACUGGCCUUGCUCUGCUCCACCUAUGACUGAUGGCUCUGGACCACUACGGGCGCUUGGGUAACUCAAUCUAUUCUAUUCUUUCAAGUAAAGGCGCUUGGGUAACUCUCCUCAAUGGUGGCAGGGAACAGCCCAAACAAUCAUAUCGUCGUCUGCGGACUCGGGAACAGCCCAAACAAUCAUAUAAGGUAUUAGAGCAAAAGGUCAAAGAGAUGAGGCUGAGGCUUCUGAUCCAACUCCUUAUCCGGUUUAUGUAGCAGACUUUCACACUCCCCUUGAAAGAACCGCGAAAACAAUACUUGGCAGGAGAAAAGUAGUCAAUUAAGCAAGUUGUAUAACCCAUGUGUGAAGCAAGUAGUAAAUAGAGAAGUUGUUGCUAAGUAGUUAGCUUGGCCCCUAGUAACUACUUGUUAUGUGUUUGUACUACUGGGCACUGGACUUGUCAAGCAUCUUAUUCUGUUGAGCCUUCUCUGGCUUCACCACCCUAUGCCUCCGCCUAACCUUCACUUUAAUGCUUAGCUUUCCCUUGUAGUGAUCAAAAGAAUGUAGAAUGCUUAGCUUUCCCUUGUAGUGAUCAAAAGAAUGUAGUUCGGCUCGCUAAAGUAGUUUACUAUUUCUUUCAAUGAAUGAGCCAGAGGGUUUAUUCCUUCAUUAUAGAGUGGAAGUUCAAUCAGUUCAAUCUAGUUCCGCGCUAAGAAGAUCUUUGCCUACUUAUGUUCUUAGCCUGACAGCUGACCCUUGCAAGCCAACACCAGACUUUAACUAAACUAUAGAGUUCAAUACCAGAGUUAUGGAAUGGAAGGCACCUAGACGUUACAGGGGAUUCAACUACUCAUGAAGGGGAUGAAACAACUAAUAAAGGUGCUGAAAGCCACUCGGUAUUCAACUAUAGCACCAAACCUAUCUCUACCCUUAACAUCAAGUAAAGACUUAUUGUCUACCAAUAGGGAUUCCACUCGGUAUGAAACAGGCAUUAGUUCCAUUCUUCCUUCCUUAUGCGAGGUUGAAUUCUUACUUGGUCUAUCCGUGUCUUGGCCCAGUUGUGUUCUAGGCCUUGCCCAGUUGCUUGGCCUGAUAACUACUAGGGAUAUAAUUCCAUAGGUACUCGAAAUAGCGAUAAGAAGAAAUAGUCAACUACUUUCAACAAUAACUCCCGACUUGGGGCUUGUUUUGAUUCUGUGACUACUGAGUUGCAUUCUGAUCUAGUGGCUACUAGUUCAUUUCUUAUUGACUAGACUCUAGCACUACUUAGUUCAAUUCUGCACUGAACUUCCUUCACUGUAAACUAAAAACUCCAGUUCGUUUUCUACCUUCCUACCUUAAUUCUUACUUGAAACUAGCACUCCUCUUUCUGACCCUACUCUAGCUGACCCUACUCUUGCGCCUUGUAUCUAAGGUAGGAAUAUGACCCUUUCUUUACUAAACUAGCUUAACUAAGAACUCACUAUAGCUUGUUUCGAGCGCAGAAGUCAAUAAUGAAGAUCUUCUUGAUGCUGACUUUCCUCUUACAACACUUGUGCACCUUCUGAAACUCUAAAGUCAGAAUGAAAGAAUGGGGAAUUUCUGAGGCCUUCUUUCUAUACGGUAUAUGUCCAAAUGUAUAGAUUUUCAUGUUAACGAGGGAAAUGAUGGUAUUUGUUGCGAGAUAGAGAGCCCACUAUGCAAUCUGAAUCUAUGAAAUGCUAUGCUAUAGGGAGGUUCAUAAGAUUCCCAUGAGUUUCUACUUUUCUCAUUCGUCUAUCAUUAGCUUGUUCCGCAACUACUGGACGGUUGAUAAUCUAGUAGUAGUUCCCUGGCUCGUUGCUUGGCCCCCAAAUGAAUUUCAUGAUUGUUUGCCCCAUUAGGCUGAAACACCUGUAGAAAGAAGUAACACCAACAACUGCCCCGACCUAUCCUGGAAGUUAAGACCCACUUGCGACAGGCUCUGCUCUAUCUGCUUCCUUUCGCCCGAGAUACCCGAUUGCAGCUUACUCGUUGUUCUAUAGAUCCAUGUAAAGACUAACUCAACUUGCCAGCGCAUUGGAUACUAGGGGAGCGGGUACGCGCAUUCAAUGAUUUUCCCUAUGCCUCUUUCUUUUAUCCUACACAUCUUUCUUCUCAUUUAAAUCCACUUUCUUUUAGACUUCACCCAUUUAACAACUUAGAUCAAUGUCGGUAACUAACCUACUAACACCUCUGUCAACUGGCAACUCAACUUACCUGGCCUCCCUCUUUGUUUGAUUAUAUGAUCUUCCUUAUUACUCUUCCCUAUAGUAGGAUUCCACUCGCCUCCAAAGAAUUAAGAAAACUGGGAUUACUCGUAGUGAGUGACUUCUAAACAGGUAGUGAGUGACUUCUAAGCAGGUAGUGAGUGAUGAGCAAGUCCGCCAAGACACUACUAAUGUGUCGCGGCAGAGCCGCUAUUCCACUGCUAUCCGAGGUGACUUCUUUCUCUUAUACCAACUAAGGCGACUCUAUUCGAUAUACCCCACUUCGAUAUACCCCACGAUGGACUAGCUAACCUGCCCUCUUGCCUUGACUUGGAAAUAUUCCUUCUUGCCCUUGCUUUAAGAGCAAAUAUCUGCACCCAACCUGGCAAGAACUAUAAAGUAUUUCCUCACUCACACUGAACAAGCACCAACACACAAGUCAACUUUUCAAAGCACUUAACUCACACAACAACUGAUUCCUUUGGCACUGAUCCAAAUCCCUCUCCUUAUCUUGCUUUGGCUUCUUCUCCAGAUACUUAUUAUACUCUAUCUUUUGAUUUUGCUUUGGCUUCUCCUGAUCGAGCUAGCGGAUAGUUCUGUUCUCUAACAGCUUUCCUUGUCGAAACUUCUUAUAGAGGCCCAAACUGUCUUCAGUAAAGUCAAUAAAUACGGAAUUGCACUCUGAAGUAGUAAAGUUCUCAUUUAGGAAUCUCAUUUCAUAAUUGAGCACUAGUGGGUUAGGUUAGGUUAGUUGCUCUUUCCUUAUUUAAUGGUUAGGUUAGUUGCUCUUUCCUUAUUUCAUAAUAUAGUGGAAGUUUGAAGAGCAGGUUUGCAAUGUACCGGGGGUUGGAGCUGGAUCGGUACAAAAGCCAGAGGUUGGUAACGUCACUUAGUCUCUUUCUGUGCCAGUGUUGUAAGUAAAGGAAGCAUCAUCGAAAGAUGGAAAUCAAGUCGUUUGUGGACUUCGGAACAAGACUCAGUUUCCAUAUAGAAUUCAAAUCGCAACGUAGUAAGAUAGUACAAGCUUUGAAGGUAUCCUCUAGUAGUAGUUGAGUUAGCUUAGUUUAGUGUCUUUUAGUUCCACUGAAAUCUGUCUUUGUUGUCCGUUAUUCAUGUGUGCGGAACGCCAUUCUUUACGUUUUUGCUGUCAGGAGGUUGUUUAGUAACUUCUAUAAUAGGUGUGUAAGAGAGAAUCAAUUAAAUGAACUCGUUAACGUGAGCUUCGCGCAACUAAGUAACUCGCUAACGGAGCGCACCCGGUGAGUCUCUAAUUUACGUGAGUGACAUAUAGAUGUGGGUGCCGAUAUUACCUAUUUGGUUGGUGUUUUCUGAACAGAGCCUUAUCACCAGCCUGCACUUCAUAACAAUCUUGUUCAAUUCCUUGGUGACUUUAGGAACCCCUUUUCUUUCCUAUUUGAUUGAUGUCGGCAUCCCUAAACUAGAAAGAAUAGAAUAGAAUCUACCUAGCUUCAUAUAGAAGAGCGGAACCCAACUGCUUACUUUCAUGCUCCUGACUCUACACUUGUUGAACAAAUAGGCACCGAACAACAGAAGCGGAAUAUCUGAUAACUCCGUAAGUGCCCUGUCUAACAGUAAUUUCAUAUCUCUUUCCAUUAGCACAAGUCAAAGCAGGAAUUGAUAAACCAACUUAUCUAACGUGCAGAUAAUCUUUGAUCUUCCCGGAAUCCUUCUUUUUGAAACCUUCCUUCCCUUUUUGCCAAACUCUAUUUGAAAGUGCCUUCCCAACACCGUGUAGCCAGUACUAUAUGAUUACCUUAACAGAACAACAACUCUAUUAGCUGAAGUCCAAUCAAAGAAUGAAACAACUCCCCGGCACACAACCGGAGUCUUCCCUGACCGAAACUAAACUAACUGAACCGACAAAUAGCCUGGUUCUUGCCCUCACUCGCUUUCGCACUAGGGCUUUCGCGAACUCGCCUAUAGCUUCUAACUCAACUCAUUUCAACGACUUUCCCUUUAGCCUCUAACUAACACUCGAAUAACUCCUACCAUUGCUACCAUUGCUACCGCGCAACUAGAACUCUCUGCCGCCCCCUUAAUACAGGUUCACUCAGGAAUUGUCAAGUUGCUUGACCCUGUCACUUAUGGGUUGAAGCCUGAGAAGCACCGGCGGAAGCCUUACACCUACUAGCUCUCCAUUCCAAUACUGCUUAGCUCCCGAACACAGGACUCGUUCACCAAUUCUCUGAGUCACUGAUAUGAUACAGAUUCUCCGCAUCUAGUAGUAGCUCGCCCAUUAGUAGUGUCUUUGUCUAGUAGUGGAAAGUAGUUCUCUGAAGUAAGAAUACCUGUUAGCCGGCAACUCGUAAGUCAAAGAAUGCAUAUAGCAACUAUAAACUACUGGCAAAGAAUUCCACUAGCAACUAUGAAUUGCCCUAGUAUAGAACUCGUUAUUGUGCUUACUUUUAGACUCAUAAUUCCACUAUCAACUCUUUAUUGCCCUAGUAUAGAACUCGUUAUUGUGCUUACUUUCUUUCUACAGCUUAUUCAGUUGGUAACCGUCAGGAGCGAGGAGGUAGGUUACUGAAACUAGUGAGUUAGUAGUUAGGUUCCAAUUAACACUUUUGACUUGAAGAACAGCUUGUAUACUUUGUCCUUAUCUCCGGGUGGGGUGGCUUGGGAAUAUCCCUCCUCAGAGAGGUUAUUGUGUCUGUAACUCACUAAAGGUAGGCUUUUCAGAGGGAGUCCUAAUUCCAUGGCGUCAGUAAGUAAAGAAACAGAAACAGAAUCAUUAGCAAGAGCGAACACUAGCGGCAGUGAGCUUAUGAGUUUUCUCCCUAAUUUCAUCUGUGCAAGUAGAUUUAUUGGGGUUUGUUGGUGAUGAGUCUACUUCAGGUCCUGCACUACCUUUCUUAUGAGACCUCCUAAGGCUUACAGAGGUAUGUAUUCUUACUAGAUCUUAGUAUCGGAGUAGCGGGAAGUCUAUUAAUAAGUAGCAGCUGACGCUGCCCUUGCUUCUUAGGUUUCUGGUUUGAGUCCCCUAAUACCUUUUCUUGGUCUGCCAUUCCUUUACUGAAGUCUCUCACUGCUUACUUGAUAACUCGCUUCUAGGCUUUAGGCUUCUGCUGCUUACUUAUCUCUUUGCUUUUUAGCUUCUAAUAUCUUAUUACUAAUUAGGCUUGGCUCCACUUCUUCCUCUAAUACUAGAACUUGGAACUAGGGUUUUCACUGCCGAUAACAUGGGUCGAUGUAAUUGAGCUACAGGAAAGAAUCAACCUUGUAAUAAAGAGAAUGAAAACAUCGCGAUCAAAGGAAUCCCGGUGUAGUAUGCUGAGAGACAGAAUAUCAGAAUGGAAUUACCAUGAAUAAGACUUCCACUCAUAGCUCGAAACUCCUAAUCCUUAAUGCCCUGCCUUCCGGGCUUAUUAACCUUUAUCUCAUUCUUUAGUGGCAGCUGAAAACUUCCCCUACUUACUAUUAGAGCCAAAACGACUAUGAUCAAUUACUCGCCUGUCUCUCCUAUGGUAACUAUUAACUUCAUUCAACAAGUGUAGCUAGAGUUCGAUGAGAAAGAGAAGGAUCCGAGGCAGGAAAAGAAUCCGGGGAGUGUAGAAUUACUAUAAUUACCUGGAAAGCUGGGUUACUGGAUUUAUUGAAGUCUGUAUUUCUUUAUUUCCUUAGCUGUAUUCUUUAUUUCUUACUUAGUCUACUUGUCUGCUUUUUGGGAUGAAAGAUAUGAUACUUCCUUACUUAGAUCAAAGCAAGUUAAGAGCAUUAUACUAGAGGGUGGGCCGAGAGAGAAAGAGAAACAGGAUUGGUUAGUUACUAAGAUCUAUAAGAACUGAAAUUGAGUAGUUGCUUGGCCAGUUAUAGUUUCAUCCCCACAGUGUCAUCAACGACUUUCGAGCUCCCUUCCGCGCCUCUCACACUAACGCGUAACGAGUUUACUGAGAUAAGAAAGAAAUCAAUGAAUCCAGAAAUGUAGUUAAACGGCAGAAGAUCUGAUGCCGGGCCCCAGGUGUUAAGAAUACAGAUCAGGUCUAGGCUUAAGUGCUUGUGUUAAGCAAAGAACAAAUCUAGAAUCUAAGUCUACUUGGCCCCUACUUAAUCCUAUCUAUUCUUAUUAAGGAUUUAGUUUCGAAAGAUCUUCUUAUUCUUAUUAAAGAGAAAGUUGAGAACGAGUCCAGUCCUGUGUGAGCCUUAGUGUUAGGAUCGGAGUGGGAAUGGAGUAGCUCCUUAGCACAACGUUAGAAGUUGCUUGGCCCCCGCAUCUGGUAUAGGAUUGAUAGCUAUGGCGAUCAGAAUUGAACCAGUAAGGGCAAGAAUGCACCCAGGAAAUCAAAGAGAGGAGAGAAAGAGACUCAGCCUACUGCUCCUUGAAACCCACCCCUAGUACUGGCAAAGUAUACCUUGCUAUGAAAAAAGACGGGAAAACGCAAAAUGAUCAUGAGAAAUUGGACAUCUAUUAGCGGAAAUGACUUCGCUACCUUUUUUCUCGGGAAACUGGGCUCCUGCCGCGUAACGUUAGUAGUUACUUGCCUCCUAAAAUUCUCUAUCAAUUGGAUCGGUCUAUUAGCUAAAAUAAGGUUGCUGCCUUUUUUCCCGUGUUUUGGUGAAGUGGAAUUACUUGUUUACUGACUUGGCGGGUAGGCUUGUGGAAUUCCAAUUGACUAGCUAACCCUUAGUUACACAUCAUACAUGUCUUGGCGGAUAACUUGGACUCUCUUUAUAUAUGAAACCACUUCAGAAAGUAGAGUUUACAGUUCCAUUUCCCUUCUUGUAUAGGUCGGAUCGGGGUUAACACUUAUUAGAGGUUGGGUCGGGUAUAGUAGAGAAUUGCCUGUUCCAGGUCGAGUUAGAGUUAACACCAAGUGCUUUCCUUUGCCCCUGUUCGAGGUAAGCUUAUGAAUUGCCAGUUCAAGUUCUAUGGUUUACAGCCCAAACUAGUAAACGAGUAGUCCAGAGCCAGAUCAGAGGAGAGAUCCGAGGCAAGAUCAGAGGAGAGGCAAGAGAGGUCAGCUGUGGAAAGAGAAUAAGCUGUGUAGAGAUCCGGGGGUAAUAUUCCUCAACCUUAUAAGCUUGAUAGACUCCAUGAAAAUCCUUUCCUGCUACCCCAACUGCUGAAGAUCUUUAUCCUGACUUUAGAACUGAUCCCGAGAAAACAUCUGAUAUGUCCCUCGUUGCCCGAAAGAAGGACUUGUUUAAGAAAAGUGAAACUUCAAUUUGGGAUAUAGAAUAAGACUCAGUCCUGUGGGAAUCUUUCUUCUGGCGCGGUGUGAUCCAAGUCCUCAAUGUUACGCUGUAGCUCUAAGGUUAACUCCUAAUGUUAAAGUCAAAAGGAUGCUAUUAAGGUAUGGGUCAGGGUCUGAUUCCUCUCUUAUAUACUUUCUUUGGUUCUAAAGAUUCCAUUAAUGACUUGAUUGCCGGAACCCCAACUUCAGUAUCAGGGGUCGGAGCAGGCUUGCUCAUAACGAGUUUCAUAGUUUCCUGUUGCCAUAGGAUGGGUAUAGUAGCAAUAGAUAAAAGAGGUAGAAUAGCUAUAGGAUCAAGAUUCCAGAUAGGGGGUCAAGAUGUUAGGCAUCAAAAUGCAUUCGUUGGACAGUGCACAUCAUUUAUUGAUGAGUGAUGAGUUGGGCUAUAAAAUGAGGGCAAUAAGGCAACCUUUUUGUUCAGGGUAGUGCUGAGGAUGCAGGCGCUAGGGGAGAGUUUUUCUAGUUUCAUGAGUUGUCGAUUCAGAAAGGGGAGGGUAGUUUACUUACUUGUGUCGUGUAGGGGAAGGGGAGUUGACUUCCUUUUUGAAUUCAGUUACUAGGCUAGGAAGCCCACCGAUUGCCCGCAUCUAAUAGACUAUACCAAGACUACUUAGAGAUUGAACUCACCGAUGACAAACUCAUAAGUAGGAAUGCAAGAAUGCAACUAAGCUGUAAAAGAAUGAAGCAUAUGAGCCAAGCCGAUAAGCUACUUCUUAACUCUUUCACUCCCUAGUGAUUCACUCCCUUCCCUGGGUGAACUGAUUGUAUGUAGUAUAGUAGCUUGUAAGACGGUAACCCCAAUUUCCCUGCCCUCUCUGGAGUGGCAUCUGCUCUUUAGAGUGUUAGUAUAAUGUACUUCUUGUAGUUAUACUUCUUUAGGGUAACCGUCAGUAUAGGUUGUUUUCAUGAUAUCUUAAUAACAAAGCUCUUUGCUGGUUAAUCGCGUAAUAGAAGCGAAACCAACUAAAGGAAAAGAAAGAGAUUAUGAAACCUACCGAUGUAAUGAGGGAAACUAAAACAAACCCAUAUACUAUGCAUCUCCCCUAUACGUGUAAAACCUUCUCUUUCUUAUUCAAAUUCUAAUGAGGAAAGGAGAAAACUACUGAGGAUAUGACAAAUAUCCCGAGAGAGACCCCAUCUCAUGUGACCCCAAGGCCAAUUAGUAACAUUGGAAACAUCAAUUAGUCAAAAAAUAAGUGAAAUUAGUAACAAUAAGUCACAGCAGGAAGACUCCACUAGGGAAGGGGCCGUCGCGUCAGCGAGCUAAAAGGCGCGGCAGGGCUGCUAUAGUUCCCAGUUAUGUAGGCCAAGUAACUGCUAAUGUUACGCGGCAGCCACAAUAGCAUGUUAUAACUUGGCCAAGCAACGGCGCGCCAAGACACUCGGCCAAGUAACUACUAACCAAGCCGAUCUAGGCGCGGUAGCGAGCUAUAAUAGCGGCAGUUGUUUUGACAAUAAGAAACAACAUCAAGUAUAUUUAUGUUGAGUUAUUGCCGAGUCCUGUGUUCGGGAACAUAAUGGUUUUUUUUACUAGGACAUAAGAAUAAGUAGAUAUACGGUGCAUCCCAGGCCUUACUUGUGUGACUUCUCAGUCUGAACUACCCUUCUCUCUUUCCUUCCUACUGGCCAACAAAUCUGGUUUGUUAGUGAAAGUCUGCCACUACGCUAACUAGCCUCAUCACUCUGGUCUUUACUGUAUCUCAGCAUGUUCCUACUGCCUGCCAUUCUGUAUCGAGCCCUAGAUUCUUAUUAUGUUGAUUUGUAUUCAUGAUAAUGAUUAUGUUUACUUAUAUUUAUAUGCAUUGAUUUAUAUGUGUGUUAAUAUAUAGUAAUUGAUUCUAGUGUAUCCUACGACGCUAGGACAGAAUUGAACAAAUAAGUAGAAGAGGCAAGCAACGUACAUUAUCACAGAACUCAACCCGUAGCCGAGCCUUAUUAUUGAGCAUCGAUCCAACAAACCUCAAUCGUUAGUUAAUUGAACUCCGCUGUCCAAGUCAUAAAGCUACUACUAGCUCUUAGCCCGAUCUUCCCAGCUUUGAUUCUUGCUUCGCAGUUCGGGCCUGUCUCUCUGGAUUUGGAUUCUACCAUUCCCGGACCUACGUCUUGCUUUGUUAGCUUCCCUUACUUGCUUUUAGUCUAUCUUUUCUCGAACCAGAUUGACUUUCGCCAAUACCAAUAUGAAAGAGGCAAUUAAGAGACUAGUUUGUUAGCGUACGAGACCGGACAAGUAACUAAAGACAUAAUUCCACUCAAAAGAUAUAAUGGAACUGGGCCCAGCCCCUUACUAUUGAUAUACUAAUCCAAAAUCUGGCUUUACCGUCUCUAGGCUUACUGCCCGGAUCUAACAUAUGGAUUUGGUAUCGGCGGUUCCAUUCUACCUAGUUAUAGUGAAAUUCUUUGCAUCAUCUUUUCUUAUUAUAUUAUCAGUAGCUCAGCUCUUUUCUAAUAAGUACUUUUAGAUUCUUCCAGGUAUUAGUAAGCUUGUUUGCUUCUCAAGGUUAUAGGCAGGAAAGUCAUACUCUAGCUCGUUAAGGGGCAGCCGCUACACUAGUUCUCUUUCUCACUUAACACAGGUCAAAAAAGCAGAAAGAAAACACUCUUUUGGGUCUCUUCCCGUAUGCACUGGAUCAUAUCUCACUUCUUUAUUUCACUAGUGUUGAGAACGCUUGACUGUGUACUAUGCCCUUAUUCUUAUACUAUGGAGCUUAUACUAUGGAGCUUCCGCUAUGGAGUUUGGUUCUAUGUUCUACUAACCAUGUCCUGUAUUCACGAUAUACGUCUGAUACGGCGCCUAGAGAUAUAACUUCUAUUAAUAUAUGGCUGUUACUUAUGUGUUUCGUUCCUGUUCGACUUGUCCCUACUACUAAUAAGUUUCAUCCUGAUGCUUACUCCUAUUAGUCUACUACUGGUGCUUACUCCUAUUAUACGAUGUGCUAUGUCAUACACAUAUUCUUAUUCCCUUUUGAGUAUAGAUGCACUGGCAAUUAUGUAUUAGGGCCCCUAUGAAUCACAUUCCUUUUUCUAAGGAACAGUAUUGGUAGCACUAGUUGUAGCAUCAAAGCAAGUAAAGCCGGGGAAUGUAAGCAAGGAUAUUAGGACUCAUUUUCUAUAUUGAUUCUUUUACCCAUAUUGAUUGAGUUGCUAGUUAAAGGAAGAGGCGGACUAGCAAGGAGUAGCAGGGCGAUGAGUUCUAGUUUGGAGUCCUUUUUUGAAUGGAACUCAUUGGCAUAGGAAUGACCAUGGAAAGUUUGAAUUAAAGGACCGAGUCACAGAAUUGACACUAUUUCUUCUAAUAAUGGAGUGGGCAGGUGCGUAGAUCAAUAAGGUCAGGGUACCUGGCUAAGUUAUCCAAUUCUCAAGUCAGGAUACCUGGGCUACUAUGGGCUAAGAAAUGAACUAAUUAGUCAAAGAAUGCUUGUAGUGUUGUGCGUGUGAACAGAUGUAGCCAAGUAAAUAAAAGAAUGGAAAUAGAAUCUAGGGCAAAUGCCCCGCAAGGUAGGAAGCCGGAAUUGCACUCAGUAGUAACGGAAUCAAAGCUGUUGACUUAACCACAUAAGCUAGCCUCGUACCACUAGCUACUACCGAUAAGACUGAUGAAACACCCCAGUGGAUUGAACUGCCAUUCCUUUCUUUUGGCCCGAGACAUCCUAAACCGAAACAACUGAUUCAGAUACUUUAGCCGCGGAUAUAGAACCUCCUCCACAGCUCAAGGCUUGCUCCACUGGCUUCAAUACCUUAUCUUCCCAUAAUGAAUUCCACUAAUGCCUUAAGGGCUACCGCACCUACCGUAUAUGUCAAGUAUGGCUUUCCUGCCUUUAGGUCUCCUAUUGCUCUAUCCUAUUCUCCAAUUACUGCCCUAGAACCUUGCCUUACAUACUACAAGCUUUAUUCCCUCUUCCACGCCUCUACUCCUUAGUUGCACAUCUUAUCCUAUCUAUCCCAUCUAUAAGUCGUACUAUAUCCUCUCUAGGCCUGGCACUGCUAUAUCAAGGGAUCCGACAUACCAUCCCAGUCUAAUACCUCCUCUUGGAAUAAUGAAUUACUAAAACUAGAAACAAGACCGGUGCCACUAAUAUGAAAAGGGUAGCACCUACCCCCACACGAGAAUCACUUUUAUGCUAAGAAAGAAUUAAGCUACGACUAUUAGAUUGAAACACUACCUUGUCAGAGUAGAGGUCCUAUACUGGCAGUAAUGAACCAAAGAACAAUAACUUUACAUACAUAAUGGGAACAACGAUAGGAGAUCAGAAUACAAAUCAAACUAACAACACUGACUCCGCUAACUUGGAAUUCCGAUGGUGCCUAUAAGAUUGACACCGGGCUACUAACUAUAGAAAUGGGUCUACUACUUAAGUGAAGAGAAAACAAAACCUAUUGCUUCUGGAGCCAACUAGGAAUUACGCUCAUUGAUAUCAGAACCAAACCCAUCAAUCAGCAUAUGGAACGAAGCUACCCCACAGUAUUGCUUGUAUCGGUAGCACAUGGGUAGCAACGAACGUAUCAAUAGCAUAGGUAGCAAUGAAAACCAUAUUGAUUGAUUGCGCGUACGCGUAUCAAUAGCACAUAGGUAGUAUCAAUACAAUAACAGAGCAGAAGAGAGUUAGACAGAAGAGAGUUUCUUCCGUGCCAAAUCUAUUCUAUUCUCUUAUCCCCGUGCCAAAUCUAUUCUAUUCUCUUAUAAUAAUUAGAAUAUAGUUGAUUCAGUGCCAAUGCAAUAUAUGACUUUGAGCAGCAUAUACUACUUUUCACUGAUUGGUAUAGGGAUGCCUAGCUUACUUGCACAGCACAGUCAACACACCUACACACGGAGAAAAGAAACAAACACAUCUAGAGCUGCUAGUCACUCAUUAUUCAAGUCAAAUAACUCAUGCAUUGCAGGGCCGGGCAAUCAUUCUUGUCGUAAAAGCCCUUAAGCCCGAAAGUCACAUCAGUAAGUCUGUUAGCGGACCCACGUUCUGUUGAUUAGGGUCAACGUCGACGUCAACGAGCAUACCCCGCAGAGAACUAAGUCGAUAGUUCGGGUCGGUGGUCCACACACUCGUUCUGUUAGGUCAUUCAAUCAUUCUGAAAGUCACAUCGAUAAGUAUGUCGAGCAGAAGUAACAUCAACAAGUAUGUCGAGUAGCGCCCCCGUUCUGUGAGCGGUAAUUCACUCUGUCUUCGAACGGGGAUCAUCUCUCCGCUCGGUCAUUAACUCUGUCUUCGCGGAUCAUCGCUCAUUCAUAGAGGUGUGAUCAACUGGUCUAGGUGCCCUUUCCUUGGAAUGGGUCCCAUAUUUCUGUGUUGAAUCAUCAAAUGACAAAUCAUGUGUUUCAGCCUUAGACCCCGGAGAGAUAUUCUGUAUUCUUAGCAAUAUUCUUAGUAGUAAAGUCGCUAUUGUCUUAUCCUACUUAGUGGAAUUAUGUCUUCAAUCAUAGAUCUGUAGACUGAACACUGGAAUCACAGAUAUAUAGUGAAGCGAUAAAGUUUCGCUGGUUUUUGACCUUAUUUAGCUUAGCAAAUAGAAAGAAGUUUUACUAUACAGCAAAAGAAUAAUGAAUGGAAUGUAGUUGCGCGGCUAGCUUAGCGUAACUCUUUUCGGCAGUUGAACUAGACAAGUGUUUUCAUAUCAAAUAGGGGAGCCUUACUCUCCCAUCCCUAAGCUAAGCCCCAACCCCCUUGCUCUAACUCUAACUACUCUUACUUAUAUUCUUCAAAUAAUAGCUCUGGCCCUGCCUUGCUUUCGGUCUUACUACCAAACUCUGCAACUAAAUACUUUCAUCUUGCCCACAAGAACAGUAUGCCGAUCCCUUGAUCUUGGUCUACCGUCUAAAACAUACACUGCUCUGUCUCAUUCCCGCGCUGUUUAGUUUCAAUAUGAUGGGCCCUCUUCUGCUAAUAAGAGUAGAAUUGCUGUUUCUAAGAAUCGACCUGGGGAUAAAGAAUACACCUACCGUGCAGAGAUGUGGUAAGUAACCAUUAGAAUGGAACAGGUGUUGACAAGAAUGACCUACCAACUAGGAAACCUCAAAAGAAUAGAAAUAGUACUCAUCGGACCUUCUACUACUAAUAUCAGAAUAUGACUACCGCUUCCAGAGCUUAACUUAACUACAUAACUCAGGUCGAUCUCGAACCUCGCUCUACCAUACCGCCGCCUGCCCCUCUUUUUGCAUUCCGCAUUGAUAGCUUGAGUAUUGAACUCCCCUAUCUUAGGCUUACUUUACGACUUCUGUCCUUACUGCCCGGCAUCCACAUAUGUAUUUGUCCCACCAAGCAACCCAUAUCACUCUGACGCUCCCGGCGCUUAGUCUAAAAUGAAUUCCUUCUAGCCUUAAAGCGACUAUUCUCAGUGUACUAUUACUAUUAAAUGACAAACUUGUGCUUCUCGUAACCUCCUCUCUAAACAUAGGAUCGAACAAGGUGCUUUUGAGUCUAAUGAAUGCACUACUAUUUCUAUCAAGUAGUAUGCCCACUUUCUCAAAAGAAAGGUGCUAAGAGCGUUCACCCUGUCACUAGAAAGAAAGGAAUAUCGGCAAGGAAAGGAAUAUCGGCUGCUCAACCUGUCACUAGAAAGAAAGGUGCUAAGAGCGUUCACCCAACACUAGAGAGUACUUGAUUCUGGCCUUUGCUUCUUGCCCUUGUUUGCUUGUUGAGAGCACCUGUUCUAUGAUUUUGUAAGCGCUAACUGAGGUAUGCACUGCAACUCUCAUACUUUUCUAUGACGGGAUCCUCAAUAAGAAGAUAAAGGCGAGGAUCUUCAUCCACGACAGGAGGAAGCCUUAAGCGGUGCCGACUCUGCCAGCCUUUUGUCCUAUUAGUUUCGCUUUCAAAGGAGUCAAUGGGAAAACUAGGGAUAUGGAUUCAUUAGGUUCAAAUUCUCCUUUUGUUCUUUUAAGGCAUAAGAGAGGAGGGAACAACCAUUGUGAAUGAUGCUAAGCUAUCAAAAGUCACUACGCAACCUCUACUCAAGAGUACGUAAGAGAUGAGGGAGGAUCGAUCGGAUCGGGCUUUUAUUUAAAAUCAAGCAUUCUGACCCUAGCCUAUCUCACCAUGGAAGUUUCUAGCCUUAGCAUAUAGGGCGGUCCUUAAGCGGUAACGGAGGCCGUGUUUCACUGAUACUUUCCCAUAUAAGGAGUGGAUGCUGGUGAGCUGCUCAAUAAUACUUGUUCUCCUAAAAUAUUUGGAAAUCUCCCUUGAGGGUAGGGAUGACUCUUUUAGCAGCAUAUGUCCCCUAGGGUUUGAUCUCCCUUAAAGCUUCUUCUUUGGUGUAACAAUGGCUUAAGGCCGAAUUCAUCUUCUUCCAUCCCUGCACUGUUAUACGUGCCAAUCCUUUCCAUUCAAGCUCGGGCCGUAGGUGUAAGAUCCCAGUUCUUCGGUGCAGUUAAGAGGUGGGGCUAGCUAAUGCAGUUAAGAGGUGGGGCUAGCGAAACUUACUCCACUUCAUAGAUCUCUCUUCUGCUCUCCGCAUCAAUGGCAUGAGAAUUCUUUGGCUUUGUCAGGCAAUGGCAUGAACUGGGGACUGCUAAACAAGCUUAGAUUUCUCAUUUCCUGAUCAUUAUCGAAAUCACCAUUUGCUAACUCUCACAAUCAACGAGCGAAGAUAAGCAGAGAAUUGUGCUUGUGUUGGGUUGGGGAGAAAAGGUUUUCUCAAUCCCCGUCUUCUAAUCCAGUAGGAGCCAUCCUUGCCUAAUCCAGAAUGUGAGAGAGUUGCAAUCAUCUCCAGAAUGUGAGAGAGUUGCAAUCAUAACUAAAUAAGGAAGCACUCAAUCGCAGCUUGAUGGGCUCUAGCUCUAAAUGGCCCAAUCCAGCAUCGCCGAAUCCACCCGAUCAAAUGUUCGUUUUCUCAAAAGGAAAGGUUCAAAAAGGGUGCGUGCGCGCUUCAAGGCUAGGUGCAUUAUUGGAUUGGCACUCUUGCUUUCACUUAGGGUUUAGAUCGGGAUUCUUGUUUUACCAGCUAAGCAUUUCAGGGGUUGGUUAAUAGACGCUUUAAGAGCAACGGGCCCCAUAAGAAAAGAGGUUGAUAGACACUAGACCUAUAGGGGGAGGGAGGAAGCGACUGAAAGGAUAAGGAUAGGGUCGAUGUCAUUUAGUCCGAUCUUUUUUGGAAAAGGGAGAACGAACCUUGACUUGCGAAUAACUCACUAUCGACUAUAAGCCCUGGGGAAACUAAUAUUAUAGCUAAUCCCUUAUGUUGCCCGCGUAACGGCUGUUCUAAUGCAUUUGUAGCCUUAAUGAAAGUACUGGACGAGGUUGUCAACUUACUAAGACAACUCAGGUUCGCGUCAGUCUCAAUUAGUUCGUCUGUGAGAGUAUAAAGAAGCAGUUCUCAAGUCAGCAGCAAGUUCAAAUAGAGAGUUUUCCUUGGCUUACGUUGAGUUCUUGUUUUCUCGGUAUUAGCGAGUUGACCUGUAGCUUAUAUAAGUGGGGAGAUAUUCCAUUCUUUCUUGAUUUGUGUUCCUCUGUGUAACGGGAAGGGAGAUGACAUUCCUCUGAUAUAUAUGCACAAGAUAGAGAUGAAAUGAAUGGUUGACUCGGCGCUAAGAGAAGAGGCUAAAGAUAGAAAGUCUACAUCGACUCCAGAAUCGGCAUAAGAAAGAUCUUCAGCAGGAGAAAGUUAGUCAGCUAAAAGCGGGAAGGAGAAGGAGCGGGAAGGAGAACUGUUAGGACAGAGGCAGAGGAUUGAUCCACGUGCUAAAGGAAAGGGUGUUUCAGUUGACAGAGAAGAGUUUCGAAAGCGAUAAGCUGCAAGCGCAGUGGGAAGUUCCUUAGUCGGCUUGUCUAUACUAAGCUUGGCCGGGUCGGGUGCCGCUGUAGCUCAAACAAAGUGGUUUCGUGGAGUCGGAUUGAAGGUUCUGUUCUGAAAGUGUGGAGUACGGUUUACAGUAAAGUCGACCAUAGAAGAAGAAGUGCGGAAGAAAGUCAAAAGUGACCUACUUGCUAACUCUAAACAAUCUGAACUCAGCUAGUCAACCCCGCCCAAUAGGUUUCUAGUGACGGCUAGGAAAGCUCCUAUGUAAUCUAUAAUACGGAAUACUUUUCUCUUUAGGUGCGACUUAAUCUUUUGGAAAGUUCUUUACUUGUGUUGUCAACGAGAGAUUCCGCUGUUCGAAAGGAAGCAGAGCGGUACUAUUCCUUAGAGUCAGAAGGGGGCUUGAACGCCUUUCCCUCAAACACUUAACUUCGAGCAGUAGGGCGGGUACAGGACUUCUUUUGCCGAGGAGAACACAAAUCAACAUUAUACAGGCUUUUGCGCCAUCUCAUUCUUUCAUUUACACUCCUUACGCUAAACUCUCUAACGCACAAGCAAAACAAGUAAUGGAAACUCUAUAAGCAAGUUACAUAUAGAAGGCUGGUAAUAUUCAAUCUUUCUAUACAAUACUAUAUUCUCUUCUUUACAAGUCCACAAAUACGGAAUUUCCUCUUUCUCUCGCAGAAGCAUCAGAUUUUAUUGCUUGCUCUUGACUUUCGACUUACUCUUUACUUUUUGCCAUUAAUUAAGCUAUCGGCAAAAGACAAUUGAGGCCUUUUGCUCUAGGUUCAAAAAGAAUGGAAUGGAUGUCGGCUCUGCACUUCGAGAAGAAACUCACUUUAUCGUUGGUGCUUGUUCUGUUUACUGCUGGGGCGCACCACCUGUUCUGCUUUAGAUAGGAGGCCUUUUUGAUAUGAUAUCGUCAGAGAUAAGGAGAAGAGAGAAGCUUCCAGAUACCAACCAUUCUGCCCUGAACACUACUAAUAACUCCUUGCGAGACAAUCUGUUUACCUUUUUUGAUGGCCCACACAAGAACGAAACGAAACUUGCAGAACCGAUCGUCGUCAACACAAGAACGGAUGAAACUCACGAUGAAACAAGAACUGAAUCACUUUAAGACCUGGCAGCUGCUUCCUUACCAACUGAUGAUCUUUAUUCUGCCCUAUCUCUUCGGCUUCUGUAUAGGAGGAUCAACUUAUUGUCUUAGCGCAGUAGGAAGUAAUGGAUUCCGCCCUGAACCCAACUAGUAACAGAUAUACAAGUAGGCGCCAAGUAACGGAUAGACAAGUAGUCAAGCAACUACCCUUUCAUAACAGACCUCUACUCAAGUGCUGACAAUAUAACUCUACUGGAAUUGUUUCACACAAGCACCAACACAAGUCUCUCCUCUCUUUACUUAGAGCCAAUCACUUAUCUUUACUACUUCCCACUUGCAGCACUAGCAGCUUACGACUGAACCCUCUUAUCUCUAUGACCUAACUCACCCUGCUUCUUUAUAAGAUGAAACAAGGGAUGACUUUCUCACUUCCUCUGAUCCUGAUACAGGCAAUUCUAUAAUAAUCUAAUAAUUCAUUUCUAAAUAAGAAAGAUAAGAGUCAGCAGCGUAAGGAAAGGAAGCAAGAGAAUCCGCUGUGUGAGUUUAAUCCUGGGCAACUGGGCUGGCAGUUCUAGUUGAAUACCGAGUAACGUCUAGGUUCCUUCGAGAAAGAGGCUAUGGUUAGUUACAAUGUAAUCAAGCUACUCCCUUAAGCAGACAAGCAGACCCUUCCUUAUAGUGUGGACUACGGAGAGGUCGGGUAUAGUAAAGAAUUGCCUGGUACCAGAGGAUAGGUCGGCUUUGUAAGCUAUGAAAGAAAGUCUAGUUCUUGCCCCAACGGGUAGUGGAGUAGUUAAGAGCCAUAACAGUCAAAGUAAGGUCUAGGUCGGGUGUUGACGAUGAGUAUACUAUUUCUGUGUCCUGUGUACUAGAGUGUUGAGUAAGUCAGUAGUAAGUCCUAAGUGUUGAGUAAGUCAGUAGUAAGCCCUAAGUAAACUAGUUAUUAGUAAGCCCUAAGCCCUAAGUUAGUAGCUAGUAAGCCCUUUAGUGGAAUUCUUUGUUUCAUCAGUAGUAGUUGACAAAGCGGAGGGAGAUGAGAAAGCAGCUCAGUAGUCAAUAUCAGCUGUGCCAAGCCGGGUGCUCUUUCUCUCAAUACGGAAAGUCAGAGACCAACUCAGAAGGCUAAGUCAGAAUGUCCCUAAGCAGUCUAAGAAUCAAACUAACUAGUCCAAGGCCAAGCAACGGCGAGUCCUAAUUCUUCCUCAGACAGGCGAAGACAGGACUUUGUUAUAACUCAUUAUAGAACGAACGUAUUUAUAAGAAUCUAUUCCUUGCUUUGACAUUAAGUAUGUAGGCUAAAUAAAUGGGCAUGUAGGUUUUCCUUUUUCCACUACAUAAAGAGGCAUGUGUAUGCUUGACUUUGACCCUACCCGGAACCCUGACUACCUACCCGGAACCCUGACUAUAAGAAAUCCGCCUUAUGAAACACAUAACUUAGAUUGGAUGUUACAAUGUUAUGUUAUUCAAUGAGCCUUUCACCAGUAAGCCCCAGACAAUAAGAUAAGGGAGUAGCAUAUGACAAUAUGAUAAGGGAGUAGCAUCUAGUAUAUAAGUAACGUAUUUCAUGAGUCGUGGGGGAUUCUACCAUUCUCUUUUAUGUGCACUAACUAACUAACUAACGCCGACGAAGAAAGCAUCGGACUUCAUUAUCACUCCUACGGACGCGCAAUGCCUUGUGUCAUUGCUAGUUUGCUUAGUAGUUUGUUGGAACUCACCGGACUAACGCACCCCGUGAAAUAAGCGUGAGCGCCAUGGCUAGUUUGUUCCCCUGUGCUAACGCUAGUUUUCAAUAGGGAUAUAAUCUACUCUACAAAUUCAUCUAAUAUACAAAACUUUCGAAUAGAAAAUAAGUGACAUCUAAUGGAAUCGAAUAGCAUUCCAAUAAAUAACCGAUAUGAGCUUCUAUCAUUACUCACUACUUCAUUACUCACUACUUGAAUAACAUAACAUUACAUUUCUUCCAUUUCUGCCCUCUUGCUUAAGUACAGAGGAAAGGUUCGGAACAAGCGAAAAGUAGCAUAUAGGUACCAAUAUCUAUUCUUCUAGUAUACAAGUAGCUCCAUAUCUAUUAUUCUAGUAUACAAGUCGCUUUGUAGGGAGAGAGCCCAGUCAGCGACACAGAAAUGGGAAAUGCACCCCACACACAAUACCCAAGUAAGAAACAGAGCGGGGGACAGGAUUUCGGUCUCGGGGAGAAAGCUUUUUCUUUUAUUUCGAGGCAGAAGAAGGAGACAGAGGUUAGAGAAUCUAUCGAAAGAGAAAGAGGUGAAUUAGCCGAAUCAGACAGACCUGUCGAUGAAACUAUAGAGUACGCAUUAACUGGUUUCUUUUAUUGAGUACGCAGCAUUAACUGGUUUCUUUUCUGGCUAAAAGGGGGAAAGCGGAAACCCUGUUUGGUCCAACUCCAGGAGGUUAACCCCACGCGGUCUUUGAGAAGGCGGAACGGGAAGCUAACCUAAGUGGUGGUCAGGACAAUCACAAUCUCGUCCCUGGUUCAGAGGCCAGGCGCCCGCCUACGCGGACAGGAGUCGAUCGAUUGAGGGCUUGGAACUUGGAAGCCAAGUCAGCACUGGGACAACAAAGGCGGUAGAGCGCUAGCGUAGGGUCGGCAGUAAUUGCGGUUUACCCCUCAAUCUGUAGGGAAUAAGUACUUGGCAGGUACCGAACCCCGGAAGAAAUAAUCCCAUCCAUUCGAAUUCUAACGCCGAACCAAUCUCUACGCUACGAGAAGGAGCUACAGCCUACUUAACCGACACAAGCUUCAGAGCAUAAAAACGGAAAGAAUACUUAUGAGAGAAGAGAACAACCCUCGCAGAUUGAUGACAAACAAAGACAAAGGAAAGGGACAAGGCACAACACAAGACAAGGAAAUGUCCCAACAACAAAGGAAAGGGGCAAGGCAAAAGGAAAUGUCUCAUCAACAAAGAGAAAGAAGGUUAGCCUCAGAAAAGAGAGUGGAUUCAAGACUUAUGAAUAGUAUCAAUCAGUUCAAGUUCCAUUCUGCAUUCCGGUUUCACUUGUGCGUAAGAGAAAGGAGUUGUUGAAGGUAAGCUAGUUUCUUUUGUAUAAGAUAAGUAAUUAGAGAGAUAGAUUUCACUAGGUACUACUGUCUUACGAAAUAGAUUAAGCGGGUAAUCAGAAUAACUUAGAUGCGAUGUGCAUUGUAUUCCAUUCUUCAAGCAACAGGUAUAUCCCUAUCAGCAACAUCAAUCUGGGUUUACAGUGGUGUUGUCGGUUAAUUAAUCUCAGUUCGACUUUCAUCUUACACGGAAGCGGAAGAGAAUGACCACGCCACAUGUUAGGCAAAAAGUGUCAGGAUAUCGAGCAAGCUAGAAGGCAAAUCUAGGGCUGAUUAACAUUCUAUCAGUAAACGAUCUAUCCCUACAUUUAGAGUCGGAAGUAGUAGGGAGUCGUAUAAGAGCAGAGAAUCAGUACAAGUCCUAUGGAUCUGGUGUUCUGUAAGUCUCUCUUAUUGUUAUCUUUCCUUUCUAUUGGCGCAUAUUGUCUGAGGGAAGUCCCUUGCUAGGCCAAAGAAACUAUUCCUUCCCGAGUAGGUUGUUGCUGUUCAGAUAAGAAUCACUAUCAUCAGACGGGGAUACUGGGAUGCUAACGCUUAUUGGAGUUUUUGGUCGGUAACUAUAUUGUCUGAAGAAACGAAAGAUUCAAUCCAAGUUUGACUUGCCCUCACGGGAAGGGAGUGAGUUUAGAGUGUCAAUUCCUAUUAGAUAGACGGGUGAGAUAUAUUCUUGUGUUUCCGUUUCCAUUGAAGGAGGUGAUUGGCGCUUUACCUCGUGGAGAGGAGGAGAUAGGUGAAGUGAAAGUUCCAGUCUGGUUUUGGGGAGUUACGUGGGCAGUCAGGUAUUCGAUCUAUAGGAGUCUACUUCUGGUCCUAGUGAAUCUGUCUUUGUUGGUUGGUUGGACACUCAAUUGCCUGUCCUAGUUCGAGGUCAGUUAUGAAAGUGUAGUUUCAGUGAGAAGGUAGUAAAGAAACAGUACUCUAGCAAGAAAGCAGAAUAGAAGUAGUGACUAUUGAAUACCUUCACUCAGGCCUAAUAUAUAAUGAAAGCUUGAGUGGAGGUCGGCAAGGGGACAACUAAUCUGGAUAAACCGGAGGGGGGUGUUUCUUUUCGCAGCUAAGGGCAUUUAGUAGAAAAGGUGUUCUUUUUCACAGCAUAACUUCAAAGGUGUUCAUUUUCACAGCAUCGGGCAUUUAGGAUAUUCAGCCGUAACUAUGGGACAAGUAACCUAAAGUAACGAGUACCUUUCGAGUACCUUAAGGAGCAAUAACAGAAUGUGAUAGAAUUCCAUAUGUACUAGAAAUAGCGAUAAGAAGAAAUAGUCAACUACUUGAAACUAUCACUCCCGGCUCAUCUAACUUCAUUUCUUUUAUACCGGAAUUAGUAUACGCUUUUGUCUCUGACUCUCGAAUCCAAUUAUGACUUUCUGAAAAGACGACUAAUAGUCAUUAAACUACUCCUAAUUAGAGCUGUUAGGGGGAAUAAUAGAGAAUAUCCUACUUUAUGCGCGGGGAAUAAAAGAAUAUCCUCCUUGCUUUGGCUUAUGAGGGGUGAGUUCAAAGAUACUGUAAGGAUGAAACCCAGAAGGGCACUUUCUAAACCAUUAGCAGCUGACCUCUUUGACUUUAGCCAACACCUAAUUCUUUACCUGAACUAGACACUCCUUGCCCAGGCUCUACUCCGGAUCCUUAAGCUUGUUAGUGGACCUCGCCUCAAAGUUAGUAAGAUAGUAUGUCCGCCCUUAGUCUGCCCUGAACCCAGCUUCUGUAUCAAAGCCCUCUUUCUAUUAGUUUAGUAGUCAAUUCCAUUCUAUAGUUUCCUUUCCUCGAACAGAACCGUUUACCGCUGAUGAUCCUGUUCUGCUUACUUUAGCCUCUGAUACUGCUGCCGAUCCUACUCCUGAUCUAGCAUCUGAAACUGCUCUUGAAACUGGAACUGGAUUGGAGACUUUUGACUUCUUAUCCUCUAUCUACUUUUACACUGAAUCACUUAAUCCAGCAUCUGAUCAUAAUUCUGAUACUGCUUAUUCUGUUACUUCAGCACCUGUCACACGAAACUCAUUCUGAUUCCUAAACUGCUCUUUCAACACUCUAAACUCAGGUACCAGAUUGGAUAUAUAACUCAUAAAGAUAAGUACUAGCACCCGAAACAAUACUGGAAAUGAAACUUGAUACUGGACCUCGACCUGGCAAUACUUAGUUUAGUGCUGAAGUCAACAAAGAAUGAAAGUUGUACUGUUCUUGUUCUAAAGGGUUUUAUUAAAGAGGAAAGAAACUACCGGUUCUCUCAAGUAGGAAAGUUCGAAUUGAACUCCAAGGUCAGAAAUCAGAGAUAGUUAUUCUAGAAGCAAGUAAUAAUUAAGGAUGAACACUAGGCUAGUGUUCGUCUACCUGCCUAUAUAAAGAGAAGAACCAAGCUCUCCACUAGUUCAUAGGGAAUUCCUCACUAAAAGGUAAAGGUCGGAAUUGACAAAUCAAAGGGAAUGCUUUAUCAAUUCAUUUCCAGUUGUACCUGUCGCAAAUUAGAACUUGCGUAGAUAAUGCUCUUCAUUCCUCUGUCCCAUUUCUAUAUAUACAUAUAUAAUCAUAGUGUUGAGUUGGCUAAAAUAGAGAUGAAGUAAACAUCAUAUACACAUGGAAUCAUUGCUAGAUCUAAUCCCGUAUUGGUUCGAUAAAUAGUGAGCCUAAUAAUGGUCUUUUCAAUAAACAAAUGGGAAACUUCAGAUUAAUAUGCUCUGGAAUGUUGGAAAUUAGGGAAUGUCCACAAUACUUAUAUAAGAUCCCCAAUUAGAGUAGGGAGGUAUUUCUUAGGUUCAGUAAUGAGAGCUUGACAGAAGAAUGGAAUAAGUUUCCAAUAAUUUCAGAUAGAGAUCAUUUCAUUGAAAUUUGGUAGAAAGAUAGAAAUUGGUAGAACCCUUGCCUUGAGAAACGAAAGAGAUGCUGUGUCUGAAUCACUAACUCUUAUGAAUUAUAUGUACCCCCGCGGGAUUCAUUUUGAUUACCUGUAGAGAUAUGCAAGAACAAACCUUUUUAUUGGAAACAUUCCUCUAAGAAAUCCCCCUGGAACCCUUAUUGUCAAUGUAAUAUAAAGAUAGUAAAUGGAAUCUACAGAUCUCAUUGUGAUCAAUCAACAUAUUGAAAAGUCAAGUAUUUACUACCAUUCCAAAUUAUACCAUAACAGAAUUGCUGUCUUUACCCGCGCGCACUAUAAUAUCAGAUUGGGUAGUAGGGGGAAAAGAGAAUAAUUGAGAAGGAUUGGUCCAGAGGGAAACUAGGUCUUAGGAGUGAAAGAGUCUUUUUUUUGUUACUGCCGCGCUACUGACUAUGUUGCUUGGCCCCCCAUUUAUUCUCAUUCUCAUUCUGAUCACACUUACCGCAACAAGCUGAGGGCAGCAUCUCUUCUCUUUACUACCUUCUCUGUGACCUCUGUCUCCUCUACCUCUGCUGGCUACUGUCAUGAGGCUCUGUUGCUUGGCCCCCCACUUUUCUUUACGUACUAUUAUGCUUACUAUACCAGCUGAUGUAGCAUUAUAGACUAGACUGUAUUGUGACUUUUGCUACCAUCAGGAGAAAUCGAACCCAUUCCCCUGUUCCACAUUAUGAUAUAUAUAUAUAUAACCCAUACCUCUGUUCCACAUUAAUAGAGAAUCAUCAUAUAAGAAAUCAUAAGAAUAUAGAAUAUAAGGUGAGUUUUCAAUAAUGAAUAUGGGGUUUUUCUAAGUUAACGUCUUUCUUCGGUAGCUGGUUCGGGGUAAAUAAUGGUAAAUACGAAUUCACUGUAUUUCUGACCGGGAACAGGACCUAUAAUAAGAAUAUUGAUUUGAUUGGGACGAGAACUCUGAGAAGAAAUCAUUUCCUAUCUGUUCUUUCCACUCAGGAGAAAUACGAUCAAUCAGGGGGGGGAAGAGUCGGGUAAUAAGAGAACAGCCCAUACAUUCAAAGCCCCGUUUUUACCAUUAGCAAGAACUUGUUUCAGUUGAGCUUAUCAUAAGGGAUUCGAACUACAGCUUCAAUCAAAUACAGUAUAAGGAAGCACUGCUUGCGUAACUUCAAUAUCAACUAUUAGCGAAAUAGCAAUUGGCACAUAGAAUUCAUUCGUCCACCCACUUCCUUGCUUCUCGCAGAUAUAACCCUGCAGCGCAUAAAUAGGAUAUGCAUUUUCUAUAGAUGCCCCAGUUAUGACAUAUAUCAUCAUCGAUACAGAAAUGGAUCGAGUCAUCUCUUUAUCGAUACAGAAAUAGAUCGCUUACUUUACCCAAGCUCAAAAGAAAGUAUUUUGCAUGUCAAUCAUUGAUCCCGGAAUUUCUACCUGAAAUCAGAUAGGUCGCUAGUAUUGUUCCCUAUACACGAGUCUGUCAUUGUACUGGAAUAUAGGACGAAUACCAGCAACAGAUAGAAGUCUCAAUAAAGAAGUAAAAGCUUUCAAAUGCUCUUUCUUUAUACACGAGAGGAAGAUUCAUUCUCAUUUUGGAUUGAUAUAAAUAAGGAUAAUAAUAAUAGAUCAAUUCUAGUUGAUGAUUCAUGUUUAUAGGGGUAUAGUUCUUUAUUCAUGUUGAUAGGGGAAUUCCGUAACCCCCAAAUUCAGAGCGAGUUCUUUCAUUACUCAGAAGAAAAUAACAACCACUUCCAAAUAGCGAAACAUAUUCUCUUUAUCGAUAAAUGCUAACAUUCAUAUAGAGAUCAUAUUCAUUGUGUGCUUGCCUUGACUAAUUGUAUCCUUUCCUUGUUUAUUCCGGUAGAGUUAGAUUUAUAUGCCUUGCCGGGUACUUAGCUUAGAGUUCGCUUCUUUUAUAUGCCUUGCCGGGUACUCCUUUUCUCAUUUCGUCCAAUAGCAAUAGUUCUUCAAAUUCUAUCUAUGAAUCUAACGUUUUUCUCUGUAUGAAUCCAAAUUGAGGAGAUUGCCUAGUAUUCCACCAAUUUGUAACCCAAGGCAAGGUUCCAGACAUUUAUGAAAUUCGAAAGAUACCCCCACCAGGGCAAAAUGACUAUAGAUGCUAUAUAUGGGAGAGAGGCCGAUGCUUUCUUCCUUUUGCACUUGAUUCUGUUACUGAAGCAGCUCUUCAUUCGUUGACUCUAUCAGAUCUUAUAUUUCUUUGAAGCACUAGUUGUAUAACUGAUAUUUCUUGGAAGCAUUAGUAGUAUAAUAAAAGGGGUAUUGACCUAUGGUUCCUUGUACAAUAAUGAAUAGUAUAAGACCUAUGGUUGGUUCCUUGUACUAGAAUUCUCAUAGUAUAAGACCUAUGGUUGGUUCCUUUACUAGGAUGAACUCUGGUUCGGUUCCUUUACUAAGUAUAAUCAUUCUCUUUUUGGAUUUAGAAGGAAUAUAGACAUAGAAUAAGAGUUAGUCCUAUUCGGAUGAAAAUGAGAAAUAGGAAAUUAUGAUUCUUCCAGAUAUAUCAAUUGGGCUAAUUCGAAGAUAUUGAACUCGCACUCUGUAUAGGAUUACUUUCAAAGAGAUCAUAAGCGGGAGAAGCAGCUGGAUAAGAAUAGGCUCAAAUAGGUGGCAGCGCUAAAGCAUAUUUCUUCACAGGUCCAAGUCCAGUUCUUGGAUCAGACUAAGUUGACAGAUCUUCUGCUUUAUCAAUAGAAUCCGAAGUCAGAGUUCAGUCGACGAGAUCAGAAGCUUGGCUUUAGGAAGGUUGCAAGUAUAGUAUAGAAACCACCGGUAAAGAAUAUGGAUCAAGAUAUUCAGGCUGGAUCUGGUGGUGCGGUAAGCACGGGACAAUCAGUUUCAUCUACCAUAGAAGCCUAUUUCUAAUGCCUACGGAGCGGUAACGUCAUUUAUACUCUGCCUCGAGUAUAGGGUUCGGGGAAGCUGUGUACUCACUAACAUCUAUAUACCAUAUGCUUGAUAAGAUAGAUACACCAUUCUGACUUGAUAGUUUAGUUACAACUUCUUUUAGGGAUGCUACUUUACUCAUAGGGAGAUUCUUAUACUUAACACCUUCAUGUGAAGUGAGAAAGUUUCGCUGGUUUUUCACCUUAUUCUCCUAAGCAAAUAGAAAGAAAUGUUACUAUAUAAUAAUUCCAUACUACAUUUCUGAAUUCAAAACAGUAGUGCCGGGCAUCUCGACCAGUUUACCGUGCCUCGAUGAAUGAGUUAUGUUGGGUAAAGAAUGCGCUCAACUACCUGAAAAAUGAGUGAAGGAAGAAACAAACUGUUAUUGGGGACCGAACCCUUCGAUGCGCGUCCGGCGUACUACCUUCGUUGCAUGUGCGAUGGACCACCACGUUGUCCUUUGUUUCGCCCGAGCAAUGACAUGACCGAACCGAGGUACAAUGAUCCCCGGAGCCCUUUCUUUGUUUAUACCAUUGGAUGUCGUCCGCCCCUGUAGUCCUAAGCCCGAAGAAUCAAUGUAGUUUCUCCCGACGAAUUACCGACCUGACCUAUGAAUUAAUUACCGAGGUACUAGCUUCGUUGCCUGUGGACCAUUGAUACACGACCAACCCAUGAAUGAGUGAUGGAAUUGCGUCCCGGGGUCCGCUCACAGACUUAUUGAUUGUACUUUAAGGCGGAGCUAUUUUAUAAUAAGACCAAGUUCACUACCCUUUAUUACAGAACGAAAACACAUUCCAAUAUAUGAGAAUUUAUGGUCCCAUGGUAGCUCUAGGGGAGGUGUGUUAUUGGUUCAAAAGUGUGUUUCGGGGGACCUGGCAUCAAAGCAAGAAUACCAUCGGCACCACAGAAACUAUAUUAUCUUAUAGGAAACUAUAUUAUCUUAUAAGAAUCUCAUUGGCACUGCCCAUGGAUAGUAUGGAUUUUGGUUGUUCUUUUCUAUUAAUAGAAGCCAUAAUAUGGUUUGGUGGUUUCUUUCUUUAUUCAAUUGGGGUUGAUCUGAGUUCGCCCUACCGCAUGUUUAUUACUCUAGUGGUAUGGUAUAGCUUCAUUCUCACUGCCAAGCUAGAGAUUCCUUAUAGCUUUUUGGAUUCCGCGUAUACUGGGGGAUUCUUUUUAUACUGAACUGAGUCGACGAAGACAUCAGCAGCAAUGACUAAUACAGUUUCUUAUUGCAGUUGAGUUUGUAUACGUUGUUUGGUGUCUGCGGGAUAGGUAUAUAAGAUUUCCUGAAAGGGGGGGCGGGCUACCUUAUGUGUUUCAUCCCUUUUCUCAUGGGGUUGAUUCCCACUAGUCGUGUAGCAGUGAAACUCUUGUUAACGGUAGGCUUGAAGCACCUUAUUAUAAUCAAAAGUGCUAGAAGCCCCCCCGCUNNNNNNNNNNNNNNNNNNNNNNNNNNNNNNNNNNNNNNNNNNNNNNNNNNNNNNNNNNNNNNNNNNNNNNNNNNNNNNNNNNNNNNNNNNNNNNNNNNNNNNNNNNNNNNNNNNNNNNNNNNNNNNNNNNNNNNNNNNNNNNNNNNNNNNNNNNNNNNNNNNNNNNNNNNNNNNNNNNNNNNNNNNNNNNNNNNNNNNNNNNNNNNNNNNNNNNNNNNNNNNNNNNNNNNNNNNNNNNNNNNNNNNNNNNNNNNNNNNNNNNNNNNNNNNNNNNNNNNNNNNNNNNNNNNNNNNNNNNNNNNNNNNNNNNNNNNNNNNNNNNNNNNNNNNNNNNNNNNNNNNNNNNNNNNNNNNNNNNNNNNNNNNNNNNNNNNNNNNNNNNNNNNNNNNNNNNNNNNNNNNNNNNNNNNNNNNNNNNNNNNNNNNNNNNNNNNNNNNNNNNNNNNNNNNNNNNNNNNNNNNNNNNNNNNNNNNNNNNNNNNNNNNNNNNNNNNNNNNNNNNNNNNNNNNNNNNNNNNNNNNNNNNNNNNNNNNNNNNNNNNNNNNNNNNNNNNNNNNNNNNNNNNNNNNNNNNNNNNNNNNNCUAGUGGGUAGUUAGUUAUGAGCAAGUGCAGUUAUGAUCUUUUGCUUAUUCUAAUCCUGAUGAAUAUCCUUAUUCAUAUCUUUCUCUUUCAACUCCAGCAUUUGAAGAACCGAUUGCGACUUACUUACUGGAGAAACCUUCGGAUCCAGGAAUGGAACCCAAAGAGCCAAGUAACUACUAAUGACCAAGCAACGGGACAAACAACUGCUCCUCCUCUGAUUCUGUAUUUGCAGUGGAAUUAUGAUUAUGACUAGUUUCCUUUUUGCUACUUAUUUCUUAGUGUUUUAUUCAGAGUUUAUAGAGCCCAUGGUAGGCGAGAUGAGGGCAAUUCCAACUUUAGGGUUCAAUUAUUCACUGGCAUUGCAUCUGAAGUUGCUGGUUCAGAGGAUCUUCUUGCCAUCACUGCCGUAAGCACAGAAUGAGAUUGAACUGAUGCUGACAUACGCUGAAGAAAGGAUAGGCAUGGUAGAUCUUUGUAACCAAGGAUGCGAGAUCGGUAUACAGUUGCCCCUAGCCCAAGGUGCUUUUAACCAACCGGCGUGCUCUUAGUGUGAAUAGAAUAUGUUACUCUCUUUCCCCCUCUUGCUAACAACUAAAGAAGAGGAUUGAGCUAGGAAGAUAGAAAACUCAAGAAGAGGAUUGAGCUAGGAAGUCUGCUGAGCUAUAAAGCACGAAUCAAACUAGCGCAUUAGAGUAUUAGAUAAGAUAAGGUACGAUGUUGCUUGGCGGAGACUUUACUUUGAGUAGAAAGAAUUCAAUGAAAUCUAGCAUAGUGUAUAGAAAGGGUAGGUCAUAUUCCUAGGCUUACCCGAGAUCUGUAUCAGAGGCAUAAGAGCAAUAUCCGGAGUCGGAGAUAGAAUAUGAAGUUGUUGUUCUUGUGUUGUCUCCAGUUUAAAGAGAAUCCCCUGCUGAAAGGUCAAGUUCCAUUACUGGUUUUGGCAAAUUGGCUAAUGCUAGUUCUGGCGCUAACUGAGCUCACCCUGAAGAUAAGAGUAUGAAGUGAUGCAAGCAAGGCAUGAACUAAAGUACUUAAGUCUAGUAUAAGGUGAGGCAAUCAAGUAACCUCAAAGCUUCGAAAGUGCGUUAGUUAGUUGUGCUGGAGCUUAUUGUGCUUGGGUGUGUUAGAGGGAGUUCGACAAGUGCUAGCGUGAGUUGAGUGAAGUUGGAAUCGCCUGAGUGCUACGUGAGUCUUUAAGCACAGCUUAGUUAGUUUAUUCAAUUGUGUCAGGUGAUGUCAGUUAGGUUAUUCUAUUAUAUCAGUCAGUGGAUGUCAAUUAGGUUAUUCUCUUCCAUUAUAUCCGUUGAUGUCAAUUAGGUGUGAUUUUCUUGAUUCUCUAAUAUCCGUUGAUGUGCAUAUUUGAUUACUUUACUGUUAUUUCACACUGGCGUUAGUGAGUUUGCCGGAACAAUAAACAUGCUAACGCUUUAGUCACUCGCUAACAGCGCAAGCCGUGUUACUUGUUCUAAGCUUGCUGAAAGCAAUGCUCCAUUUUUGGAACUCAAUUCUAUAAGUGCUGUGCAUCACUAAAUUCCAUUAUCUGCCUUUUGACUUUAGCUUAGCUUCUUUCUAUGAUUACACUGCCUUUGCGACUGAUAUAAGUAUGGGAGCUGACUUUAGCCUAAGUAUUCUUUAUUAUUGAUACAACAACACUCGAACAGCAGCAACCCUGAGAGAAAGUUAUCCAAAUGUUGAGCGGAAUGCCUUGAACAGAGACCAGAGUCUUUCAGCACCUUGAGAAGACAGAAACGGAGACCCUAGCCUUUUGUUAGUGAGUUCGAGCAAGCAAACAGAUUAGCGGAACAGGUGGCCUCUAUUCUGACUUUAGGGAACCCAGGGCCAUAAGUAGUUGUCUCUACAGAUCUAUUCUGACUUUAGGGAACCCAGGGCCAUAAGUAGUUGUCCUAGAGAUCCAUUUAAGCACUUAAGAUUUGAUGCGAGUCACAUUCAUCAAUUAUAUACUACUAUGCUAAAGAGAGAACGAGCAAACUAAGAGACUUGUUGAAAUAUGGUACUUAGCGCUGUAACCCCUUCUUUCUCUAACACCCUUAUCGCCGUUGAACAGAGGUGAAACGUUGCUAAUGUAACAUAUUCUGUCCUGCAAGAAAGCGUGCUGAUAUUCAUGAUUAAAGCAAUGCGAUGUUUGGUUACAUUGUUCUAUAUGUGUGUUAGUGUUAGCUCAAUUCUGUUCAAUGAUUUUGCCCGAGCUACAGCGGCACGGAAUUCAUGCUUGGACCUCUCUCGUAUUCAAUGAGCUUAGAGCGCGCAUUAUGUUGUUGGGCCAUAAUCAAGCUAUACUGGGCGAGAACAUAUAGUCUGGUUAUCCACAUUAAGUAAGUAGGUCCGCUCACUUGAUACAACACCGCAACACUCGCACUGGUUCUUCUCUUCUUCCAUAUAUAAUUAUCUUGGCAAAGCUACAGUUCUUUCUUUGAUAGUUAACCGACUUGAAAAGAGCUUCUUGAUAUUAGAUUAUUCCCUACUGCAAACACAGACAACAGAGUCAAGAAAGAGAUGCUUCACACGAGCACCCAAAGAGAGAGACGAGACUUUAGUCCUUAGCGCUUCAUGAGGGUAUUUUGUUACUUCUUUCAAUUAUGUGUGCGACUAUGGAGCGGGUCCGUUAUCGAGUGUAUCUUCCGCGCGAGUUGUGUGUUCACUGCGCCCUUACUUGCAUGUUAUGUUUACUUAACAGCUUCCUGCUAGUCCGUAUUAUUGCACCAUAGCUUGUUGAAUCGAGUGCUAAACAGAAAGUCACAACACUGCGAAACUAACUUAACAGAACAGAAAAGAAUCUAGCUUCACUUAUAUAGAGAGAGAAGAGAGGAUUGAUGUCGGCACAACUAACUAACAGUAGCUCGCUAAUGCCAUUGCUUAUAUAUUCCCUCUUGUUUGCUGGUUCCACUCAUAUCACUUGUUUAUUACUUGUUUGCUGGUUCCACUCAUAUCACUUGUUUACUUGUUCUACUCAUUUCAAAGUCAUAAUAGUAGCAUAUUCUAUAAGGUAUGAACUUCAUAGUAGCAUAUUCUAUAGGGUGGUAUGAACUUCCCUGCGGACUGCUGACUUUAAUAAGCUAGCGCAGCGCAAUGUUACUUAUAUUCUUUUCAAAGAGCUCACUAUAGCCAAUAAAUUCGCGAGUGAAAGUGUUGGUGAAGAGAGAUUAUUUCCAUGUGCUCCGCCCUCUUUAGCCUUAAUUGAUAUGGAGGUACUAACAACUCGGAGUCGGACAACCUCUCUUAUGAUUGAUUGAUUACCUGCGCAGGGUCAGUGUGCUCAUCCCUUCCAUUCUCAAGUCAAGUUCCAAAGUCAAGUAUGGAGAACUAGUAACGGCUUCUUUGUUUAGUUCCAGAAGCAACAAGCCUAUAGAGAUAGCUUUGCUAGUUAAGGUCGCUAGUCUUCAUCGGCUAAGGUCAGUUCUUUUACUUGCUUGCGCUAAAGGGUCAAUGAGCUCCCCCAUUCCUUAUUUCAAAAGAUAGAGAUUCCAUUGAUUCACUUUAAGUAUAGGUCGGGCAAUCAGGAUCUUCAGUUGCGCAGAAUCCGAAGUAUCAAGUGAAGUCAGCAGCAAGCAUGGAAGAGAGGCACCCCGCAACCAUUGAAUAGAAGGCACCCCGUUCCGCUCGCCUUAGCACUGAGACUUCUACUUUUGACCUUAAUUGUUGAAAAGACGAGGCGAGUAGAGUCGACUCGAUCAUAAGCUUGAUCUUCAGCAGGAUAAUAGUAUGGAUCAGGAGUAGCUUGUAUCUAAGUCAGAACUUCCAGUUGAGUUUUCGUCUUCAAGUAGAGUGGAAUCGUACUAAGAAUCAAAAGCUGUAUCCAUAUCUUGAGUAGGAAGGCUAGAUUCAUUACUUAAAGCACAGGAGCUCGCAAGUCUGGUUUUGGGGUCCAGGCCCAGCUAGAACUAAUGCGUAUGUUCAAUUUCAAUGAAGAAGUUGCGCUACGCUAAUGGGAAGGGAUGAUUAGGCACGCAAAGCAAAGGUAAAGCUAAGCACUAAAAGAGAAAGCCAAUCACCGACAACCUAGACUCGUACAAAACUAGAAUACCCUUAACAUAAAGCAAGCCAAGCACCUAUACUAUACUAUACUUCAAGAAUGACUAUCCCCGGCAGAAGAUCUUGUGGCUUAUUUGAUGUCUUCCCUUGCUGAAAAACAGAACCUUGCUUCAUCUCUGAAUCCGCUACGUGGACAUGAGAAAAGAGCUUCCCGUUACUAUGACAUGAGAACUCCACUCGUGUAUGACAGUCAAGAAAGAAGCCCUAUAUCGUUAGCGGUUGCGGAAGCACUUGUGAACGGAACAGGUUAAGGGCGAAAUAAGCUUUUCCAGAGUAUAAGCAGAGGUGUUGUUGAGUUAAGAAAGACUAAGUGUGUUAGGAGUGGAGCGGAUAUAGCGUGAGGUAGCUGCCCGGAGCAAGUCCUUUUUCGUCGUAUCAGCAUUAGUUAGUUCACUUGCACUCUCUGCAAUAAGCUUUAGGCGCACAAAAAGAAAAGAACUGAUCUUGUUGAUGAUUUUCUAUGGAUUUGUUAUUAAUACCGGGCUCAUUUAUAUGGAUUUGUUAUUAAUACCGGGCUAACGCCAUGACGAAAGCAGGAGCAGACCCGCUUGCUGCAGAUGAUCCGGAUCUUAUAGAAUCCACUCACACUGGCAGUUCUUCAUUGCAUUUCAGAUCUAUCUUAUCUUGCACUUGCUAUAGAGGCGAGUAAAGAAGGAAACAGUUUCCGUAGAACAAGCAACUGCGUUAGGCAGAGUCUUAUAUCUUGACUCUUGAACUCCUACUAGCAACAGCUUAUGAGCAAGCAACAGCAAAUGAGCACAGCGAUUUGGUGCCUAUCCAAUAUUCUUUCUUUAUGGAUUGAUUUCUUUAUUCACAAAUUAUAUCAUAUAUGCGAUCUAUAUUCCAUUCCACAAGUCUAAGUGCUUAACGUAGUUUCCGCUCCGCUAACACUUACUGGAGUUUCAGAGGGUAAUCUUAGUUUGAGUUUCAUAGGGUAAUCUUAGUCAUUUCUAUACAAUAAGGUGAAGUUCAUAAGCGCUAACGGAGAGGGCAAAGUGUUCGAGUUUCGAAGACAGAUUUCUCUAUGUUUAAGCUCUGUUCAAGGUUGCUCAUGGCAAAUACACCAUGGAAAGUAUCUAUAAGUUGUAUAAAUUCAUUGACGCCUAACAUCUUAUUCCCUCGCUGAUUCAUUAAUUCAAUCUCAUGCGCAUAUUCUAUGAUAAAGUAACAAUAUGAGAAAUUCAAAAACGAACUCCUUACUGCUUCCUCUAAAGAAUAGAGGAUAGUUUACUUCUUAUAUCAUUGUGUAACUGGACUGCUGGCACAAACUAACUUCUGACUUUAGUUACGGAAUGGAAUAAUGCUUAUUAACUUUAGGAUUGUGAAUUGAGUGCACCGCCGAAAAGAAUAUGAAAUACAACUCAUAUAUACUCUACAAUACAAUAUAUACGAGACUCUAUGAAUUACGGACCAUGUCCACCCCUUAUUAGACUGGAUUUGAGACUGGAAUAUGCAUCUUAGAGCUGAUAGGGACAGUGAGCUACGCAAUCUUAGAGCUUAUAGGGACAGUGAGCUACGUUGAGCUACGCAAUCUUAGAGCUUAUAGGGACAGACCGUGAUAACAAUAAGGAUUUACUUAGUGCUCCGUGGCGUGGUAAGUAUUUCUUUGAAAAAAUCUAUUCGGCUUCUGCUUAUGAUCCUGCUUGAAUCAAACUUGCUUUAACAGGAAUUCUCUUAUAAUACAAGCACACGACUAAGAGAGAAUCUAUGCUUAUUAUCUGUUGAGAGAAUCUAUGCUUAUUAUCUGUUCUUUUUUGUGCUAAUUCAAGUGCAAGAUGGAAGACCUAUUCUAUAGACUAGUUGGCAGCUUACUACCCGCUUCGGUGGGGCAAGAGAGUGAGUCCCAGGUCAUAAGUCAUAGUUCCAGUCCCUUUUUAUUGAAAGUGUACAGUUACUAUCUAGCUCCAUUAUCCGUUAUGGUCUGAUACUGAGGAAAAAGGGUGCAACCACUGCAUUUUGGGGUACUAGCAAAAGGAGUCGAAGCCGAUCAUAGUCAAGUGCUUACCCAAGAAGGAAGUUCGCUUUAGGGGGACGGAGCGCUAGUAGGUUUAAAUGCAAUUCGGUCAUACUGGAAGCAGAUCCCAGAUCUCAAACAGUCAUUUGAUGUAUAAAUGCACGAGAACGUUCGGUUGGGUACCCAAAAUCUCAUAAGUGGGGGCUUAGACUCAUAAGUCGCUGUAAUUCCUCUACCUAACCACUCAUGCUUCUUUACAGCUUGCCUUCUUUCCUUGCCUUGGCGGUUUUUGCUAUAGGAAUGCAUUCUGCUAAUCAUUCAUUGGUCUCUAGUCUUUCCUCAGGCCCUGAGGAAUCCCAAUCUGAAAGCUCCGUAUAUGAAAGAUAAGAAUAGGCUCCUUCCUUUUUGAUUGCUGGCACCUUUUUUAGAGGACUGCCUUGACAUCGAGGUAUUAGUUCCAACCUUUUCUAGAGGACUGCCUUGACAUCGAGGUAUGAGUUCCCAUAAUCCCGUCUCCUGUCAACAGGUGGCAACGAGAAAAGCCCAUGCACUGAACCAAAGAGUUGUCCAAAAGAGAAAACAAUAGACGCGCCUCUUGUCUUGAAUAAGCAGGAGUAGCAAGAGAAUGAAUGAGCUCUUUAUUCCUUAUUCCACCUGUUGCCUAAAUGACUAAUGAAAGAGCGGCUCUGCAUUAACCCUAUCCCAGAAGUCCGAGUAGUUAAGUUCGUUCAUAAGCUUCGAAUUCUGAGGUAAAUGUGAGAGAGAGCCCAUACAGGGGUAUCUUCAAUAAAUCCGUUUGCUUACUUUAUUAUCUCAUAUGUUUGAUCUUCGAAUCCAUAUAUGAAUAAGCCCCGUUACUCCAUAUGCUUUCCCCUCCUUGCUUCAAGUGCAUGGUUUUAGACUAGGACUCGGUAAGCCAUUGGGCAUUCCUUUCUGCUCUGAUCAUCGGGGUGGAAAUUCAUUCCUUGAUCACCUGCGCCCCACUUCGGACUGACUUUUUGAUAAGACCAUUUUAGGCACCUUAUUCCCCCCAACAAAAUGGCGUGGCUGCUUCUUUCUUUGGAUUAUAAGCUUCUGGGAAUUAGAAGCUUCUGGCGCGUGAAGGGCUCUAAUACAACCAAACCAACCCCUGUAUUCUCUUGCUUUGUAUGAAACCAUAAGAUCCUUACAAUAGAAAAACGAAGUCAGUUCUUUUUCAUCAAUUACUAGGACAGGAAAGAAAUACCAAGCCACAAUUGCUUCUCUUCUGUCUCUGUAGGCAUUGAACGAGAACAUUCCCCCUUUGAUUCCUGCCAACUUUAUUAACCGCUGAUGAAGGAAGCCCAUAAUCUAAGUAAAGUCAUAACAAUCCGUUUAGUUACUAGGGGACUUAGACCGAAAAGAGGAUUGAUUGCCUGCUCAAAGAUAGAGAGUAUGGCAUUCACAGCUAUAAGCUAGCUAGUUAGGUAGGUGAAGCGGGAAAGAAUCGAGUCAAAAAACACUGUCACACUUAAGACCGAAUGAACAUGUAUAUGUUGGUGCCGGAGCUGUAGUGGUGCUAGGCUCUUCUAUUUCUUCUUUCCAGGAAAUCCACAUAGCUCCUUAUAAGUCUGGUGGACUGCUCUAUCUCGGGGUCCUUUGCUCGGGCUUUGUACCCGGGGGAGAUUUAGUAAUUCCUUAAUUGCUUCUUCAGUAUCGUGAGGAAAUGAGUUACUCUCUGUUGCCUCGGCUUUCUUCAAUCAAUAAGUAUAAGAAAAACUCAUGCUAUUGAUGCUGUGUCUCAUGGGGCAAGCUUGCUAAGAGAGAGCUUCCUCAAAAGAAAGGAGCAGCAAAAACUUCCUUCAACAAUAUGACUGGGUACGAAGCAGGUUGCUUGUUUGAGGCAAAUCUUUCCGUUGGGGUGGGGCGCGCCAAAGAGUCAUAUUGUUGUGCCUGCUUUUGCAGUCUGCUCCACUUAAAGUCAAGGAAAGGAAAGGGCGGAUAGAACCACUGUGCCCGAAGACUAUGUAGAAGCAAAGGAGCGACCACUUCGCGAGCCAUACCGAUAAAAGAGGCAGGCCGAGACAUGAUCAACUUAUGAUAAAAGAGGCAGGCCGAGACAUGAGAAACUUCUUCGGAUCCGUCUUUGCUCUCAAUUGGACCUUGUGCCAACAUAUGCGAUUCAUUCCCAUAAUUCGAAAAGAGCUUCCUCGGCUUUGUUGCUAGCUAUGACUCAAACGGGACAGGGCAAGAGGAUAGUGAGUUUUCAAGCAAUAACGGCAAGGAUAGUGAGUUUUCCAGCUAUAACCAUAAUAAGGCAGGCAGCAAGCUGUUAGUCUACGUUCUGCUAUACCAUGCGAGCUAGAUCAUGUCAAACAAGCCUUUAUUGCAAUUGAGUUGAGUCAAGUACUUUUGUCUAGCCUUCAAAUGCCGUAGAUGAGUUAUUAUUGAUUUUGUCUAGCCUUCAAAUGCCUGCCUAGAUGAGUUAUUAAAGGAAGCUGUAAGCAGUAAGCAAAGGUGCGCUGAACUCGCUAACGGAGUUUGUCCAGUAGAAGGUACAUCGUUUAGUAUAUUCUAUGUCAUCUUACACACUUAUAUGAAAAGUCAUGUUUCGCACUUGGAGUUGUAUAGUUGCAUUCAUUCCAUUCAGCCUAUUAUGAUUUGAUUACUUGACUCUCGCCUUACUGUAGUUGCUCAAGCAGUUUCAAGCUGGGUGCCAACAUCAAUUCUUCUGGGGUUACAAGCCCGAGGGUCAGAAUUCUUUAAUAGAGUCUAGGGUGCAGAUGCCGAUAGAAGUUAUUAAGGUUGGGAGUAGGCUUUCAGCACCUUCUGAUGCUGACUGCUUUCAUUGCACGACUACUCUACUACACCUCCGGGGCUCCUAUCUAUUCUCAUCUCACUCUGGCUCUUUUCUACCUUCAUUCGGCUCUCUUCUCUUCUUGCAACCAUUAAGAAGUCUGGGUCUGCUCUAACUACUGCCUUUCCUUACUAAGAAGAAAGUACUGGAUCCGCUCUAACUACAGCCUUUCCUUACUAAUCAUAAAGUACUGCUGGCAAAGAAGGGUGCCGAUGUAGCUCAGACAAAGUAGAAAGUAGUAGAGCUGAGUUCCGGGUUUCGUAAACAAUAACUUCUAUCGUAGCAGCACUUAUAAGAAAUACUUCCUAAGCAUUCUGAUCCUGCUCGGGAAACGGAAUCUGAUCCUUAUCCAGCUGAUUAUCUCGCCUACAAUUACAUAAUCAUUCCCCUUUUAUACUUAUAGACAAAAGCUACACUAGCACUUAAGUCUGUCUUGCUUGGCGCCGAAAACAGAACAGUAAAUGAAGCUCUCUCUUUUCCAUAUCAAAAAGUAGGAAUUGAGUGGUAAACAAAUCAUUCUUAAACGGAAACGGCACCCCUAGAUUGAUUUACCGCUUUAGAUCCCAAUCCAGCUCCGCGAUAUCCUCUAGCUUCCUUAUCCAUCUUAAGCUUCUUCUACGUAUCUUGCUUCGGCUGAAGAUGGGUGCCCACGGAGUUGUGUUAAGGCUUACGGACCUACUGACUUAAUGCGCAAAGCUGUGAGUCUAAUCAUAUAUAGAAUAGAAUGCGAAUGCCCACGUAGCAGUUAAGGGCCAAGCAACGACUAGACAAGUAACUACAGUAGAUGAGCCUAAUUCUGUUAAGAGAAAAGAUCCUGUUCGAGGUUAAGUAUCAAGUGGAGUUGAGAGUAGCUAGUCCUGUUUUCGUGCCUUUCCCCUUAGAGACAGGAAAGGGGGAGGAGCUGGAGUUAAUAGAUAUAAAGGCUUGGGUAUGGGAGAUACAGAUGUGGAUGCCGGGGUGCCAGACCGAUACGCUAGCUUACAACCCGCGCCCAGAGCUACCACUCUUUGACUUAUGUGUGUAAUUCCGUUUAGUAUGUUUUCAUUCUUUUAUACUACCGAGUGCUCUGAUACGUGCCUGGAGGGAGUAAUUCUUCCGCUUCUGUGUUGAAAUUCCCAAGUGCAAUUCUUAGUCAUGGAAAUAAUGGAUUGCUACCCUUGGAGAGCUAAUGGUACUGGACUGAUAGCGUACGGAAUCGUACCCACGUAUGAAGAAAAGGAUGCACUCUUCACUGCCGCUUCGGGGCACGAUUGAGAAAGCCGUCUGCAAAAACGAUCCUAUUAGAGCGAAUGGCUACGUCCGGCCGACUACCGGGGUACAUUAACUUAAUGAUUAUUCUAUUAACUUGUAGAAAUUAUUGAUUCUGUUCUCUUAUAUGAGCAUGUGUUUUGUUGCUUUUGGCAUAUUCUAAUAGAAUGUGUUUAAUGCAAACCACUUAUCAACAACCUCAGGUCUUACUCCUUACUGGAAUUCCCACUCUCUUGGCCUGACUACCCUACCUUAACUUGGCCUGACUACCCUACCUUAAAGUAUACCAUCGUCAACUAAACUAAGUAAUAGAAUCAUUGUAAUAUAAUAAUGAAUAGAGUCGUAUUGCUGGUGUUCAUGCCCUGGGCUUCAGGCUUGUUGUUACUGCUUUAAGUCUCACUUUACUACUUACUGGCAUCUAAAUCACAUAUGUUCACUUAAUAGCCUGCCCACCCUAUCUUUAGGCCUGUCCUCACUGGAAGAAAGUGGGAUAUCCCUAGCUGUUAGUUUGCCCUUCCUGUCCACCUGUAUGCCUUUCCUCCUAGGCUUACUUUCCCGGCUAUCAACCUGUAACUGCGGAAAAUGGGAAUGUAUCUACUAUACUGGAAGGGACGACCGGAGGACAUACAAGAAUAGGCCCCGGACUAGCAAUACCUUAAACUUGAAGCUAGCUCUCUCGGGUAGGAAAGUAAGAACUGCACCGGUGCGUCUCUAUCUAAUAACUCAACUCAAAACAGAUAAUUUCGCUAGUAAGGUGCUAAAAGCCUAGUGCUUCUCAAACUUAGCUACAGGCUUGAAAACUACAUCUGCAGCACUGAAUUCUUUAGUUGGGGCUGGGGUCCUUGUACUGCCUUAUCCACAUUCUGUGACUAAUGCCAAUGCCUAAGGCCAAUAAGACUCAAUCUGCUAACUAGCGAUUCCACUCCAUAAGUCAAAGGAUACGAGUGAGGUGAGGAGCGUUAUACUAAUGCAAAGGAGUGUCGGAGGUUGGGAAGCAGGCUUGUUGGCUGCGGUUAUACACUUAAAAGCUGCAGCGCUUGCCCAAGGCUAGAGAAUUGGGAUCAGCAGCAUCAGUCUUAAAAGCAUUAGUUAAAGAACCUAGUAAGACAAGGUAGACUGAAAGCAAGCAGUAGUAUAGUAGGCUUAAAGGAAGAAGUCAAAGACCUAUGCCUUACGUCGUUGCUUGGUAAAAGUCAAUAGAAACGAAUAUCGAAUUGAGCUAGGGAAACCCGCACCAAACUAUCUCUCUUUCUUCUCAACCCACCUCUCUUUUCCUUCAACCUAAACUAGUACUUAUAAUAGUUAGCCAAGCAAUAAGGAAGUUAACCACCACUACCACUAACAGGGCUCUAACUCAAAAGGCCAAGCAACUACUAACGACCAAGCUUAGGCGCGCCAAGUAACUACUAAUGUUACGCGGCAGCAAAUGACAGUCAUAACGGCCAAGCAACGGCGCAAGACGUUGUACGGCAGGAGCUAUAGCUAAGUUCUGUCUUCGUAGAUGCUCUCGGCGGUAGCAACAGGCAAGCAACUACUAACGACCGCCAAGACACUACUAACGUGGCGCGGCAGUGAGUUUUAGGCGGCGCAAGACGUUGGGCGGUAGCCAAGGUAAUAGAUAUGACAAGUUAUUACAAUAGAUGUUUUUGGGGCCGCUUCCUAUAAUUCCUCUUCGAGUUAUUACAAUAGAUGUUUUUGGGGCCGCUCCACCCAAUGCCCAAUGCCAACAAGACUCUCGAUAGAAACUGCCCCUGGGGGCAGGAAUGGAGUUCUCAAUAACAAGAAUCUGGCUACUGAUCCCAUUCUUACUAGUGCGGAUCUAAAAUAGAGGUAAUGCCCGGGACAACUCCCGUCUUCUAGCCUUGCUUUCCUGCCUCGCAAACAGAUAUUCAUGUCUUUGAAGUUCCCAGUUGAUUGUUUGAUUUAUUGUAUACUUACGCUUUAGUCUGUUUGUCGACAGUUCCAUCCCUAUUAGUAGGAGGGAAAGCCUAGGGGUUGUGUUUGCUCUACCGGACCACGCUUCAUUCCUGUAUGGAUUAGUAUUUGCUUCUAUUUUAUUAGCGAAACUAGGGCAAACAAGGUGCUGAAAGCCUGCCGCUACACUCUUUCGGUCCGGAUCCUGUGCUUUAAAUACAUACCUCUUUAGUCCCUACCUCUCUUUCAAGUAGUAAAUAAGGGCUUACUUUAAAUACCACUAAUAAUAGUUUACUACCCAACGGAUAAGUCAUAAUAGUUUACUAAGAUCUUUGUACUUAUUCGAAUCCUUCACCAAGAACAGAAAGAACGGAGAACCACUUAGCGCAUCAAAGUAUCCAAUUUCAGAAUCCUUAUUUGCUUGCGAGCGUAUAAGCACUAAAACACUAUGAACCUAUCCCUAUGACUUAGAAUCAAUCACUUCUAUCGGAGAAGCAGAAUAUCUAAUCCCCAAAGAACUACACUUUCCAUUUAUUCUUAUUAUAUGGUUUCGUUCUGUAUUUGUUUAUUGAUUGUUAAAUAGAAUUUCAUAGCACUAGGGAAGGGCGGACCAAUAGUAAUGAUAGUAAUAUUGAUAGAGGAAAGUGAGAAUCGAAGAGGGGAAAGCUGCCUGUCGGACCGGCGGUUCUUGCUAAGGUUAGCCUGUAUCAUUGACCCCUACCCCUAUUCUCUUGUAUUGCUCCUAGCCCUAUGUCUACUCGGGAUGGCGCCUAUAUAGAAUAGAACCUUUCCUGUCCGGAAACUCAAGGCAUCGCAGCUGACGCUGCCCUCGCAUCAAAGGCUUUACUUUAAGAUCUCCACCUCGAAUCAAAGGCUUUCUCUGGUAAAGUAAGGAAGCCAACACAGAUGUUAGGAAGAAAUGAACUCUAAGCUCUCUUCGUCGGAUUCACUGAAGUAUUUCCCAUCAAACUAAAGACCAAGCGUAUACUACUGGCUCGGCUCUUCUCUUUACUACCUUCUCUGUGACCUCUUACCUAUGGCAACUAUCGCUCUGGUUCUUUUCACUCAUUAGUGCCUUGUUUUCUUCCAAUACGAGGGUAGGCUUGGUUACAUACUGAGUUUACUGACUUUGUUGACUUACUUGGUAGGCUCACUUCUAACUCUCCCUCGCUACUUUCAAGGGGAUGGGUGAUACUACUGUCUCCGCUCUAAAAGCUGACCUCUGACUUGCAUCUUCACCUCUCUCCACGACAACACCCGGAGUUAUUACUACCUUAUAGGGGUGCUUUCUAAGGAGACUAUAAGGCAAGAGAAGUCAAAUCAACAAAAGGCUAUAAAAGGCAAUAAAAGCGGACUAUCCUCUCAGAGGGGCCUCCCAAUAAUGUACUACAGGAUCCGGGUAUCAAGUGAAAGCCCUGUUAGCCCUAGUUCGACUCUAUUGUUUCUAUGCGCUAUACCUUAUUAUUCUAAAUCGAAGUCCCUUAUACACCUAGAAAGAGUGAGAGGCAGGAUCAACAUAAUGAAGCUGAUGGAACAGGGCUUUAAGGCAGCAAGUGCGAGGCUAAGAUCUAUGGUAGGGAUGGAUGCAGUAGAUAAAGAGUUAGAAGCGCUAGGUCAAUGCCGAUACUAAUGAGUUAGAGCCUAUGCUCUCUUGAUGAAGUCUUAUAGAUGCGUGAGUGUAUUGCGCCUUUCUUGGUAAAGUCCCUCUAUAACAGGGUUCAGUCUGCAACUACUAGAGUUCAUUCCGCCCUUGUUCCGUCACCUGCCCAUUCUGUGCUACUCUUUGGGUACUGGUGAAAUCCAGAAUGAAGUGCCAAAGCUCGGAAGCUGCAGUUCCAGUUUAAUAGCAAGUAAAGCAAUACUGAUGUCCUGACAUGCGUGUAUAGAAUAUAAGCCUAUAGAGGCAUGCUCGAAUUAACAAGCAGAAAGUAAGUGGAGGUAGGCUAACAAUCGAGCUAUACAGAACGAUAGCCAAUAGUAAUCAAAGUCAUCAUUAGUAUGGUUGCUGUGGACAAGCAGUAAGCCCUAGUUCUUAGUUAAAGUCCUGCUGGCACUGGUUUCAUAUUCUAUAUUCAGAUAUACUAGAAUAAUAAUAAAGCCGCUAGUAAGCAAGGCCCUAAACAAGGAGAGACAGACUCCAACUAGCACAAGUGAGGCUCAUAGGCAUUAGAGCAGGUUUCUAGUUCCGUAGGGGAAGACACCUAAUAGAGCAGGAAAGGCAUAACUAGUAGUUAGGGGUGGUAGUACCAGAAUCGGAAUUGGGAGUGGCAUAGUGGGCUAAGUGAUAUAAAGAAAUUCAUAAGGGAGUGUCAGUUUGAUAGCUAGGAGGGAUAGACCAACAAUCUGAAAUAUGCAUUGAAGCCGGGAGCCUAAGACAACAACUCGAGCAUAUGAAUUAUGGGACAGAAUGGAAUAAUGGAACUAAGUCGUAUGGGAAUGGGUACGGACCUAUACAAGAUAGAAUCACACUGGAACACAGGAAUUACACGGCGUAGUCCGAGCCCUUACUUUGAACCUUCAAACUGAAACCCCGGACAUACCAAUAUGAAUUCCCUCGGGGCAUCUAAAUCUGAAUGCACCCUGUACUCAUGAUAGAUUAGCACACGACUCCCCUUUAUAGAAAGAAGUCUAUGAAUCUUACUAAUGCCUUGAACACAUCGUCUGUAAUCUAACUAAUAACUAUUAGAAUCGAAUUAUGUAACAAUAAACCAAGUAAUGGAAGAUAUGGGUAUGGAUCCAGGGUAUACUAAGCAUAGGGACCGACCCCAGCGCAUCUAAUCCUUCUGUCGAACCAACACCGAUAAGAAGAAACCUAUUGCUUCUAGUCUAGGCUUCGACUACUCCUAUUAGAAUCGACCUGGUGCUUCUCAUAAUGAAACAAGGAAUACAGGAUAUGUUGUGGAGAACAUAGAACCAAGGCCGGGGAUAGAGAAUAGGUGGGUUCAAAAAGGAAGAGAGAGGUUCGAUUGGGCAAAUCUGAAUUCCAUUCUCCCGUAAGGGCAGCUUUGAGAUAAGUCAAGCAAGAUUCCAAGUCAUUAGUGGAAUAAUAGCUUAGUUUGCAAACGAGUCAGUCUUGUUGUUGUAUGGAGGGGCUAGUAAGGCUCUCUUUUUUUCGCGUGUAAUAAUUCCUGCUGAGUUCGGUUCCACUUCUGUAUGCGCUGUGUCCUACCCCUGUUGUUCUGCUACUAGGGUUCAUUCUGGUGCUCCCCGCUCCAAGUCCUCCAGUGCUUCCUCGCAUAACCGUAUUUAUACCAGAAGUUGGAUUCUGUGCUCCACUACCAAAUAUCCCCUAUAGGAUCGCCUAUAGGUCCCAGUUCCAUUCCUUUUAGCAGAGGAAUUAGAUUCGAUGCCACAAGUUAGUAAGAUUGAGUUCCCGCGUUAUAAGACCAAUAGCCAGGAUAGUGAGCUUUAGAGCCAGUAGCUACAGUUGUCAAGUUGAGGCUCCAAAUAAGUAGUGAGAGAACGAAAACUAAGAGAUCCUUACUAAGAAUAAGGGGUGUCGAAGUUGAAGUCUUCAAUUGGAGUUUCCUAGGUUCGAGACUAUUGCUCUACUAUUUCGUUAUUAGGUGCCUUAGUAACUCCCCUUGCGACAACUCUGACUCAAUCCCUAUUUCUUGGUUGUUGUCGUGCAGUAGCUGAUUCCUGUUAGCCCCCGGUUUGGAUUCUGUUUAUUAGAAUAUAGUUCUAGUGCUUCUGGGCAGUGGUUCAAUUGCUAGUUCCGAGCUCGAGUAUAUCAGGUAGUGAGGAAGCCCCGUCUAUAGCAAAGUGAGUUUGAAAUGCACGAGUAAGGUUUAGGCAUCAGUUGCUCAGUUCCUAUUGCAUUGGUUAAAGAAGAAAAGUCAGUCGUGUCUGAUCUAUUAUCAAAGGUGUGAGUUUUAUAGCGAGGGAAGUCAUACUUGAUGUAGGGCUGGCUUAGGUAGGCAUUGAGUUCAGUAUUGGCCUGCUGCGAGAGAUGCUUAAGCUUAGAGGCAAGGCUAAGGGAAAGGAAUGGCAGACUCUAGCAAGUGAAGUAAGGAUCGAAAUCCAAGUCAAGAGUAAUAGGCAAAAUCGGUAGACUAACAAGGAAAGCUUGGAAUGACCAUAGAGAGUAAGAUUGACUACUCGGAAAGUAAGGCAGGGCUGCUUUGAGUUAAAGUCAGAGAAGCACCUUAUCGAUUCUGAUUAUUGGUUAGUUAAGCCUGAGUUCUCCUCGUAUUAAUCCUUAUUAGUAUAGUAGUACGGUGAUCUAUUUGCCAUCAACACAAAGGAAGUUAUGUGUUAGUUACAUUUUCACUAAUCUCUUUAUGAGUCAAGGCGGAAUCAAAUAGGUAAUUCAAAGAGUCGAACAGGGAAUACAGAACCGGGCCGUAGCGCAUCCAACUACUAAUACAAGGACAUAAACUCUCAACAGGGAAUACCACUCCGCACUCUUCAGCCCACAAAGACUUGCUGCGCGCCCAAAACUGUAGCCUUAUACUGCUAACUUGAACUCGCCAACUAAUGUAUCUCAUUCCCCUUGGCUCCAUUCUCCUUUUCUUCUCUAAUCAUUCAGUAAUCUUAUCCACCAUAUUUGAAUUGGGUUUGUGACUUAUCUAUUCUCUUAUUAGAAUUGUAGAAUGCACAACUACCCACCUUAAGAUGAUAACUAAUGCCAACACAGGACUUCAAAUAACUAACUAAAGAAUCGAGGAGGGAACUCGCCCUAACAACAAGAGAACUCAUCCUAACAACAGAAAAAUGGAACUCUAUAUAUAAGUAUAGAAAUAAGCCCAGUAAAACGGAAAGAGAGGUUUAGGUCGGCAAAAGAACGGAAUUGAGAUUAAUAAAGAAAGAAGUGGGUGACCAAAGAGAUAGGUAGCUUUAAGAUCCAAGUAAUUAAUCAAUUGAAGCGCUAAGUAGUCCAAGUCAGUCGCUAACACCUCUGCUCUGGGCUCCAAAUAGAACUCCGACAAGCAGACGAGUAAUGACCAAUGUAAGAAGUACUCGAUAAGAGUAGAAAGAUAGGCAAGCAGCAUAGGGAGGGGACUGAACUCACAACUAGUAAUUCCAAUAAGAAAGAGGAAUCAAACGACUAAGUAAAAGAGCGAAACCCGGCAACCAGGCUGACUAUCUUUACGUUCAGUCUACAUCUCUUUUGUUGAAACCUGACAACUCGCACGAACCAACAAGGCUUACUACCUAUUCCCUAAGUCUAAUUUCCCUGUCUCCAAGCCUGCCUCCUUUUAACCCAAGUAUAGGCACCUACCUCUACCCUUCAUUCUCUAUUGACUAUUUCCUCUAUCUGACCUCUUUCUUUCAUUACUUAUUGCCAGCUAUUGACUUAUACCAAUACAAACAAGGGCAGCGGAACGAUGGCUGCUGCUAACAAGGCUUGCUUUACAACUUAUGAGUACGAGGCUAUCGCAUUAGUGAAUAUAAUAGUCAACUCAGAAUCAUACCGAUAAAGGUUAGAAUUGAUUGGCUACUACCCUACCAUAUCUAAUAACAAUGAAAACAGAGUGAAAGAACUCAACCAGUACCAACAGGACUAUAGCUUCGAACAGGGAAUCCAUCAGUUAUUGACAAGAAUCGCCCUCACAUAAGUCUACGAAUGCACGGCAGGCUGCCCCGGAAUCGGAGUCUCACUUGUUAGUUACGGAAUCCAGAGCUACUAAACCACUAUUAACUACAGAAGCUUAAUCCACCUAACUAUGAGUUCUACUGGUGCUUCUAAGACGGUGACUACUGCUGGCAAGGCGGAAACAGUACCUAACAAACAACAACCCUGAUUGAAAUAGUUCACACGAUUUGAAUGUAACUACUAUAACUAUAAGACUUUAUGUAAUUACUGUUCCUAUCUGUUAGCCUGUCUGGACUUUCUUUCUUUAACUAAUGACUUAGAUUCUGACUUGUUAUGUUAGGAGUGCAGAGGUGACACGUUCUAUUGAAACAAAGAAUUGAGCCGGUACUGACAAGACGGACUCCGCUAACAGGGAAUUCACUAACCGAGACUAGGGCUUUCACUGGCGCUUUAAAGGAUUUCACUGCUGCUUCUCAUACCUUAUGCUGCUGAUGAGCCUGUCCUACCUUGCUUUUAGGCUUACUUACUACCUAUAGGACUUACCUUUCUUCUUAUCUAUAUAUAUUAGGCUUACUUACUACCUAUAGGACUUACCUUUCUUCUUAUCUAUAUAUAUUUUUCUUAUGAUUGAUCGAGUCGACUCAACUUCCCUUGCUUUCCUAGGUAGUCUAUAUCUCCUUUUUCUCCGCUUUGGUUUGCUUCUUUAUCCUGGUAUUCUGUUCACCUAUUAACUGGAAUGCGACUACUGUCACUCACUAAAAGAAUAGAAAAGUGCCCGCUCAUACUUAAACUAGGAGCUCGGACUUCCCUUGCUGGCUUAUAGUCUCCUAUUGCUUUAUCUCAUGCUACAACUAAUAGCUACUAGGAUCACACUCCUACUGACAGGAAUGGAACUAUCGCUUCUCACACUCUAACUUCCGCCUAACAAGGCUAUGGCUCUUAACUAUUAAUUCAACUCAAAACUAGGGCUGCUUUAGAUGUCUACUAUUAGAAUAGGACUACCGCUUCUCAUAAUGGAGCUUCUACUAGCAAACGGACUAUCGCUACUGUUUCUCUGACUCUUACCUAUAAUAAGGGUCGAUGUAAUUAAGCUACUGCCAAUAAGAGAACAACUAUUGCUUAUGAUAACUUACCUCACUAACUUGGUCUGCCCCUACAGCUAUUACAUCAACAGUGCCAACUCGAUUCUUGCUUUGGAACCAACGAUUCUCUUCCUGCAUACGCUAUAUUCUCAUCAAUAGACUCCCCAUUGAAUAAGGGUAAGAGGCUCUAUAAAGCGGAGAUCCUGUUUUAAAGACUGGAAAGAUCGCUUUUCAAUCAGUAGGUCAAGUCCUAGUUAUUGGUUCAAGUAUUGAUAGCCUAGGUUCUAUUCUCUUAUGUCUCCCCCACUUUAUGAAAUUAUUACUUUCCUUACUAUGGAGUCGAGGUAAAUCAUGUAUUUCGUAUUGGAUUCUUUCUCUCCUUUAUUUGAUUCUUUAGUAAAUAGCAGCAAUGCCUAUGCCUUAUUACCUCUAUGCAUAUGGCGAGGUUAACUCUGUUACUACUGAUAUCAAUUAUGUAUUUGCCUUUGAACUCCGUUACUAUUGCUUUUAAGCCUGCUCUCUUCCUAUAUCCUAGUCUAACUUACCUUCUGAAACUGACUUCCGCUAGCCUGCCUUCUCCACCUUUGUGUGACUCUUAGGCUCCGCGCUUUAAUGCUAGUGGUGCACUUAUCCAAGUCUGAAGCGACUUCUAUUCAUUCUUGACCUCCCUUAUAUCACUAUGCCGCUCCCUACUAGAAACUAGACUCCUGACUCGCAUUCUUGCUUCUGAGCUUCAAACAGGAACUGCUUACUUUCUUCUUAGUCAAUGGUCGGACUAUUGAUGAUAUAUCGUAAGGGAUAGAAUCGAACUAGCGCUAACAAGGCUGAUAUCGCUACUAACACAAUAAUUGAUGGAAGACUUUAUAAGAAUAAGAAAAGAGUACUGACUUAAUGCUAUACCGGAAAGAGUGUAAACACCACUAACAGGAAUUCAAAUGCUAAGUAAGAGAAUGAACUAUUGGACUAUAAUAAGAGAAUCAGAAUCAUAAGAAGAAGAGAUUUGUACUCCAGCUCAAGGUAUGGUUCGGGAAGGUAAGUUUGAAUAAUGAAACUAGAAAGAUAGGUCCCCUACACUACAAGGCGCCUAUAAGACACCGAAAGAAAGAAUUGAGUCACUGAAAACACUGUCAACAAGGCCGGUACUUCUACUAUAAAGAGUGGAACUGCUGCUAACGAGGGCAUACUAAAAACACAGGAAUGGAAGGCAGCACACGGUUUAGGGCCUAGAUCGCCCCUUAUUAUAGGACUCUUAUCUUGUACCUGAGGAGUGGGAUUAUGACUUAGGCCGCUAAUUCUGACAAAACCUCCAAACAAGUAAGCAUCUAUUAAUGAAAGAAAGGAAACUCUGUUUGAAACCUAGGAGCGGAAGACCUUAACUGGAACUAUAGAAAGAAAGUAGGGUGAUUAGGGCUUAGAGAAGGUAUAGUAAGAACGCUAGCUAGUGAAGGCAGAAUCGAAGACAGAGUACAUGGACUGAUAGUGGGAAAAGCCGGCUCAAAUAGAAGUUGUGAGGCAAAAACAGCAGACCUAAACCAAGGAGUUUAAGAACAAGAUACGAAAUAAAGACUUAAGUGGGCAAAGGAGUAUUAGAGUCGAGCUCCUGCGCUUUCAACCUAUUACUACUGGGAGCAAGAGCAGAACUACAACUUAUAGGAGUCAUAAAAUAAUCCAUAAUUGACGACCCCACUACAUUGCUUGCAUCAAUAGCAUGGGUAGCAAUGAACUCUACCUUGACAUUGGAUGAAACUAGAGCGCCUAUAGCACCGAACUAUUACUUAACUGACAUUGGAUGAAACUAGAGCGCCUAUAGCACCGAACUAUUACUUAACUGACAUUGGAUGAAACUAUUGCAAUGAAGCUUUGGGGCGUUAACUCUGAAUUGUCUUCGGAAGAAAUAGAUAGGGUUUACGAGUGUCUCUUGUCUGGUCUAACUACGUAGCUUGGCGUGUCUUGGCGCUUGCCCGUGCUGUCAAUAAGAUUUCCAUGAGUUUUUGGUUUUGCUGUAUAGUAUAACUUCUGACUAUUUGCUUUUGGAAAUGAGGUGAAAAACAUAGAAAUAUCGCGAUGCGUAACACAUGCCUAUUAUGGAUUUCAACCAAUUAAAGAAAGAAAACACACGCUACUAUUACGAUUAUUAUAAGAGAAUAGAAUAAGGUAUUUCAGAAAGAGCAAAGCAACUAAGUAAGAUGAAUUGAGCUCGGAAGGCAUACUCCAACCAACCCAAACAAGUAAGGAUCUAAAUCAGUAGACAAAGAGUUGAAGCUACGUAAAGGCAGGCUUAUAGGCUGUAAGUCGUAUUCUUAUCUGCUGUUGUGGGAUUCUUGACUAUAAUAAGAGGGAUCGGAAGCGCUUGUUCGAUUCUAUAAUAAAGAAAUAGGAAAGUAAGCCUGGUAGGCAGUAAAGUAAUAUCAAUAGGGGCAAAUCAGAACCACAGAAAGGAGGGUUGGGCUUGGACUUACUAUUACCAGGUUCAUUAUGAGAAGUAGUAUUCAUAUUAAUCAGAAUAGAGCUUAGUAUACUAAAAGCCAGUAAGAGAACGAAACACUGUUGUCAAAGCCUUAUAAAGAGCCCUCCGUGCCAAGCCUUGCUCGCUAGCUUCACACUGCCACUCCAAAACUCAAUGCAUACGCUCUUGGGUUAGUAUUCCCUUACUCUUGCUUUCAAACGAUAUCUGGUGCUUCUAAGCCUACUACCUUAUUAACCAUAAUUCUUAUGUUCCUAUUUGACUAUUACUGUCCUGGCUAUAGGGCUAAUUCUCUGUAUUUGAAGUCUGUCUCUCAUUAGCUUCAACCUCGGGAACUCCCUUCUCUCAUUCUCUAACUACUUUGGUUGAUCUUGACUUUCUCGCCUAUGAGCCCAUAUCUCCUCUAUAUCCAUAUCCCCUCCAUAUCUAGAGAAGUAUGCCGCUACGGACAUGAAGUAUUAUUUGACUUUCUCUUGUUCUCCAACUACCUAUAGAAAGAGUGGAACUAGCAAUACAGGAUAUGGGUAUACCGCUUCUUAGGCUGGAAACCGCAACUAGAAGAUUGGAACUAAUGUCGACAAUGCCUAGUUUGUCUAUAACACCCCUUUCUCAAAGCCUGUCUCUCUGUCUUUUCGUUCUAAUACUUGUUCCUGACAUCCUUUUAUGGGUUAGAGUAUUCUACUGCUUUGCUUAAUCGCAUCCCGCGCUUAGGCUCAUUGCUCUCAUUCUUUAGUUAAGGCGAGGGUCCUGUACUGCUUAGCUUCGUUCUGAAACUCCUGACUCGCGUUCUGACUAUCAGAUUAGCUACCUGCCUAACAAGGCUUUCACUGCAACAAGCAAGACAGCGCUAGCGCCUACCAAUACUGUCUAUAAUCCCAAAUGGAACUAGUAAGUAGCGGACCUACACAAAGAAGUUAGCCUACCUUUCCCGAUCUCGUAUCUGGUUACCUUGACUCAAAGAAUACCCAACAAGACUUUCAUUCUCUAGCUGCUGAACAAAGGACUCGGUUAUAACAAACAAUAAAAACACCGAACACAGAGCGGCCCUUUAGCGACACCAAUUACUUAAGUGCAGCGGUCUAACAACGUGUCUUGUCUGGUUGCCAGGUAUUUUACCACAAUUGAAGUGAGUUUGCCAGAGACGGUAAAUAGGUCUUUUUCCGCCUUAACCUUAACCCGAGUAUCAAAUCAGUGUAGUCAAAGAAAGAAAAGAAAAAAGCCCCUAAACCAAGUAGUGGUCCAAGCCAAACUUAUAUAUAUGCGUAACCAGAUUGCCUCUCCUUUGAAAUUGGCUUCUUCAACUCCCGUUAGUGCAACAGUAACUCUUUUAGCCGAUGAAUACCCUUAUCCAGAUCUUUAAACGGAGUAUGGGCUUGUUCCCGAUCCUGAUCUUGUUGACAGAACUCCCACUUGAUGAUUCUUCACCGACAAGAACGAAACUUGAUGAACCAGAACCGUUUGCAUUAGCUUCAGAUACAUCUUAUGCUGGAACAAUACUUUAGAACUCAGAAUUCGACUCAAACUUAGAUAAUGGAAUUGAAGAGCAACUUUGCCACUACUAGACAAGUCCUGUGUUCGGCAUCCAAGACUGAUGCUAAGUAGUUGCAGGUUGAUGCGGUGUCUAUUGAUUCUCUGUAUUGGUCGCUAAGGUAUCUAUUGCUAGGUAGCUAGUAUGGGGAUGCAGCUAAGGUAUCAAACCCGUAAGUGGAAGGCGAGGAAGAAACCAGUAAGUAGAAGCCUUAAAGCACCAAGUAGUAAGCCCUAAGUUAUUAGUAAGUAAGCAGUAAGCCCUAAGUGUUGAGUAAGCCCUAAGCUAAGAGAGAGUUGAACCCUUACUUAUUAAAGCUGCUUGCCCACUUGCUAUGUGUUUUCAGAAUGAAGUUAUAGGAUCGGAGGCAGAAGAUCAAGAUAGUACUUGCCAAGGUAUAAAUUCCCCGAUGCUCAAGUAUCUAGUAUACAGGUCGAUAUCAAGUAUCUGGUACAUAAGGGUCAAAAUUCCCCAUAGUACUAAGUUCAUUCUUUGCCAGUAGUUUAGAGUUGAUAGUUGCAUCCCCAGUCGAAUCAGUAUUAGUUAGUGAAAUACCGGAGUAGUCGUAGUAGUAGCUUGAGUAUAGGCCCUUAUAGUAAGUUGCCGAGUUUGUCUACUUAACUACGUUGCUAAGGUUGACUUCUCUAUCGGAGUUAGUGUAUUUGUAAAGGAGUUCCAGAGGUAUCCCCAGUUUUAGUAGUAGUGGCUGGGCAGUUGGGGAAAUUAAUAGUAAGGGCCCCGCUUUUGAGUGCUGUGUUCAGCUAGCGCAUUCCUUUAAUAGGGAAGAAUAGGGAUAGAUCUAGCACAUAAGGAUUAAUAAUAACAUAAGAGGUCUACGUAAUAGAAUCCGUAAUAGGGUACGAGAUAGCGCUACACUACUGAUAUGGUUCCUAUGAUAUGGUUCCUACUCCGGAUAUGCCUAAAGCUUCUGAUUGGGUUCCUACUUCCGGAUACUGCAUCCCUAUAUCCUACUCUGGAUACAGCUAAAGACCAAUACAUACCCUGGUUUUCGGGUGACGAGAGAUAAACUGAGCAAUCUUACAGACGAAUAAGAAAUUCAGUAUUUACUUUAGCUCGGAAAGAAUCCAUUCUGUAUUAGUUGACAAGCUGCCCUUAUGUUAAUGGUUCUAGUCUUAAGACCGGUCCCUAAGUUACAGAAGUAGGGAUGCAGGGAUUGAUACUAAAGAGCAGAGCCAGAGUGGAAUUAAGAUCUAGUUGCCAGCUGCUUGGCUGUUGCCUAGGAGCCUCAUUCAGUUCUGUUAGCGGAGAUGCUCUAGUCCACUGGCUUUGAGGCUAGGUUUACUUACUUGUUAGGGUAGUUUAGGGAUAGGUCUCAUUCUUAUCUUAAUUGGAGAAAUUCUCAUAUCCAUCACUCAAUCGGCUUUCUUGUCAUAAGCAUGAUAUUCCUUUAUUUACUGGCAAACAAAGGACUUGGGAUGAGCAAGAGGUGUAGUAGAGUAGUUUCAUCAGUGAUAGUUUAGGUCGGGGAAGCAAGAGAAGGUUCACACAGGACUCCCUCUGAACUCCUUAUAAUGCAUAUUGUGCUUCUCGUCGUUGCUUGUUGGUUCCAGUCUCUGUUUCCCCUGCAGAGUAGUUUCAAGAUAGGGUAUAGAACCGGGGUGGGUAAUCAUAAGAAUAGUAGGAUUGAUAAGAUGAAAGUAUCAUAAGAAUAGUAGGAUUGAUCAGUAGAAAGUAUUGUUCCAGAAGUAUCAGAUCAUGCCCACGUAGCAGGAGUCGAAUCAGGAUCCUUAUAGUAUAGUAUAAGUAAAGGUUGACUUGUUUUAAGUGCUCGUUAAGCCGUAGCUCUAAGUCUGCAAGUAAAGUUCCUGGUUUGUGGAGUUAGGUAUAGGUCGACAAGGGAAGUGGAGUUUGGUGCUGCAGCUCCUAGUAGUGGAGGCGCAUCUCAACAAGCAGACUCCUUUGGUGCUAUAGCUCUAGAAAGAGUUUGUAAGGGAGUUUAUUCCUUCUACAGGGUUGGUGACUUACCUGAUUCUACUAGGUUGGUGACUUACCGGAUUCUAUUCUAUUAUACCCAUAUGCCCAGCGAAAUCCUAUUAUUAUAUGAGAAUUCAAGGGCGGGUUCAUUGAACUAGUUGGUGACUGGGAAUGAAAACACUACCGAUGAGAAUGCAUGAGUCCCGAGUGAAACUGUGUCCGGGAGCUCACUUUUCUUCAAGAAAAGAACUUCCCUUUCAGACCUACUUUAAGGGUAUGUUCCGAGAUACUUUCCAGUGCGGGGCGGGUUUACAGUUCCAGUUCUCUUAGCGCUACCCAUCGCUACCCAUAUUGGUAGAAAGAUAGGUACCGUGGUUAGAGUGGCUAGGUGCCAAGGAAGCAAUAGAAGAAAGUACCGGCUUUGAUUGUUCGGUAAAGUAAAGUAGAAAGUUAGGGUCGAGUUCAGGGCUUAGUCCAGGCAACUACUGUAUUAGUUGCAAGAGGAGAGCCCAUAUAGAAUACUUCUUUUCUUCUUUUCUUUCUAUUUCCACCCCAGGUAGUCUGGUUCCCGCCCUGAAGUUAAUGGCGAGUUAAGUUGACGGAGAAUGCCCGGAUUUCCCCCUUCAUAGCUUUCUUCUUUUCAUUGUGAUCCAAGCAUGAAAUAAGUGGGUAGCUUUAUUCAGUUCGCUUCACCCCUAAGGCUUACUCUCAGGGUGCAUUAUAGAGCUUACUUUACGGAGUUGCAUUAGAGCGUACUUUCCUACAAAGCUCACUAGCACACUUGUCUCUUUCGAAACGGCUAACGCACCCUCUCUGUAUUUGAAACGUAAGAAUAGAGGCUCUUAGCACCUUUCCUUCCCUUAAGAAUAGAGUUGACUACACUAUAAGGAAAGUCUCCACAAGUGUUUUGUUCGAUAGGCGGGCGAGGAAGCUAUAAGUGCGGAAUAUGGGUAAUAGGGGAAGUUCUCUGAUGAAACUGGGCUACUCUACGACUUUCAGAAUAGAGUUUAAUAAGCUAUUACCGAGUCCUGUGUACAAGGGAUUUGGUGAAGAUGCCUCAGAUGAAUAAUGAAUUUCUUAUAGUUAUUACUAGUCUAAAGCAAUUCCUGUUUUUGUAGUAGUCGGCGCCUCUCCUUGCGGUGGUUAGCUUGGCCCUCUCUUUGCCUUUGCAGUAGUGGCACUUGGACCUAUAAUAAGAUAAUAUAUAAUGAAUAUUGGUUUCUUCUACUUUGUCAGUAUAGUUGAAUAUUCGAAAUUCCAUUCCAGUUUAUCAUCGGACUAUGGGGAUUCCUAUGGUGUUAAGUAAGCUCUAUUCUCUAUCUUUAUACCGGAUUUAUUACUGACUUUAGACCUUCUUUCUUAUAUAAUACACAGUGACCAAUUCAAAUCACCCGUUAAAAGAGAGCUCGCCUACUGUCUUUUCAAUUCCAUUCUUAUGUACCAAGUCCUGUGUUCAUGGCGGAGAGGUGUAUUGGCUUACUUUGGCACUGUGGAUUCAACCAACCGCUUCUGAAGUUGCUGUGUGAGCUCCCGGUAGUCCUGGGCGAUCAGGAUUGAACUUAUCAGUAACGGAAUGAGCAAGCGGGGGCAGAGGGACAGACGGACCAGCCAUUGAUUGUGACUUUUAGAGUGUGAGUGAAAGUAUCAUUCGUUCGUUAGGGAACCCUGCUGAGUACAGUGGCAGCAUAAACCAAAUAAGUAAAUAAACACUAUAUUGAUUGCUUGUCUCAAGGGAGGUAAACUCUUUUGCAUUUAUAGAGGAAUACCGGGUGUCAUAGCAAAACGACCCUCCUAUAUUACUCUGGGCGUACUACUUACUUAUCUUACUCCUAUAUUACUCUGGGCGUACUACUUACUUAUCUUACUCUGGCUUUUUCACCAAUGAUUCUAUUACUUAGCUUUGAAACCAAUUGACUUCACACCAGAACACAUAGCUUCAUCACUCAAUGAAAAAUCACUAGCUGGUUUUGAACCUAGUUUCUCUUAUAGUUUCUCUAAUACCUGAAGAAGAAAAUCGAUUCCAAAUCUAAUAUGAGAAAACACAUUCCAAUAUCCAAUAAUGUUUUUUGCAUUAAUGUAAGUAGGGGCAUACAUACGAUAUGAGACACCUAGACUAUUACCAAUAUCAAUACCAUAUAAAAUACUUAAAUAACAUAUUUCAGAAUUCCAAAAAGAAGUAAGAGUCAAAGAUAGGAAAGCAAGACUCAAAACUAGGAUAGUCAGACUGAAGGCAAAGAAAGCAAGGUCAAACUACAAGUCUGAUGGGAAGGAAAGCAGAAACACUACCGCUAGAAGACUAGGCUCGGGCUACUCUGGGCUUGGGUCUGCAGCUACUCAAAUGACAAGUCAGAGCGAAAAGCAAGGCUGAUAGGCGGGAAAGUCACACUCUAGCUCGGGCAUAAGUGGAGAAAAGAUAGGCUCGGAAGCCGAACACAGGAAUUGUAAUAACGUAGUAGCUAAGUAUACGCUUGGCCCGUAGCUUGGUCCUUCUAUUCGGGGGGGUUCAGUUCUACCUUAUUACCAGACAGAAGAGGAGGUGAGCUUUCGACCCUAUUCCUUAUUCCCAUUAAUCUUUCGUGUGAAUCGAGACUGGAUUUGCUUUUGAUGCCUGAAGCUAGCUUGAAAGCGUAGGAAGCCCACGCCACUUAAAGGAAUCCCGUGCUCGCGCAUAAUAAGCCCUAAACUCAAAUCGAAGUUGUUCUAAUCAAUGGCUUCCUAGCCCAUUCCAUUACCUUCUUUUCUCUCUUUAUUCUGUGCUUUAUGUUGGAAUCAGAGAAUGAAUGAGAGCGCAUUACUGGAAGGAUCAUCCGCGAAUGAAUGAGAGCAUUACUGGAAGGAUCAUCCACACACGAACUUCUUGUGACUAUCAAAAGCCAGAGAGAUAGAUCACGCAUAAAAGCUUAUCCCUCUUAGAGAGAUGGAUCACGCAUAAAAGCCUCUAUUGUAGGUCGCCCUACCUCUCGCGUAGGUGGACUCAAUGACAUCCCCCCUAACGCUUUGUUCCAGCUUAAUUACGUAUACCCUAUCCAGUAGGUCGAGCUUAAUUACGUAUACCCUAACCUUUCCGUCGAUCUCCCUUUAGUCGUCUCUAACGAGUCAAGCCUCACCUUAACAACGUCUCUGCUCUCUCUACUUGGAUUUAGCUCGUUCGUUCUCUUCUAAAUAGCAUCAUUCCAUCUAUCCUGUGAAUUCAAGAUGAUCUGCAGCCGAAUCAGCAUGCGUUAAUUCCGUGUGAUAUGCAAUCUUUUCUAUGCGGCUUCUUUAAAAGAAUAACUCCAGUAGCUGUUAUUAAAAGAUAAGUAAACAAACUCGGAUUUCUCUUGCAAUGCAAUCUUUUUCUCUCUACUAAGGCAUAAACAUACUUAGCAUUCCUACUGCGAAUGCAAUGUCUGGUCACUUUCAAAUGGAUGAGCUUUCAAUAUAACUAUCUCUCCUAGUUUUGGGUCAGGCUUUCAGCUCCUUACAUCUUCUCUUCUUGCCUUAUAGUGCAGGUUGGAGGGCGCCUAGUGUCUUGUCUGCUUGUCCGUUGCUUGGCGGAUUCAUUAGUCAAAAGGGGCUAGCUCAAAUGCAAGGAGCUCUUUUCGCAGCAAUUGAAUCAUCAAAAGUAGCAAUAGCAUUUUCAGGAGCUGGAUGAGAAGAAGAUAUGCCAUAGAAAAGCAGUUAGGACAAAGAUUGUGGAAGAAUCGCCAGUUGACGGAAUAAGAGCAGUUAUAGAAUGUGCCUUACCUUCGGGCUUUACUCUUUAUGUAUACAACUAGGCUCUUUGAAAGAAUAAGCUCUUUGAAGUGAAUAUUCCACACCCGCGCACGUAUAGAAGCUUUGAGAAUUCGAAUAGGCGUUCUUAAAGAAGACAAAGAAAUGCUAUUGAUGCAGCUCGGAAUCGUAUCCGCCCGCUCUUUGCUAGAAGUCUAGAAUCUAUCCCUUUCUUACCUGACACGCUAGGCCCUUUGGUUUACUCAUAGCUUUAUGGCCGCUACCCUUGAAAACAUACUUUUUGCUUUUUCGCCUUAGGACUAGGACAGCUAGGUACUUGCCAUCUAUCUAAUAGCAUCCGAGAAUGCGCUCUUAGCAAUUGAAUAAUCAGCAUAGAAUGCCCUGAGAGAAGGCAGAAUUGGAUAAAUAGCUUCUUUUCCGGUCUAAGAUGCGGCAUUACCAAUAACCGGUGUUAGCAUGUUCGUUUUCACCAACCUUACAUUCAUAGGUUGCAACAAUGCCUUCUGAUGGUUCGUAGGAAUAGGCUUCAAAUGCUGGGUAAUAAGCGCUCUUGGAAGAUAUAUCAACCAUGAAACGAGGGGAAUAGCAGAAAUAUAAGAUAUAUAGUUAUCAUGUAUGAGCAGGAGAGAGUCAAAAGGAAGAAGAGGAAUCAGUUGUGCUUGGGUACCUAUGAAACUUCUUCCUCAAAUGUCAUUGCGUGGAUUAGCGCAGUAGCCGGAGUGUAAGCUAUAACCCUAUUUAGUUGGUCUCUUGCUUACGGUUCUUUUGACUCUUUGGAUUAUUUGCUAGAAUGGGUAUAAGAUAUCCACGCACAGAGAAGGAGCUGUUGGGAAGGAAUACUUCUAUUCUCUCUAGAUGCCCACAAGAGGUACAAUAGUUGAGUAGAAGAGAUGGCAUCGAAUCCAAGUGUUCAAGUUCAAGUUCGAGCAGUUCGCCUUACUGAAUCCCCUGUGAACGAAUCUGCUGCAUCGAAUGCCCUCCGCCUAAUCCGCUAUCUUAUCAGCUUCUGUUCUUGGCAUCUGGAGAAUGUGUCAAAGAGCUUAUUCGAGAACAAGCCCUUCUUUCAGAAAAACCUAUCCGCUCGUUCACUUCCUUGCUUCGAGGAGCAUAAUGCAUAGUAUAAGAAGGUGGCAGGGAUGUGGAUUGGAUAUCACCACUAUUGAUUCACCGGUUUCAGUUGCUUUUGCAGCUCCCUCAGGGCAUCUACCCUGAUCAAAUAGCGGAUUUUUCCCAUCUAGGAAUCCUAACCUCCCGAGCUGCUUGCAAUUGAUGCUUCCGUUCCAGCUCUCUUUGCAGCUUUCGAUUAAAGAGCCCACGUCCUUUUACUGCCCCAGGCAAUUCUACGAUGCUCGGUCUCGUGUAAGCCAAUUCUAUAUAAAAGCUACAAGCAUGCGCUAAAAAUACCUCCUAAACCCCAACCCACCUUCUUUGUUUGUGUACUUGAACUGGGGAAGAGCGGCCCGUUCCAUUAUUCCAUUAAUGCUCUUAAUUCUCUUACAGCCGGGUUGGAUUCCUUCUUGCACCGAGUCAACAACUCCCUUCCCGCUUACCGUACCGAUGACUUUGACACCGCUGCAUCUGAUCUCAUCGAUUCCACUCGCACUGCUUUAGAUCUUGUUGUUUUCAUACUCCGGGGGAUACUUAUUAUGCUCCUUAUGCUGCUGUUGGUGUUCAUGUUCGUCAACUAAUAAUGCAUUUUAUAUAGCGGCGCAGAAGCAUCAGAUCUAGAAUAGAAUCUUGCUGGAAAAGACCUUAGUCAUGAAGAUGGAACUGUCACAGACACUGAACCACCUCAAAGAAUCGAAAUUGGACGGAACAACUCCUUUAUACGCGCUUAGUCUUAUUGGUCCUGGCAAUACGUUAAACGCUGAAGAAUUCAUUUGCUAUUUGUCUCCGGGGGGGUAGCGAAGGAGAGAGCCCAGAGGUAAUCAACAAUAUUCAUAAAAUCAAGUCUAAGUAGGGAUUCCGGUUCGAUGUCAUUUAGUUGAAUAGACGGGCGCCUUCAAUCAAUCAAUGAAAGCUUACGUGCGCAAAAAGACAGAUUGGAUAGUUUCUUUAUAUCGGCUCAACCCCUUUCUUUUUGGAUGCAACUCAACAUAUAGAAUGGAGGAUGUGAUCGAUAUUCUCCAAUUGGCGACUACCCCUGAAGGAAGCAAUUAUUUUACUUAACCGAGGUUAGCAGGUGCAGAUCCUUCUGGCUGGAUAUUAAAUAGAAGGUAGUUUCGUCUGGUCAGUAGAUCAUGUUGAAUAAGUGGAGCUAGGUUACACUAUAAGAAUAAGUAGAGCUAGGUUAUUACACUAUCAGAUUACUUACGUGAGAGUCGGAUAUGUCUGCAAUCGUCCUUUCUUCAAGAGAGGGGCGGGCACUAAAAAGAUGUGCAACAUAAGGCAACUCGACUCAAAGGUUACACGAUGUGAAAGAGAAGAAGGUGCUGAAAGCCAUUGACGAUAAGCUGGCGAAAGCAUCAAAUAAGGUGCUGAAAGCCAUUGACGGAUAGCAGAGCAAAUCCAGAAGCUACACACAACGCGCAAUAACCAAGCAUCAGAAUUCUACCCUUUCUUUUGAAGCCGGAGCAAGGGAGGAUGGCUACUUUCAUCUCUAAUCGCUUGAAGAGAUACUCGAUGAACGCUGCUCUUUAUGCAAUAUGUCAUGCUUUCGGGUAUAGAAUAGAAAGUAGGCUCUUUGUAGCAGUAUCUUGCUUCUGGGCUUAAAUAAUGAUAGUAUUGUUUAUUGAUCUGUGUCAUUACUAAUUCUGGAUCGCCAUUCUAGUAAGUUUAGACGAUUGGAAAUCUCAUGUCAUACGAAGGAGUGCCAAAACGGAGAGAGCCCCUCUUGCUACUGGCGCUAAAGCAAAGUAAGCCCGAAGCUAGGGAAUGAUUGAGUCACAGGAUCCAAAAGAGAGAGCUUCAAGCGAGCUUAAUCGAUACUAUCAGUCGAUCUAUUGAAAAAGGCUGCAAGAGAGGGACAGACAAUACGGGAGUUAAGUCCCAGCAAAAGGAGUAGGCCCUUACUACACGUGACUAGACGGAAUUCAACAAAAUGGAAAUCUACUUUAUUGUCACAGCGGGAGCAAAGGGCAUCCCUUGAGAAAAGUAUAAGUGUUCUGUAUCGAAAGCAGACUUCAAGCUUGAAAGUGCUAUAUCUCUCUCUUAAAGCUAGAAAGUGCUAUCUCACUAUUUAUAGAGAGUCAUGUUUGUUCCGUAAGUGUAGUUGCUGAGAGAAGAGAGUGAAGUUACUUAGGGAAUCGGUCACCUAAAAGGAGAUUUCAAGAGAAAGCGAUGAAAUGCAAUUGAUUGAAGAGAAGUGAUUCUACGACUCGCUUGUUUACCUUACUUACAGGUUAGUUUACCUCCUGCUUGAAAGAGCGAAUUCCGUUCUUUGCUGUCCUAGCUUCUUUUUCGGAGACUAUAAGGCUUUAGCCCGGACGAGAGGACUCUCGCUAUCUGUAACUUACUAGAAAGUACUUCUCGUUCGUUCUACCUAUAUCCUAGUGCUUCUCUUUUCUUUUCCAUAGCCUUCCUGUGCUGAUAGUAUGUUUCAUAAGACCAGAGCUGCUAUUAGCGAUCUUUGCCUUCCUUUGCAAGUCUUCUAGUAGGAGUAGUAAGCUAGGGCCAAGUAAGUAAUAUGUCACUCAGUAGUUUUACCCUGACGAUGCAGACGUUAAUGCUUACAGAAAUCCUAUCUUCCUAUCAUCGUCCUUUAGCUCAAGAUGGAUAAGGAAAAGAGAGAGUAUGCAAGCGAAGUUAAGGCUUCUUUUAGGACUAUGAGUUCAGUCCUUCCCUAACGUAUAUUGGGAUAAGGCCUUACAGCUUCUUUUUUGCUAGCUAGAUGUGACUUGACUCCGGUACUACUAUCUUAUCUUGUACAUUACUCUCCUGAGUCAGCUUUUUCCUGUCGGGUUCCAUAAUAAGGACAGAAGAGAUUAGAUCGAUCAAGUGAUAACCGAGGUCCAUGAUAUCCACUGAACUUCCUUUCUAUGGCAAUAGUUGAAGCAGAGAAAAGACAGGAAAUCGAUUGGACGGGGAAUCUCUCGUGAGGCAAGUAGCAACUAUAGCGGUGGGAUAAGAUAAAGCGGAUGCAGCCUAGAAUCCGGGUGGGAGAAGAUCACUAGAUAAGAAGAAAGAUCUAUCAAGCUCUUUUCCACCUGUUCAAUCGCUAGCCCUUCUCUUUUGCAGCUCCCAUUAGUAUAAGGAGGCUAACUCUACUUACUGGCUUGACUUGAGCUUUCUUUUUGCUGUACCUGGUGAAAGCGCUACCCUGAUUACACUAAUUCCAGAAUAUUGGGAUGAUAGCCCUAGCCCUAUGAUCGUAGAACCCCGUUGUGCUUAACUUGAUAGCAGCUUCCCGCGUUCCAGAGUCCUUACACGUGAUAAGCUUCGUCUUCUUGUCUGUUGAAGCUGGUUGGGUGCCGCGCCGGAUAUAGCUUUUCUACAAAUUCUUCAGUGAUUACAUGAAGGUGGUUGGGAUGUCCCCAGUCUUACCAGUGAUUACAUGAGGGUGGUUGGGAUGUCCCCAGUCUUACGUGCAAUUCCCGUCUUUCGGUAAGCAUCUACGAAAACAGCUGAUUCUGGCUGGCUUAUGGAAAUCCAAUCAAUGUUUUCUUCUUCUUUACUUACAUGAAGCAUCUAAUAUGCGCCUAAGAAAGCAAGUAACAGGAUAUAGGGGGCCAAGCAACUAAGACCCUAGCCUAGUCACUUCAUGAAACAAGUAAGUCCACCUCCUUUCUUAUUGUAUGCCGACCUCGACUCUGGCUCAUCUCCACUAGCAGCUGGCAACUACUCAUGAAUAGCUUACCAAGCCUACCUCUUCUCUGGCUCUGUCAACUAAGAAAGAAUUCUACUCACACUCGAGCAGGAGCUGUACUAAAGGGAUUGCACUAACUACUACUGAUGAAACUACUCGUAUACUUGUUGGCACAAGAACUCCGACUCCCCUUUCUGAUUACCUGGACAAGCGUAUACUACUUUCUUUAUUACUUGCUUUGCUUUCGGGUUCUCUUGCCCUACUCAAUUCUAUCUUCUAUAGGAGCAUAUCUUAAACAAUGGGCUUGCCCUUACUUAUAUUCCUGUCUACUUGUCUGCUUUUCGGCUUUCCUUGGCUUUUAGUGCAUUGCUUCUUUCUUUCCCUUGAAAGAUUGAAUCGGGUGGAGGCAUUAUCUAUUGCUCGAGGUAUACCUUUCGAUAGAAGCAUUACCCAUUGUUAGAGGUAUACCUUUCGAGAAAAGCAUUACCCAUUGCUAGAGGUAGACACCUUUCGAUAGAAGUAAGAUGUGGUUGCGGUUCCGAACCUCUGGAGGCAAACUAAAGCAAAAUGAGACCCCUAUUCUCUUUCCGCUGACUUCUCGUCAUGCCUUUGAGCGAAUCGAAUGAUUUUGUCCAAGAUCUCCUCAUUCUCAAUUAGAUGUGGCCACGAGGUGUAGCUGCAUGCUUUCACUUUGGUCUUCCAGUCACAGCACCUGGAGGCGGUAAGUCCGGUUGAGAGAAAUACCAUCCAUGUCUAAAUCGGAGAUCAUUUACUUCUCAAGACGGAAAGAAGAGGGACAAGCGCGACUACGAUUGUACGGGUCAUCUCAUCAGAACGAGCAGUGGCCUUAUUCUCUUGACUCGCGGCCAAAUCUAGCAAGCGCAGAGCUUUUUGAGUGACAAGAAAGGAAAGCAGAGGAGGUAGUGUGCCAGUGUCUAAAGUCUUUGUGCUGUCAAUGAACUCUAGUAUGUAAGAGAUCCAAGAAGUAUUUGUAGCCAGAGUUUAGGUAUGCAAGGGAGACAAUAGGAAGUGGGUAAUAAAGAAAGGACUGGAAGGAUGGCAAGCAGAGGGUGACAAGCAGACGAGUUGGCAAGGACAAAAAUAUGUGGUAGAUCGCCAGCAAGGGAAGAAUUCUCUAGGUAUGCAGGAUAUUGGCAAAAAGGGAUAGUUUACAGUUAAGCCUACUUGAGAGGAAGCUAGAUCAGGGUAAGAGUUCAGAUCAGGAUUGGGUAUGAGUGGAAAGUCUAGUUAUAUAUCAAAGUGAAGUAAAUGAUUGAGAUGAACCCGUACGCCUAACUACUCAUAUGUGCACAGUUAUCCAUGUUAUUAUUGAACAACUUCACCCUGCUUUCCAACUCUUCCUUAUCUUAGACGUCAAGCCAAUCACCGGUAGUGUCUAUCUGUUACUUGGCCUGAAUUGAUAUCUAUCGAGCAAGCAUGUGGUAUAUUCAGUGGAUACACUGCACCCCUUCUUUCUGUAAAACUAAGUUAGCGCACGACCUCGUGAAGAAUCGAUUGCGUCUCUCUAUAAUAGAAGUUUUUAAGGAUACCGCACUGCUCCAUUUUUUGCUGAAGAUGCUCAUCCUGCUGAUGAAGAUGAUACUGUUCCUUUCCGCUUAACCGACGCAUUCAAAAAGAUAGAAAUGAGACUUCUUUGAUCCGUAUUUGGAUCCUGCUGAAGAUCUUUUAACUGCCUAUAAUACUUCUUCGGCUUAUACCGAGGAUUCAUCCAACAGCUAAGAAGUAUUGUGCUGUAGCUCUAAGGUACAGAUAGGCUAUUGCGCCAUCCCCAGUUGCCCCUAGAUUGAAGUUGGGAGAGGUGGGUUCGGUAGCCAGAUGAGAGAGAGAAUCAGUUGGGUCUGGUACUUGCUUACUCGAAUUCACUAUUCUCAAUUCAUAGAAUAGAAUGCGCUGGGAGAACAAUAGGCGAAAAUCUUCCUUCCAUGCUUCUAUUGAUCUUGCGGAACCGAACCCUCACUGAUAAAGCGAUUUGGACCACAUAAGGGUUCAGGCUGUCUCAACCCAUCCAUCUUUCUCUUCCCCUUCGUUUGCUGCUUCCUUUUCCACUCUACUUGAAGACGAAAAACUCCACUUGACCCUUCUCCUCAACAUGAAGUUCCGUUUCUUAUCUUAUGUGAUGUGACUUUGUUCUCCAAGUUGUGUGCACACAAUCUUCCUUCUAUUCCUUAAGUGAGUAAAGAAACUAUAGGGAAGUCUAUUGCUUAGCGAGUUGAGCUUAGCGAAUUGAAUGAACUUCAUAUGAACGACUAACAAUAUAAUUCUAGUAACCCAGUAGUGCGAAGGAUGCUUCUGAUCCAGAUCCAGCUUCAGAUACUAAUCCAUCUUUGAUUCUGGAAAAGAUGAAACAGGAACAGGCAAUUCUGCUUCUCGAGUCGACGCGAACUCCACACUUGAUCUUGUUUGAUACCCUGAUUGAUCUCCUUCUCUUGCCAUUUCGAGAGAACACCUUAAGUUCCUCUCCGCACUAAGCCAAACUCUAGGCAUAUUCAUGUGCACAGGCAAUUCAAUUGAAAAAGCAUUCUCCUUACAUCCACUAUUCCUAGCAAAGAGCGGCACCAUCUAUUCUAGCAAACCCAGAGUGGCAGCAAUAAAAUAGGCUUUCUUUUUGAAGAGAUUGUGUUUCAAUACAAACAAUUCCAUUCAAUUAAACCUUCUUCCGGACUCUCACUUUCUGACCUUGAAGACUUAGAGCUAGAGCACCGAACCUUUCUCUUUGAAACCACCAACAAGAGAUAAGAAGGGAAGGGGUCUAAUGCAAAGGGAUAGGAAUUGACUUUCUCACUUUCACUGGGGAUUCCCAUCAGAUAGAUAAGGUAAGUCAGCAAGAGAAGAGGAGAGGGAAUGAGCCAAGCAAGAGAAGAGAGCCAGAGCCGAAUGAAGUUAGUAAAAGGGCUAAAGUCAAGGGAAAGUAGUGGAUUCCUACCUUAACUCUACUUUCUUUGCAACUCGUAAGAUCCUUUUUUCUUGACAGAACUCCACUUUCAGAACUGCUGACAAGCGAUACUUAUGCAUUCAAAAAGAGAGUCAAUUCGGCUCUUAUGUAACUCUACGACACCACGCCUAAAAAGGACGACUUGGUGGAUCACAACAAGGUUAAGAAGCACGGACAGGACAAUAAGUAUACUUUGAUUGAGCAAGGGUUGCAAGUCCUGUUUUGGGGGCCGCUAGAGUUCCCGUUAUUACAAUAGAUGUCUUCGUAGCAGUAAGCAGUGAGUUUACUUACCCUUCUUUCUAUACAACUAUGAUCGCUAAGUUCUUUUCUUUCGCUCUUCAGCUUACGUGGCAAACAAGUCCACAGACAGUAUAAGUCUAUUAGGCGAAAUGCCGUAUAAGAGCAAUUAGGGGCAUAAUCAAUUACGGGUGUUGAAGCGCAAAGUCCUUCAUACUUGUUUUACAGUUCCAGUUAUAGUUUCAUCUGUGUUAGUUGGUGACGAGAAAUCCAAAGAAGAACCAAGAUCUGAAGCUAGAGCAUCAGCUGUGCAAUGAAAUGAUGUAUCUGUUCGAAAGGAAAGGUUCGAGUGCUGGUGUCAGUGGCGUAGGAGAGUAGCGUAGGAGAGAUAGAAGCAGUUACAGGUUUCGGUAGUGAUUGUGUUGGGGACAAUCGGUUAAGAAAGUUCAUGAGUUCAAUCCAUGUUAGUUGGCGCCUCGAUAAGUGAUUGUGUUGAAGUUGAGUAAUAGAGGGAAUCAGCUGUUCGAGUGUUUGUUAAGUCGUAUAGAUCGUUUUUGCAAGACUAAGCGGGGAGUUUCGUUCAAGUGGAUGGAAUUCAAGGCUUUCCCGAGUUUUGAGUUGGUUCAGUGAGGUCUAGGUUCGGUGCUUGGCGAAAGUAAGCUACACUACAAUUAGUUCAACAAGCCGAGAAUAAGACGCAAGUCAAAGCAUUGUAUAGAACCCGGUCAUUAUUGAAUCCAGAGGUUUUGCAGUUUAGGCGAAAGUCCGAGGUAAGGUCAGCUUCACUUCAAGUCAGGUCAGCUUCACUUCAAGUCUAGUAUUAGAAUAGGGAGGGCCAUAGUCAAUAAUUGCUAGCGCAUGAAAGUCAGUAUUAUACUCUUUUCACUCCGUUAGUGCUUCAGAAGCCAGUCCUGUUUUUUGCAACGAAAUACUUCGAAAUGGAAUUGAGAGAUAAGGAAAAAUAUCCUAAUAUAUCUAUCUUAUAUCUCUAUUAUCUAGGCGGGUGAAUAGAUUGACAGCUAGGUAAAGUAGCCUUCAGAGAAUAAUAAAGUAAGAGAAGGCAGCGCAGCAAGCCGAUCCGACAUAGGUUCAAAGGCAUGCACCUUUCCUUAUUAUAUACAAGAGGCGUAGAGCAAGUCAAGCCUGGCCUGUCUGAUUAGCCUGAUCUCUGUAAAGCCUUCGAUCAGGUUUCUUUUUUUCUCUCUAAGGAAAGGAAUGGAAGUUUUGAGUAAGUGAAUGAACGGGCGAAUCCUAUCUAUGAAAACGAAAGCCCUUAUUGAAGUCUCUGACACUUAUGCAAUGCACCUUUUUGAAAAUGAAUAUACUUUUCUUGGCUUCGAUAAGUCCGUUAAGCGAGCUGGAAGAUUCUCACUCUUCUGUCUAUAUAUCCUUCCUUUCAAGCAAGCUGUCUAUAUAUCCGCCUCUUAUGGAGUGCCUGUUCCCAACCUUCCUGUGAGCAAUUGACAUCUGUAUAGUUCUUAUGAUAGUUAUGAUUAUUUGGAAAGUACCUAUAGCAAGCCUCUUUCUUUUCAAGCCGGUGAGAAAGUGAGCAGGAUCGGGAUAGUCAAGAGCAGAUCUACCUAUCGAAGCAGCAGUUUCCGUUUCUUUUCAUGGCGAUCCAGCCGAGCUUCUAGAGUCCUCUUCUAUCCAUUGUUUAGCUUGUUGUAGUAGCUUGAGAUGAUGUCGGUACAGAUUCCGUGCUUUCAUCCCCUAAUUAUGCCUUUAUUCCAAGGUUCUCCUUUCCCUCCCUCUUAAGUAGCUGUGAGCAAGUUCAGAAGUGAGUGGAUGUAGAAUAACUAGCUUAUUUGCUGUAGCAUAUAUAUCCUAGAAUUCCAAUAGUGUGAGUCAUCUAUAUAUCAAUUCCAUUUAAGUAAGACGAUAGACUCAACAUAAUAUGGAUAAGUUCCCUAGAAAAGGUGGUUGAGUGCAAACAAAUAGUUUCAGAUCAAAUAAACGGUUUAGAAUAUGAUAAGUGUAAGUGCCAUAAAGAAACGGUUUAGAAUAUAUAAGUGAAAUAUACGAUAAGGUUGAGAUAAGGUUGAGUGCGAUCUAGCUUAAGUCUGAAGGUGAGCCUAUCCAACUGCAAUCUGUCUACGGUCCCGAAUUGGAAAGAUAGAGUAGUCAUCGAGCCCUGUGUCCUUCUUUUUUCUUUGUUGUCCAGCGAAUGAAUCUAAUUUAUAAGAAAAGCAGGUUGUCCAGCGAAUCUAAUUUAGAAGAAAAGCAGUUCGUUUGCUAGCCUUUCCGUCCCUUUCUCUAUAGACCGAGUAGCUGUCCCAAUCCCUAUUAUUGCAUCAUUUCUUAUGUAAGUUGUCUAAUCCUAAGUGCUUCUCCGUGGUUUCCUUCUGGUCCCGAAGAGGGAAAAAGUGUGUGUUUACUUUCUUGUAGUGAUUUUACAUGCAGUUCCAGAUCAGAGUCAGAGCGAUAUAGUGUAAUUGCUUAUGCUUGCGAUCCUGGUCCAGGUCGUAAGUCUAAGAGGUGUUUUGGGCCCUCCUUCCUUGUUUAAGACAGGAUAUCGGCACAAGGGAGCGAGACAAUAGAUGAUAGGUCAAUAAGUGAAACACCCGAACUAACUCUCCUUUCUGAACCGACACGACAAGCCAAUCAAUAACCUCUCUUCUCUUAGCACCAACCUCCAUCUCUAUAGGAUUCAAUAGGAUGAAAGUCUCUAAUAAGGUGAUAUCGCAGACAACACUCGAACUGGAACAGAAAGAGAAAGGCAAUUGUCUGUGCCCAGGAUGUGUUCGGAAAGCGAAAUAGUGGUCUAGUUCAAAAAGCAGAAAAGCUACAUGGUGGGGAUCUAUUCUAGUUUUGUUCCAAGGAGCUCGAGGUUUCCACGCAAUUGAUAGUGAAAAGCUGGUUGAACUACCUAUCAAUGAUGUAAGCGCCGGGUUAACUACUGAGUGGAACUACUUCUCAAUGGUUGCUAAGACCUAAACUGGGAUUUCCGUAAAAGAUUACCGCCCGCGCUGCUAGAACAAAGGACUGAAGGAAAACAAACAGCCAAUCAUCUACCGUCCCAACAAGGACUAACGUAAUAUAGGUCUAUCGCUCUCGAACGAACAAGUAUAAGUGGUUCUGUCAUCAUAAUUUCUUUCGUUUAGACUGGCUUUGCUUUGUUAUUGGAUAAGCUAUCAAAUGCUGAUUCAGUAUGGAGGAGAUAGGUAGUUUAAGAAUAGAGAAUCGUUGGUUCCUUAGAGUCAUUUGCAUUUCCUAGCGUGACAACUCUUGUUCCAUAACCUUUUUAGCGGCCCUACUUACUCUUUCUCUUAUAUUACUAUUAUAUAGAAUACAUAUCUAGUACCCGAUCUUUGACUUUGGCAGUAUGGAGGGGGUAGACAGCGAAAAUGGCCCUCAGGUCCCGACCCGAGUUUUGGGGGUUAGGGUCUUUCUUUCAUUAAAUGGGAAAAAAUCCAAAAGGGGUGUUCAGAGGGGGCCGCCUUGCGCAGCUUUAGAAAGGAGAUAAUUUCCAAAAGUCACUCUCUCCAACCUUUUCUAUCUAUACCGAGAGAAAGUCAAUAUUCUAUUAGCAUUGGUUUUUCCAACGAAACUAAGCACUUUUUUGUCUUUAUCAUUCUGAAGGCUAAGUCCAAAACUCGUACUUCAAUGAUAGGAACAACCUCUACACUCCGACGCUCCAAUGAACAAAUGUUCUCCGCCUUACUUACUUGAUUUAGAAAUCAUCAUCUUUGCCUUCUUCGCUACGUAAAUAGAGGGCCUGAAUCCGUUUAAGACCCUCAAGAAUGGAUGUUGGUGAUAGAGUGUUCUCAGUAUUAGCUGGGCUUAGGAAUUGCAAAAAGUGCUCUUCGUCACGCUCAUCAAGUUCUUGUUUGAUCUGCCGCUGUUAUAAGAUCACAAUCUUCGUCCUUUUUUGUUAGGUUAAUGCUCUCAAUCUCAAUAAUUAUGCCUUUGACCUUUGUCUUCGUUCGCCAAAUCUUCUGCUCCACUCGGUUGAUUGGCACUCCAGUAAGCUAAUCUUGCAUACUAAUUCUGGGGGUCCAGAGGCCGGCCAAGAACUUUUAUGCCUUUACAAAGCGUAAAAACUCUGAUUUGAAAGCGGGAUUCCACUACAUAAUCCAAAACCGUAAUUAGAUCUUGGAAAUGAUCGACUCAAAUGGAUGCUCAUUAUAAGCUGCUUUUUUCCAACUCUUCCUGAAUAUUCAUCAACGUUCUAUCGAGAUGAAGGAAUUGCCAACCCUCAUCCAUUAGUGCAUCCAUGAAGUAAUAAAUGCUGUAUUCAUCCCCUUGUAAAGAAAAGCCUUACUAGACUUGAUAGGGGGCAAAGAGGAGCUGUGACAUAAUUUCUCUUUUUUCCUGUGAGCUUCAGAAGCAUCCCUGCCUUAAGAAACCUACACAGUGCUUCGAAGUAGUAGUUAUGUGCCAUUCAAGGUUUACUUCACUUAGUAGUCUAUAUGUGGUACGCAAGGGAAAGGCGGGUAGGGGUGGGGCUCAGCAAGUUCAGAUAAGGUUCUUUCUCUCCCGAUACAACCAAGCAAGCGGAGUCUAUGGAAUUAACUACAAGAUUCUAUUCCUUGCUCUUCAAGCAAGUAUGGGCAAUAUACGGUUAGUGCAUGAUAAGUGGAUGUGGAAGCAGUCCCACAAGAAAGGGACAGAGGAAAGUCAGAGUUUCAAGAAGGAUAUUGGUAUAGCUAUAAAGAAAGAAGUAGAUUGGUUUAGCUCUCUUCAAAGUCAAGUAGUCAAAUUCCAUAAGCAAAAGAAACUCAAUAACUCCAUUCCAUAAGCGCAACUCAUUCAUCUCAAUUGUCAACUAACUCCGUCUGCUCGUUCUCUGGCUUUUGGCGUGCACUAAAUACAGACCAGACCAGAGGAACUUAUUAACACACUACACUGAUUGUCCAAGCCCAACUGAACUACUAUAUUCUAUUGUCCAAGCCCAACUGAACUACUAUACGCGUCAACUUCUUGUCCAACACCCUUAUUAUUGCCUUCUCAAGCAAGCACCAAAAGAAAAACACUCUCCUCAAGCUAUAAGAUCAAGAUACCGCUCCGAACAAGCUCUAAUAGAUUUUGUAGUUUCACUGUUGUUGAGUUAGCAUCAGCAUAAGCAAUUCGAGUGUUUGACUCUGGCUUUGAAGCGCUAAGUGUAGUUCCGUUAUUGGCAGUUGGGCCAUAAUCAAGCUAUACUGGGGGAUUAAGAAGACCGAGUCAAGCAACUACCAUACAUAGAGCUGGAAGCUUAACUAGUGGAAAGAGAGAAGGAACUCAAGCCUGAACUGGAUGUGGAAACGCAACAGUACAGGAAGAAGAAUCGCCCUACUUUAUUACGGCCUUUCCUUCUUGGAAUGAGCAUAGCCCAGUCACCCCUCUAAAGAGGAAGAGAGUGUAAUGACAUACAGUUGUUGCCUUUUCAUUAGAAUAUCCUUUACUUAUUUGGAGAUUAGGAUUCCUCGAAAGAAGCGCUCGCGCUGGGCUUUUCGUGAUAUCAACACUCUCUUCUCUAGUCAGUUCCCCACUCCGGGUUCGGUUAAGCUGUUAGUUUAGUAGUAUUUAUAGUCAAUGUCUCUAAUCUGGCUGAGUAGAACGAAGGGAAGGAUCCAUCCCUGCAAUAGAGGGAAUAGGGGCGGUGCUUUCGGGUUCGUUUUUUACUGAGAAGGAAAGGGCGCUUAAGAUCUUGUUGUGGCAUUCUAACGAUCAUAAUCCUUUUAUCAUGGUGCUAUUCACAUUCAUUCAUAAGCCUGCAGCAAAAUAGCCUUUGAAAAACCUUCCUUCGGGUUUGGUUUUCUCUCUUUCUCUUCGAAGAGAUGUGUAUGUGUACCUAGCUUCCGAAUCAACUGAAACGUCCACUUUUUCCCCAUCUUUCUACAAGUAUCACUUGAAAGGCAGUAAUUCGCCCUGUGGUAAGGGGAGAUGCUGCUCCUUGGCAAAGACGCUUUAGAGGCCUUCUUGCUCAGGUCUGCUUCAGGUGCUUAGCAUAUGCUUUCUAUGCCUACAUUCACGAGCCUACAAGUGUUCUCUCUUUCGUUGGUAUAAUCUAAUGUAAGGGCAGUAUCAAGUGGAUCUCAAAUAGGGAAGGGUUGGGAAUUCCUAUAUAGAGGUCCCGGGUAGGAUAUUUGGAAGUUGGUUUAGGUAGCUUAGUUGGUUAGAGAAAGCGCCCUUAAGAUGAUUGUGUAAGUGGUUCGCCUAAGCAUCUGCUUCUUUUCUUCUAGGUGAUGGGAGGUGGGCACUCUAUUUUCGCUUUUUCUAUCUACCCCAGAGACAGAGUCAAUUGAAUCCAAUCCGCCUACUGAGCAAAUCAUCUUCGUUUCAAAUGGGCCAAUUGUUCUCGACCCCAGUCUCUUUGCUGGGCUUUCCUUUUCCCUUCUCCUACCGUGCCAUGUCUUAGAUUUUCUGUGCUGAGUAUCGAUCUUCAAAAACGAGAUGGAAUGUCCGAUAGCGAUGGCAAUGGCAAAAAGUUCGAUUUCGCUGUCCAAGGGGCAAGCACCACCAACCCUACGGAAACUGUAUCUCCUCCACACAGCGUGUAUUACCUAAAAAGAUAGGUAGUUCCUCGGAAAAGGCCAACGUUUUACACGAUACUGGUGAUCCCGGACGGGGAAAGACACUUUGGAAGGCUAUGGAUUCAUUCUCUUCUCUUGAGCAAGACCAACAUCAGAUCAGCUCCAUCUUUAGCAAUUGUAGCUGCUACCGCUGAUGCCGAAUACAGAGCGAUAGAGACUUAGGUCCGGACCAUAGCCAUUAUUUAUUGGGUACUCUCUUUAUAAAGAAGCCAGCCCAAGGCCAAUAUAGAUUCCAAAUAGAGUAGCAUAAAUCCACUGGAUACCUUAUAUUCGACCAUGCCAUAUCUUCUUGCUUUUUUAGUCAUUCCCAGUCCCGAGAUGAGUUCUCGUCCCAUCUUGCUUUUGCUACCCGUCACCGUAAGCUACCUAUACAAACGCUAUUGUUGCAGCGGAGCUAGCAUUCACAGCUGAUUCCAUUCAAAAAGAAAGUUCCUGUUCCCACUUAAUAAGGGGAAGAGAGGGCACAAAAUGCCGUUAUUUCACUUCGAUUAUUAUUCAUCAAACCUGCUAUCCACUUUCCAAACUGACUUAUUGGGAUUCCGCCCCUUUCUCAUUAGUAUGAAUAGAAGCAAGAGCCUUUCUCAUUAGUAUGAAUAGAAGCAAGAGAUUGUUUCACUUAAACUACCGGAACUUGACAUCUAUCCGUAUUUCACUUUCGGCUCCUCAUUGGCUGUGAGGUCAUAUCAAAUCCAUUUUCAUAACGACCGACCUCCUACUAUAUUUAAGAAACUGCAGCCUUUGCACUCUAGCUCAACAAUCCAUAAAGGAGUAGUUGCAUAUCAGCUGUUCAAAGAUUGAAGGACCAAAAGAGCAGGUUGUUCUCAUUCCUUCCACUCCAUCGCAUCCUCCAGUAACUCAGCCCCUCUUUCCAUCCAUGAAAUAAUGAGAAAAGCGUUAGUAUAUGCGACAUGAAAGAUCUUUUUCUAUCUAUAUAGACAACAGCGGAUAUUCCCCUAAGAGCUGAUUCUCCAAGUAUUUCCUGCCGGAGAGUACUAGGGUUGGUCAAGAAAUAGUGGAAUUCUGGCUUGCUGGCUUGCUCGGGUACGAUGAAAGUAUCCAGUUGCCAGUCCGACUAGUGCUCAAGAGACUCUAUUGAAUUGACGACCGCUGGUAUCUUAGAAAACCCUGAUCUCUGCAGUUACUUGCCUAGUGACUUGGGGCCUAGUUUCUUGUCGGAUAGGUCACUUUCAGCCUAAUCGGAGUUAGCACUUAAUUAGCAUAGAAUCCUGUAAAGAGCUUCCCUAUCUUAUGAAUCUUACCGGCUUCCUAAAUUCCAUGAUUUUAUGAACCUAAAGUAGAGUUCCGGGUGCCUAGCCUAGCUUAUUGAGUUGUCGACUAGCUUAUUGAGUAUAAAGUGACCCUGGCCUUAUCUUAUAGUCAUUAUCGUUAGCACCAGCACUCCGAACUCCACAUUCUGAACCGUGGGCUACUUACCUUUGGAUCUUCAGUAACAGUUGAGUCUUCGUCUUCAGGUAAAAAAGGAAUAUUCUCUUUCUUGCAGAGAGGAAAACGGCACUAUAAAUGGAACGGAUGGUGAUCUACCUAUAGCUUAGGCUUCUUCCCUCAAGCUUGAUCAGUUAUGGAAAUUGAUUGAUACCAGACUUGAGACUGCUUGAGCAACUAAGUAGUAAGUAAAGCCAGGCUGUCAACUCCUUUCCUUACGCGCAACUCAAAGAUGCAUUUCUUCCCGGGUGCUCAUCAAAUAGAAUAGGAAUUGAGGAGCGAACUUCGAAACCCCCUUCAUUGAUUAUAGUGCAAAUAUGAAGUGGGCAACCGCCAACACAGCUCUCUUCUCUAUAUGAUUCAACAAUCACAGAAGGAAGGACAAUACGGACUUAGCGCAGAAGAUGCACGGCAUUCUAGUGAAGGCUCUCCUUUGUGGGCAAGAACUUCUAGUUUGUCUUUUGUUUUUAUACAGUUCCGUAAUACUGAACUUAAGCAUUCGAUUCUUGUGCCGAGACUAAAUCAACUUGCAUUAAAUAAGUGUGGCGCCCUUGAGACUUAUUCUUCUGUUGAAACAUAUUUCUCUCCUGACCUUGCUUCCCUAAAUGACUGUUAACAGUAAGUUCCCUUGCACAACGGGUAGAUCCUCGCUCCGUAAACCCCUUUUCUCUCUCCUCUCCUUGCUAAGAUUUGAAUCGGAUCAGAAUACUAAGCAAGAUCGGGCUUUGAUGCGCUAAGUGGUAAAAGUCGAGUGGGUUUUAGUGCUUGUCGAGUUCUGUUCCCAUACUUGAAUACCCUUGCUUCUUGUUCGAAGGCAGUCUAAAGCCUUUAUUUAUUCCUUCAAUUGAAAAGAGACACCAGGGAAAGACGGAGCAUCUGCAUACUCACCAUUACUCGGUAAAGUGCCAAGAACUGAAAGAAACUAGUCUAUAACACUUGUUGAACGUCUUGCCCGAACUGUACUUGUGGAAUGUCAUUGCCUCUCGUCGACAAGAACUUGAGCGUAACUAUCAUUUGAAGACCCGCGACACUCACACUGCUUAAUCCAUAAUUGCCCCAUCCUCUAUACUAAAGAAACUGGAACAAUUAGCGACCUAAACGGAACGCUUACUUACGCACUGCUUUUCUAUCUAUAUAGGAUUACUAAGGCGCCAAGAACAGAACCUAUCUAUACCCACUUAGAAUGAAUAACUUACCUAUAUGACUCCACUUCAAUAUAGGGUACGCCUAUAGCACACAUAUAGAUUCAUUUAUAAUAGAAUAAAUAAUAGGGUACUCCUAUAGUGCAUCCAACAUGUAAUUGAGAAUAUGUCUCUAUCACCUGAUAAAGGAAAUAGUCAAGACACAGCUCCCACUCCUGAUACUGGUCCUACUCCUUACGCGGAACUGGAACUGGGGAUGAAACUAGGGAUUCCACAGAGUAUUAAUGAAGUAGCACCCGACCCUACAUCCACUGUUUUCGCGCCUUCGCAUUCUAUUCUGUCUUUGUACUUUACAUCUUGUGCCAGUUUCUUAAGCGCAACUCAUUCAUGGAAAUUGUAAACUCCAUUCUGUAAUUCCUACUUCAACUCCAGUUAGCGAGCUACGUCUUUCCUUUCAAACUCCAUAUUGGAUUCCUUCCUUUCGCCUAAAGCAUACCGAACUCCUGUUACUUUUGACUUGCUCCUGACUCGCUAAUUGAAUCGCAACCCCCUUGGCAAACUCCUUUACUCCACCUUGAAAGCGUUAGUACAAUUCCUGCUUUCGGGAAUGCCCUGUUACAACAAUCUUGACUGUAAUUACUUGAUGGAAUUCUCCAUUGAGAGUUGAGAGCGCCAAUAGAAAGGAAUCUAGUCCCUGUGUAUGUCGUGUAGUUUAGGUAUUAUGGUUAUACCAAGCAAGCUAUACUCUAUAUUAUGGUUAUACCAAGCAGGCUAUACUCUAUUGGAGUCGAGUAAGUCCAACUCUUUCGUUUCGGAGGUAUUACUCGGUAUAGUAGGUUUUCGUGAGGCGAAGAACACCGAGUCAGAAAAAAAGGGCAUGUCAUUUCAUCAACGAUGGAGCGCAGUGACGAGAGCGAGACUCUAACUAAAAAGGAAAGUAGGAGUUAGCCCAUCCGGGGAAUACUGUAAGGGGAACUAUAGGUUCGAACUCUACGUGCCCUUGUUCCGACGACUCGUUCUGACAACUCAUUUUGAGGAGUGGAAACAUCGAUAACGCUUUUCCAGGAGCCACGUGUAUCGAACCGCUGGCGAGUCUCACAACGAGGAGUGAAUGAAGCGAGCUAAGAGGGAGGAAGAGAACGAAGCGACAGCAGAGUUAACUCAGUCAAUCCACUUCUGAGCAGAGAGGGAACUACUUCGCUUCAUGGAUCCACACAGAGGCAGUAGCCGGCACAUCACUAAAUACAGGCCACUGCUUAUCUAUGUCGCUUUAGUUCAUUCACUCGCAAUGGAGGACAACAUUUGUCUCUUAGUUAGUUUGUCGGUUCGGGAGAUUCGAUAGCUUGCUCAAAUCCUGCAUUCCGAGAUCGACGGUAGCCGUUGGGCGGCCUGCUGGUGUUAUAGAACGUUUUUCCAUUCCCGCUUCCUGCUAUUGCUAAAGUGCUUCAUGCCCAUUCCCAUCUACCCUAUGCUAACUGAGGCACUUGAGUUUACGACCAACAGAUAAGGAGUUCAACGUGGCAUGGAUCUUUAAUCAGGACAUAGUUCUAUAACUUAUUAGGUUUGAAUCGAACAGGCACAAGCAACUCGAGAAAUCUCUCCUCAUUGAGAAUUAAGAUGCGCCUAGGAAAUGAAAUGUUUGUUUUAUAUUGAUUGAAGCCCCGAAAGUGAUAUUGGGGUAGGUGAAGGGAGUACUACUGCUAUACUUAUGGUUCAGUCGGAACUAAAUCCGGGUUUCGGCUACUAUUCCCACCGCCUAUAUUACGGACAAAGAUUCGUCAUUGUCGGCUGAUGCUGAUAUACCUCAUGCCUGAGCUCCACCUGAAAGUAGGCCAUAUAAGAAGUCAGAUCUGAAGCAAUAAUCCUAGCGCUUUCGCUGUCGAAGCUUGAGCAGAAUAAUGCAUAUACCGUGACUCUACUCCGCUAUGCUACUGCAUUGCCUCCACCUGAGCUACUUGUACGAAAAGUAUUGUUGGGCCAUGUCCACAGAGGAAGUCCAACUGGAAAAAAGAGAACGAGUUCAGUGAGCGACCACUUCCCUUCACAGGAACGAAAAUACCUUUAUUGGUUGGACCAACCCAACAUGCAUUUGAGAGUGACAUGCCGGGGCGCCGCAGUCACGCAUUUCGAGCAAGAGCCUUUCUUCGCUAUGGAAAUAGAGGGAAGGAAUCCAUGCUAAACCCGGGAGUAGGUUUUGGGGGUUGAAGCUAGUCGCUAAGGCGAUCAAGUGGUUUCGCAUUUAAGGAAAGACCGGCUAUGAAAGAGUUUUGGACAGAAGGAAGGCAUGACAAAAUAGACUCCUUCGGACCCUUGCGUAUGUUCUUCUUAUUGGGCCGAGUGGUAGGCUUGCCCAUCACAAUGGGAUUGAUAAUAUCCCAGAGAAAGAAAGAAGUAGGCUAUGUAAGGUGGUUAUGAAAUAAGAUGAAAGGUGAAGUAGGAACAUAUGUAGUACUUUCUUUUGCUCUAACAUCAAAGAAGACAACAUUUAAAGAAAGAAUAUUCUAAUAUCAACCAAUUAAUAUUCUAAUAUAAACCCAUUAAGUUGCGAGGAGGUUUCGAUUUGUUAUUACGCUUUCGUGUUCCUUCCACCCUUUAUGAGUGCUAGUUUCGCUAAAAACUACGGAGUUUUCUUUCUUUGUAUUGUAUCCUAGAAAAUCAGUGAUGAAAUAGCUCCUUAUAGACCUGUAGACUUCCAAGGCCAGUCAUCUUUACCUUGACCAAGAGCACAUCUUUAGGGCAGGAAAUCCAUCAAUAAGACUCAACAAUAAGUAGAACAUCUCUCCACUUCACCGGGCGGAACUAGAAAGAAAGCUCCUUGAUCGGCCUAUAAACUGGGCGGCUAGUAUAGCUUUUAAGGAUUACUGCUGUCGGAAGCAUAGACGAAGACAGUUUAGGAUGAUUAUUGGAAUCUGAUCAGACUCUAUUGAAUCCGAGGGUCAAGCACCUUUUCGCAAUAACAAGAGGGUAAAGCACCUUUUCGCAAUAACCUGACUUGCUUAGUUGCUGGCUUGGCUUUUGCUUAUUAAUUGAAUUGGUUCUUUCCUGUAAUACCCUUUCGAAUUGAAUUGGUUCUUUCCUGUAAUCGACCGACCACCUCCUUUACUAUAGGGCCAUUCUGCGGGCAUGAAUACCUUCUGCUCCUAAACUAUCUAUCACUUGCGGAAUCGGAUAAGAGCUGAGCAUGCUUCUCAUAAACACAAAAUUCAGGACAUGGGAACCCAGAGGUAUACACUAAAUUCAGGACAGAGAGGAACCCUGAGGGAUUCUCUCCAGCCCGCAGCUACCGACUCGGGAAAGCUCUCCUCCCCUAAGGGACCUCAGACACCGACAGCGCUAAAGGAAGCAGCAAGACCGGAAAGUGUAGUUCUCAGGGCAGAAUAAAGGGAAGAAAGAGAUUAAGCAGCAGCAGGAAAGUAUAUCGGAACAGGCUAGACAAGUUAAUCAAAUCAGAAAGUAUGUAAGGUAUAUAUUUGAAGAAAGAAAGUCAUGAGUCCUAGAGUGGUACGGAAGUCAAGUAAGCCUCUAAGUAAGCAGUACCAGACCAAAAGGGCGGACUACCUCAUGCCACCAAACAGCAAUACUUAGAUUAGAUAAAGGAGUAGCGGACUAACACUCGAGCAUAGGGCAUUGAGGGCAGAGUAACAGCCAUCAAGAGCAGAUCGGAGGACUUCAGUUGGAGCUCGGGUAUAGACAAAUACAUAUGUUAGAUCAGUGUAGACAACUACAGAUAUAGAUUCGGGAGCUUAAGAGUUCAAGGCUGAGUUAGCUAAGGUGGGAAGAAGGUAAGGCCAAUAGACAGGAGAGUAAAGUAUAGUGUGAGUUUGGACUUAAAGCAUGGAGUCCUAGAAUCCAAGAUAGGAGACAUAGGCCCAUAGGCAUUAGUGACAGAGUUCAAGAAGCACUCGUUACGUUAGGGAACCUGCUCGUCAGUACGCGCUAAGAAAGAUGCCUUCAAUAAUGACUUAGUAUUUCCAUUAGGCUGGGUAAGGUAGGACUGGUUUCGCGGGGAAAGAGAAGGAGAUAUGUUUGGUCAAGCCGAGCAGAGAGAUAGGUUAGUUUGGUCCAGUAGGAAUCAAGUAGUACAUAAAGAAACCCAAUAGUAGCUACAGAACUCAAAUACCAAGUCACUUUACUACAGAACUCAAAUACCCAGUAUAUUAACUAAGACUCACGAGGAGCCCCGAGCAUACGAAUCAAAGUAGAAAUAAGGAAUGAGUAAGAGAAUCAACUCAAUGUCCAUCAGAAUUAACAGUGUAGUCAAAUGAUAAAACAAUAAAAGAACCCCGGUGCCUAUAAGAUUGAAAUAAGCAACAGGGUCGAUGUAAUUGAGCUACCUGAUGGAGUAGAAACAUAGGUCGGAAUGAGAGAAAGGAGCCAUAACUCCAUUACUACAUUAGACCUAGAAGUAAUAGAAGCAAACCGAGCAUUAGAAGAAUUAUCUCCUUACAUAGAAAGUCAGAAUGCUGCUGUUCUAUAAGGAAACAGAAGCAACUGACAUCUUUCUUGGUCCCCGCCUGGAUACUAUAGAACGGAUGAUACUAUGGAAUGGAUACUAUCUAAUUUCUACUAUAGAAUGUGUCACUAAAACACCCCUGCGCUCUUAGUAGUCAAGUCCAAAUGGAUGCUCUUAGUGGAAAGUCAGAAUUGGAUUGCAAGGUCAGAAUCCGAGUAUGUAGCUAGGCAUGUUAGAUCUAGGUUACUCACCGACCCUUUCCUUUCCCUGUGCUCUUUAUUCUUCUAUUGCUUGUAGCUCUUUCGAACAGAGCUCCUCUGCUCUAAGGUUUCUAGUGGUAAUAGUUAGGAUUGCGCUCAUAAGUAACAGAACUCAAUUAAGUAGUAAAAGAGAGAGAAGCGGAAACUGAAUGGAACUUCCGUUAUAUGGGUAUAAGCCUCUGUCCCGGGGCGAAAGCUUAGAGUCUUCCGUAUGGGAACUCAACUUAUAAGCCUAGGAGUUCGGGGCAAGUAUACGGAAUUACAGAGGAAAGAAUCAGAGCGGGCCUACUUAUAUGACUCCGGGCGUACUAAUUAUCUUACCCUGGCUUUGAUGCGAGGGCAGAAGGUGACCUACACCGUUUAUUCUUUUGAGUCGUUAUUUGAACAAUUCCUUUGUUCGUCUGUCUGUUUUCGUUCCUUUCCCCCUACAGGCAGUAAAGCAAGGUUGGGCAAUAAACAUAGGCAGUGAUUUCGUUCUCAUAAGUAAGAGUGAUAUUUGAAAAACGAAGAUCCUACUCAGUGGUUAUAGAAUUCGUUUCCGGCUUGAGUUCUAAUAAGUAUUAGUUUGAUUCGCUAGUUAUUAGUGGAUUUCCUAGCUGGGUGUUCAAUUCCAGUUAGCAUUGGUUCAAUCUAACAAUAGUAGUAUAGUAGUUGUCUAUCGGGUAGUGUUAUAAAGCUUGCCCUUGGUUGUAUUCUAUCCAGUACCUGUCCUAUUCUUUAUUCUUUGUAAAAGACUUCUAGUUCGUAGUUGGAUGCACUGGACCGUACCUGUACUUAUACUUAUUAGUUUGUUUCUAUGUUCUACUAACCAUAUAUUAUCCUUUAUCCCCGAUCGAAGUCUGCUACUGCGCCAUAGAUACACUUAUUCUUAUUAAAGAGUUUGAUUCUAUUACUUACUUGUCUAGUUACUUGGCGAAAAUGGGAAAUCCAUCUUACUACCUUUGCUUCAAGUCGAACUUUGCUAAUAUUAUUCGAGCUUAUCUUAUUCGAACAGAGGAAUCAGAAUAGGGGUAUAGAGUCUGAGCUAUGGCAUUAUAAGACUAAUGUUCAUGUUCGUAGGUCUAACAAUGAAUAAAGAAUAUAAACCUAUCACUUCAGUUUCACCCUUGCUUGUAAGUUGACUUCUUCAAUGCAAACUACUUUGUCCAAUUCUUGAUUCCAUUAUUGAUUCCAAUUUGGAAAACUUCUACUUCCGGUAGCACUUGCGCCAAGAAAUAAGCUACCACCAGCUCAAUCACCUUUUUCAUUUGAAUUGAACUUUCCUUGACAAAGAAUAUAAUAUAGAUAAAAGCAACGGUUAGUAUAGAAAACUCUGUAACAGGACACCCGAGUGGAAUAUGCUUAGCGCUUCAAUAAUCCAAUAAAAAGAUAUCAAAAAAGUCAACAAGGCAACGUAUUAGGAACGGAAUCCCGGAGUAGAAAAACAGGCUACUGUUAUUAUAGUGGUGCCGAUUAUAUAUGGCUUCUUUAAGGAAGUGUUUUGACUUCUAUAUUAGUCAUGCUCUUAAAGAAAUAUGAUUUUGCACACUAAUUUCUCUUACUCAAUUCUUGGAAAAAGGGAUUGUGGAAAUAAAUCGAUUUCGAGCUGGAUCGUUCCAAAAAGAAAAAGCACAUUUGAAGAUCUCACACACCUGAACUACCCCUAAUGCAAAAAAGAAUAGAAUAUGUGCGGAACCAAACACAGAAACUAAUGCACAAAGUCCUAGCUAAAGUGCUAAUGUGAGCAGAACCCUUGUUCAGAAUUGAAUCUAACUCACAUGUUCUAUCAAAUCAAAACCCAGUGUUUGGACCUGCGUGAAUCAGUUCAGUGUAUUUUGACCUUAUUCUAUACAAUGCUUGCUGCUUAUUUGAGACUUUUCUGAUGGGAGCUCUUAGGAUCAAUUUGCCAGCCAGGGACUUGCUUGUCGAGGGCCAGGAUCAAGUUCUAUUUCAAGCAGGACAGGAAGCGCAUCGAAUGUGAAGGGCCUUAUACAUUUCUGGUUCUUGAGCCGUAUCUAACCUCUUUUGGUUGUCUCAUAACUACUAACUUCAACAAAGAUCUGAUUCGACCCCUCCUCACAAGGUCGAGUGAACCAACCGGUUGGACAGAAACCAACUAAGAGAAAUCAAAGAAACUCUAGAAAAGGGAAAGGCUUGAAGCACCUUCCUUUUCAUUGGCGCAAGAAGAUCUUCAGCCCAAGAUUCCAUUCCUGUCUUAUUUUCGUCUUCAAGUAGAGGUCGUGCGCUAACUGAACCCGCAAUGGAACCCAACCCCUGCACUGCAUAUUCCUGAAGUAGAGUAUCAACCAUCAAGGGAAGCGGGAAGUUCAUUAGUUUCCCAGGCAAUUCCAUCAGUGUCAUCUACUAUAUAUGCUGAGCUAUAAAGUGAGAAGAAAACAGGAAGGUGGAAACCGGAAUACUUAGUAGACAUGCAGACAAGCGCCCAGCCCAAUUGAGUAGACUUAACAAGCACCCGCACAAGACCAAGAACACUCCU
rnacentral:lncRNA from 1 species